UUAAAUUAGGAAUGAUCAUACCUCUGACUCUGCCGGACUGAGGGUGAGGUCUGAACCCCACAUCUCGAGACGCUUGAGAUGGGAAGAGCCCACAUUACGAAAAUAAUCGACAUCUUGCUCUUGCAAUCCACGUAAUUCAAGGUCUUCAAUUCUCUGCAGUUGCACGAUCAGCGAAUCCUUCAAGCAAAUGUUGUUAUUUAGCUGGAGACUGAAUUCACGAUACCAAAUGCCGGUGCUCUCCCAAUAGCCAACAUCUCCAAUGCGUAUGAUGUACCUUUCCAGCUUCUCCAAGAGCAGGCCUCUGGGCAGAGUGCUGACGUCAUAGACGUGUAAUUCCAAAGAGGUCAAGUUGGGCAAAUGCUUCAACUCCUCAAGGCUUGCAUUCUUAACCCCUUCUUCCACCUCCACCUCCCAUUUAUCAAAGCUUUCACCUAUAUAUAGUUCUUCUAAACGGGAUAAUUUUGACAGUAUAUUUGGUGGAAUAACUUCUAGUUCCUCACAAUCUCUCAAAUCAAGCAAAUUUAGCCAAGUCAAUUCACCUACUUCUGUUGGCAUCUGCUUAAUAUCGGAGCCUCUUAAGCAAAGGAUUUCUAGAUUCUUCUUCAAGUCUACUACAAAACUUAUAUCAGGCAAGCUGCAGCGACACAAACUCAGUGUUCGAAGGUUUGACAGGAGACCAAGUGAUGAAGGCAGUACCAUGUCAGUCAAGUUUACAACUCUGACCUCGAUCAUGCUCUUGAAAAAGUUGUCUGGAAUUGUUACUCGUGAAGAUUCCCAAGGAUCAUUACUUAGAAAAAGAAGUUCGAGUUGAGGACAUUCCAGUACUUCAGGAAGCAAAUUAGGCUUGAUAUCAUGUAAGACGAUUGAAGUGCAAUGCUUUAUUGCACUUCCGUCUGACCAUUCCCUGCAACCAUCAACCUGCUCAUUUGUAGCAGUAAACACAUUUCGUUCAGUAGAUGCAAUUGAUACGGCGACAUCGCGAACUACAUCAUGCAUAGAAAACAACUCUUUCUCCUGGCUUAUAUGGUCAAGCAACAUACAAGAAGCUUUGAGUGUGCGCACCAAUGUAUGUACUCGAUUUCGUGCUACUUCAAUCUUAUUCACACCUUGAAAUAAACCCAAUCCCAUACCACACAUUAACAAGUCAUCAAUAGAUGAUAUGGCUGUAUAUCCUAUUAGCAAAAAGAUGUUCUUGAGAUCAUCCCUUCCUAGUUUAUUGUAGCUCAACUCGAUAGCUUUAAAUGCGGCUGGCUGUACAUCCUUAAAAUUCGAUGAAGAAGGCCUUCUUAGCUGUUCCAAUGCAUCCUUCCAUUCACGUAUGCUGUUGCUCCUUAAUGCCCUUGCAACCGUCACAAUGGAAACUGGUAGACCUGCACAUUCCUCUGCCACAUUCCUUGCCACCUCUUCCAAUUCACUACCUUCAACAUAAUCACCUGCCAUCUUCUUGAAUAGACUCCAAGCUUCUUCUUCGUUUAAAACACCAACUGGGAAAUUUGUUCGACAAUCCAUCUUCUCAGACAAUACAUUUAGACUUCUGGCCGUCAACAAUACUUUACAACCAUCUCCAAGAGGAAUUCGGACAUUCCCCAAAUUAAGAUUCUCCCAAAUGUUGUCUAAAACUAUCAGGAUCUUCUUCACUUUUUUUAUACCUUCACAUAACCUGCCUGCCCUUCCUUCAUCACUUUCCUCAUGCAACUUCAGGCCUAAUUUAUCUGCAAUUACUCCUUGAAUCUUUCGUAUGUCUUGAUUCUGAGACACCUCAACAAAAACCACCUGAUCAAAGAGUUUGUCACUCUUGACUUUCCUAGCAACUUCUUCGGCCAGCGUCGUCUUUCCGAUUCCGCCCAUUCCAUAGAUCCCAAGCAUGUUGACAUCGCGAUCUUCUAGUGCACUGAGUAUACUCAUCAAAGUGGACAUUCUUGAUUCAAAGGGCUCGUAGUCUUUGCUAGGGAUAAGCCGAAUAUCCUCUGGAGCAGUACGGUAGGAAAUUCUAUCAAAUCUUCGAUCUUCUCGGACUUUGACAACAGCCUCCUUCUUCCUCUCUGCUUCCUUGCUAAGUCGACGGCGGGUCUUCAAAUUAGGACACAACCCCUUGAAACAACGUUUAGUUGCAGCGGCUUCAUCUUCUGUAAAUUUAUCUGCCUCUUCAAUGACUUUGUUGGCCCCUUCAAGCCAACUCCUAACGUUCUCUUCAAUUUCUUCCCCGUUUCGUUCAGCCUCAUCAACCUGGUGCUCUGUACGCACCCUCUCAGACUUUAGUUUCUCAACUUCAGUCUUGAGAUUCUGUAAGUUGCUCGUGUACUUACUCUCACGCAAAUAGCUAAUUUGGCGAUAUGCGGGAGGAGCCAAGCACUUCACAACUUCUACAACAAUAGUAAGAAUGAAAUCAGCCAUCUUCAGUCCUUUGUCCCUGUCUCUCGAUCUCUCUUUUUCUGAAUUUUUGAAAAACAAUUGACUAUUUAGGAAGCACACUGAGUGAUUGAACACAAGUGACUACAACAAGAUGGAACAAAAUAAAAAGGAAAAAAAUACAAAGAGUGGAUGGAGAAUAAAACAGAGACAGCGGCACAGCUGGACACAACUAGAUAGAGAACAGAGGAAAACCAAAUAACAAGACUGAAGAUUACAACAAACAGAGGCCAAGUAUUGUUGAGAUCAGAAGAUGGAAAAUUCAAAAGAGUUGAUGGCAGAUGCUGAAUAACAGAACAACAAUGAACGCAAUAAACAGAAGCAAAGUGUGUUUGCGAUCGACAGACGGAAGUAAGGAAAGCGGUUGUUGAUUGAAAAUGAAUGAAUGCAAAGAAAGACUGAUGUUGAAAAUUGAUGUCAAUAGCGAAGGAAUAAUUGAACUUUCGCUGAAUUAUUGUUUGUGGCCUUCUUUUACUUUUUAUUUGUGGGUCAUGUCUUUUGGAACUAAUCAUCUUAGCUUAUGCCUUACAGCUUUAAGGCCAGUAACCGGUGUCCGUUGGAUAAGCAUAUAGAAAUCCAACGGUGGAUAUAUAUCCUUGCAGAACAAAAUUCAACAGCAACACCCCAACUUUAAAUAUGAUUAUCUGUUGGGGAGUGCUGGGCUGCAGUUUCUUAAGGAGAUUUAUAUAUCCUCCUCAAAAAUAAAUGUUUUAAGAUAGAUAUUUAGACUAUUUCAUCAUAAAAUAAAUGUAAUUAAUUUUUUUUAUAAAUAUUUAUUUAUUUUUUUAAUUACUAAUGACCUUUGAAUAUACAUAUCACUAAUUCAAAAAAUAAAUUGUGAUUAUUUGUUAAUGUAUGCGAUUACUUGUGAUGGUAAACUUUUGAAGUUAAAUUAAAAAAAAAAAACAGAGCUUUUACCAUUACUUGCUUUAUCAUCUUUUAAAUUAGAAUUAUUAUUCUUUUAUUUUUUUCAAGUUGCCAACUCAUCCGCAUUCUUUUUUAUUGAAUUUGAAGAUCAAUGAUUAUAAAUUUGUGUAAAAAUUUUAAGCCAAAAUUUUAAAUUAAAAUAAUCAUUAACUUAUUGGAAAAUAAUAACUUGGUAUAACAAAUAUUAUAUCCUAUACUUUAUUGCUACAAGAUUACAAAACCUUAUAUUAUAUUAUGUUUCCAUAUUUCUCCUUUAUAGUAAAGACUCAUACUUCUUCUCUAGUAGAUGUUAAAGUAUUGGCUUAAACUUUUUAACCAGCACAGUAGACUAUUAAGCUAUAUAUGCUAUAAUGUCCCUCUUUCCUCACAGAUUAAACCAAUCUAAUCUCAGAGUGAGUUGAUACCAUGAGUUUGCAUUUGUCAUCAAAGGAGCAUCAUUAUUAAUUAAUAUAGGUUCGAUCAAUAGGUAUGAUAAUAAAUUUUUUUAUCUACAAAUACUAUUUUUCAAAAUAUUAUAUCUUUAGACUUAACUAAAUAUCUUCUAACCAUAUAUGUACAGUUUGUUUGAUCUCUUUUAAAUAUUGGAGAUUACAACAGAACAGAUGCGAAUUAGCAGUGACGCUGAGUUUAGAAGAUUGAAAUUAAGAAAAUUAAGGAAAGGAUAAGGAUGUAUUUUCAAAGUGAAUUAUUGAGAGAUCUUUGAAGAUUACUUCCGUCAAGAGCUGGGUCCCAUACUCUUUCGCCUUUGUCCUCCAGUCAACCAUAAGACAAAUUAUUAUUGAGUGUAAACGGACUUAUUAACCACCAAAUUUUCAAACUUGUGAUCCUUAUUGAAUCUGCAUUCCCCUUUACAAAAGUAAAAAAAAAAAAGUGCAAAUAACGAAAAAAAAUUUUGUUCCUUGACUGCAAGUGCUGUCGACAUUUUCAGACUUGUAAGACCCUUCUACUUGCAAGAUGCCACUGAAUUUGUCUUUUUUUUUUUUUAAAUUACACUAUACUAUUUUAUAUUUUAUAAAAAAAUUUAAUAGAUAUUAUAAGUUACAAAUUUUUAUAUUUAAUAUUCUCAAAAUAAAUUAUUAAAUAAAUGAUUCAUUUACUAUUUUUUCCUUUAAAUUUUUGUUAUUAAAAAGAUUUUUGGAUAUUGAACGUGAAGGGCUCAACUGAUCGCUAAUUUUGCAGCAAUUGCCCUUUUCUUUCUCCCCCAAUUGUUUUGAAAAAUAUCCAGACUCAUUCAGCGAAGUAUCCGAGGCCAAAGGGCUAAAAGAUGGGACACCCGCAUGUGCUUCUAAUUACAAAAUCUAAAGUUAGGGGGACCAUAACUUACAUUUAAUAUAAUUUAUGAUAGGGGUCCGCCUAUGUUACCACUGUACAAUAAGUUUGGUCUUUUCUGACUCAGUUGUGAUGAGCCCCUUGUACUCGAUAUUAUUUACUAUUUAUUUAUAAGUAUUAUAAAAAUUUUUGCUUACUUAUUAUAUAAAAAUUUAAUUGGUUCCCUUACACUCUUAUUCAUUUACUAUUUUUUUGUAGUAUCAAAAGAAUUUAUAUUUACAACCACGAUACAUUAAUUAUCAUAACACUCUAAUAUUAAUAAAAAGACAAAGACAUCCUUAAAUUAAAACAAAAAAAAUACUUUCUUCUUUUGAGGAAUUACGGUAUCUCAUUUUCCACCACUCAUUAUCAACAAAAUUUUUAAGGAUAUAACCAUUCAUCUUCUUUAUAAUAUCAUCUCGCAAUAAUUAAUACUUUCAUGAAAAAAUAAUUAACAAAAUAAAAAAAUAAAUUCCCAUUGAAUACAUCCCUCUCCACUAUUAAUUUCUCUUCAUCAAUAACCUUUAUCGACAAUUAAAACCACCAUUAGACUCAUCAUAAAGAGAGAGUAAGAGAAAGAAAGAAGAAACGAGAAAAAAUAUAUGAACCUUUUAUAAUUUUAUAGUGCGUUCACUAAACGAGAAUCGAAAUGAGGUGAAAUCAAAACGAGAAAUUAAGGGCCCGUUUGGUAUUGUUUUUGAAUCUGUAUUUUCUGAGAAUAAAAAUGAAAAUGAAAAUGGUGUUUUGCAGUUGCUGUAUUUUGAAUUUAAGUAUGCGUCUGGUAUUAUUUUCUGUAUCCUGUAUUUUAAAACUGAAAACAGUAACAUGCGUUCGGUAGACACAGUCGAAAAUGAUAAAAACAGAGAAUAUGCGUUCGGUAAUACUUUUUUCAAAAACAGUUUUUACUAUUAACCAUUUACAUCAUAUUUAUAGUUAUAAAAUAAUUAUUUAGCUAAUACAUACACAAAUACAACAUAAUAAUUUAAAACAAAAUUAUUAUAAAAAAUUUACAUGAUGAUAAAGUUUUAGAAUUAACAUUAAUUAAAAAAAAUUACAUUGUCAUUGUUUUUACAUCAUAAUUAAGAUAUAUAUUACAACACAUGAUUUAAACAAAAUAAUUAUAAAAAAAAUACAUGAUAGACAUUAUACAUUACGUAUGUAAUUAUGCCACAUAGAAGUUGCAAUUCUAUCUCUUGUAGCACUCAUCUCGGCGACACUUGCUGGAGAUAAAUCAAUAUUAGUAAGUGGCCUACUAGUGUCUCCUUCUUCGAUGGUAACCAAAUCUUGUACAUCAAAGUCCCCAAAUAACCUAUCACUUGCAUUUUCUCGUCGAAUAAAGUUAUGUAAAGCGCAACAUGCAAUUGGAAUUAGACGUUGCUUACGUAAACUAUAAUUAUGCAUAUCCCUUAAAAUUGAAAAUCGCGCUUUUAAAACACCAAAGCAUCGCUCAAUUACAUUACGCAAUGAUGAAUGUCUGUAAUUAAACAAUUCUUGGGGACCUCUAGGUGCUCGACCUGAUCCUCUAUAAUCACGUAAAUGAUAUCUCUCACCUCUAUAUGGUGUCAAAAAUCCUUUCAUAUUUAUGUAUCCAGAAUCCACAACGUAGUAAUAUCCUAAAAUAUAGAAACAAUAAAACAUAACUUAAUUAAAAAAUAAAGGCCAAAGAUAUUAACACACACACACACACACACACAAACAUAUAUAUAUAUAUCUCAAUAUUCUUACCUUCUUCCGGACGUGGAAACCCAGAUUCUGGUCUAUUUAAGGCAUCCAUAAACACCCUUGAGUCAUUGGCGGUACCUUCCCAACCCGUAUAUACAAAUGUGAACAUCAUGUCAAAAGAACAUGCACACAUGAUAUUUUGAGUCACCUGAGUCUUUCUAUCUCGAUAUGAUAUCUGUUUAUGUGCAGGUGACCAUGCAGCAAUGUGGGUUCCAUCAAUUGCACCGAUACACUUCUGUGAAAAUAUGUCAAAAUUAUUAAUUUAUUAACCAAAUGUUAAUGUCACAUAAACUUUGAAGUAACAUGUAUUGAAUUUCUUACCUCAAAAUAUGGAAAAAAAUUUGGAUUGUUACUAAUCUCUGAUGGCGUUUCCCCUUGAGGUUUUGGUUUUAUAAUGUGAUUUGCCAAUUGACAAAGUGCUUUUAAAACACGCUUAAAGUGUGAAAAAACAGUAUCCCCUGAACGUUGAAAACGCUCAGAUACAACCCUCACAACAGCACCAUGGGACAAUACAUACAAGCACAUUGCUACAGCCUCCUUGAUACAAACAUGUCUAUCAUUCUCUAAUAACUGUAGAUGUUCAAGUGUAUAACAUAAUCAAAUAAGUGUAUAAAUAAAACCAAAAAAUAUUAUUUUAAUUUAAUACGAAACUAUUUAAUAUACUACAAAUAUAGUUUUACCUUAAUAUAUUCAGCCCAAACAGCUUCCGAUGCUGUGACCGUAUUUGAAACAUGAUCCCAACCAAACCCGGUAUGAGCUACUAAGUCAGAAAACUCUCGAUGUUUUUUGCGCAACCUAUUAAACUUGGACUUAAGUUGCCCUACAUUGAAUCUUUUUUGGCAUUGUUCUAACAUCUCAUCACUUAUAGUGUUCCAAAUUUUCUUAGUGAAAGUUGAUGUUUGUAAAUCACCCUUUUUAACAUGGUCAUGUACAAUACGAAUAAAAACGGUUUCGGUCCGGCUAGACCAAUCAGCCUUAUCCUCAACAUCAACAUCAUGUGAAUCCAUAUCUUGAAAAAUUAGAAAAAAUAACACAUAUCAAAUAAUGAUCAAAUUCAACAUAACAUAUACAUAUUUCAGCAACAUGUCAUACAUUAAAAACUGAAUGGUACCAAAAAAAAAUAAAAAAUAAAACAUAUAUCAAAUAUUAAUCAAAUUAAAAACACUGCUAUUAAAUUUUUAGAUAUAAACAUACAAUUUUCAGUACAUGCUAUUAAUCCCCCACUAAAUUUCAGUAAUGUAAUCAACAUAAAGGUUGCAUUGCUAUGACUUUUUGCAUUAAUAUUGAUAACUAAAAGCCUUAACUUGCUUUUUGAACUUGGUUAUUUGUUACUCAAUGCAGACAGCUUACAACUUGAAGAUUUGGGAAUCAUUUACCACGGAAAUACCCACCCAGGUAUUUGGUAUGCUAGUGUAGUGUUUUUGGGAACAAUUUAGUCAUCAAGAUGUCUGGUUAUGGUGUAGCUAAUACCAAAAUUUGUAGAAGUAUCUAAAUAAAAAUAAAAUGUGCUCUUUAUUUUGCUAAUAUUUUUUGUUCUAGUAAUUUCAUAGAAUUUAUAUUGGUACAGAGAUAGCUAUGUCUCAAGCCUAUAGUAAUUGCAAUUUUCUAAAUGGCUCAGCGUCUUUCCUUGGUCUGAGGAACAAACAUGGGGAUGAAACAAAAAUCUGGCAUCAGAAUCCAUAUGCUGGCUAUUUUUAACAUUGCUUUUUUGGGUUUCAGCUAUCAUAGUCUAGAGUACUUUUGCACGGUUAAUUAAGUUAAUAACAGUGGAAAGUUUUCCAAUCAGCAUAAAGGAAUUCCCACAAGAAAUUGUUUGUUUUAAUAGAUUUAAUCUCUAAAAUAAAUGAGGAAAAAUUUCAGCUCAUAAAUAAACAAUUUGUCACUACAUAUGAACAACCUCAGAAAUUUCCAGAAUUAAAAAUCACUCAAAUCAUCUCUAAAAAUUUUCAGUUCAUAAACAAAAUAAAUACCAGCAAGUGACAGAUCCGGGAGAGCAACAAUGGUUGGGCAAGUGCAGAUCCGAGAGAGCAAGUGCACCGAGAGAGCAAGUGCAGAUCCGAGAGAGCAAAGACGAAGUAGCAGCAGCUGGACGGAGUCGGAGUAGCAGCAGCUGGACGGAGUCGGAGCAGCAGCGGUUACAGCGGAGAAAGAGCAGCGGCAGUGGCUAGCACACCAAGAGCGACCAAGAGAGAGAUUUGCUGCAACUGGAUUGAGAAAAUUGAGGGGAAAGAGGGUGCUGCAGUGAACUGGAUUGAGAGUGAGGGUUGCAGUGAAGAGAAAAGUGAGGGCUGCAGGGUCACGAUUUUUUUGUUGUUUUUUAAUUCAUUUUUAGGUUUAGUUUGUAAAAUUUGGAAAACAUGUUUAACUUGUUUUCAGUUGUAUAGUUAUAAUAAUGAAUCCGGAUUUUAUGUUUUGUAAUUUAUUUUGUGAAACAAAUCUACCGAACAUGUUUUAUGUGUGUAUUAUAAAAAUGAAAACGAAAACAUGGCUUGCAAAACGGUACCGAACGGGCCCUAAGUUAUCUGACAUCAGAUGACCGCUGUCAUCUGACCAAACCCCAGCAACCAUGGGAAAAAUCACCUACUUGUUUUAGGAGCAGGAGCAGGAGCAGGAGGAGGAAAUUAAGUUAGGGAUUUGGAGUGAUAGGGAAAAAGCUGAUUGUUGAGAAAUAUAUAUACCUUUUGUAUGGUUGUGUUAAGGUCGCCCUUCCAAGCCCAACUUGCUUCACUCCGCCGCUGCACUUCGUGUAAUUUGGGUGUACUUAAAUUUCCUUCAGAGAAAAUCUUCAUAUCGGGGCAAUCAUCCACCACUAAUCUUUCCAAAGAUGGGAACUUGAAAGCACAAUUGCCAGAGCAGAAGCUUGUCAAACUUUUUAAGUCUAAAAGCUUCAACUCCUUCAAUUCUCUGAAAGUAAUAACCUCAUCUUUUGCCACAACAUCAUCCACCAGUACUAUUUCUGUUAUCAUAACGCAUGAUUUUAUCUUCAUAUAUCUAAGUCGCACCAGAGACUUUGCAAUUGAGGAUGUUAAUACGAUUUUCAAUCUUUCGCAACUGAAUACCACCAGAUUUGUAAGAUUCUGAAAGGAUGUCGACGAUGGCACUAGAUUGACCAAACGGUCACACCCCUUUACACGUAGAAUAACCAAGUUGUUCGUAACAGAGGACUCCCUUAUCAAAAUGUUCUCCAGAUGAUAACAAUUAUUUGCUUCACUUAUUUCUACUGCCAUACCAUUUUCAACCUUCUCUUUCGGCGACCGGCCACCAUAUCCUUGUAUUUGGAGGACUUUCAUUGUGUGAAGUCUCUGGAGGAAGUCAUCAAGUGAUACAAUAGUCGGCUCAUCAACCAACUCCACAAAAAGAUAUUUUAGUUUGCAAAGCAAGUCUUCAAAAAAUAGAUAUUUAUUUGUUCCUAUGUACUUUGCAUCAACUUUCAACUCUUCCAAAUUAGGGAAUACCUGGGAGAUCGAUCAGAACCAAAAAAAAAAAAAAUACAAGAUGAAUCAGUUGAUGAGAAUUAUAAGUUACCACUAAUUUAUACAAUAUAUUUUAUUCAAUAAAUCAAUAAAUACAAGAUAAACUUUCACAGUACGUACAUAAGAAUUGAAAAUUUGAUUAUAAAAUUCUUGUACGUACCCUUUCUGUCGAGAUAUUAGUAGUUUUUUCGUAUCUCACCAUGAAUUCAGGACAUGCAGAUAUCCAUAAUUCUUCCAAGGAUGGAAAUUCAAGAAUAUCAAGAUCUCCAGUGCAGAAGCUUGUGAACUUUUCAAGAUCAGACAUCCUCAGAGAUUGCAACUGGGGAAACGUUACAAUAUUAUUCUUCAUUUCUUCUUGGUUGUCCACGACUAUUAACUCUUCCAGGACAGGACAUUUGACUAUCAUAACGUGUUGGAGUCGAACAAAGCUACUAACUGUAGAAGAUGAAAAUAGACAUCUUAAAUUCAUACAGCUGUACAGGGUCAAGCGCGUUAAAUUUUGAAUACCACAAGACAUGACUGCAACUUGGUUCAGCCAAAUCCUCUCAACAUUUAUUGAAUACAACAUCAACUCCUCCAAAUUUGGUAAUGCAACCUGCACGAUCAAAAAAUUAACUUGUUAAUUACAAGCAACAAUUAUUAAUCACUCUUUGCCAUAUUUGUUACCAAACAGGAAUAUAACAAAGAAAAAAAAACAAAAAUUAUAGAGAAUUAAUAAGACGAUUGACUUAUUAAUAACUGACCUUCUCAGGGAAAAGCGUAUUAUAAAUUUGGACAUUGUCCUCCAAAAUGAUUUCAUGUGACUGCAAAUCAUUAUCUGAUUCCUGUUGUCUCUGUUGACGUUGCAGGUGUCUUGAUUUUAGAGCGUAAGCCUAAUUGUGAGCACAAUCUUAAUGCAUAGAUACAAGAUCUUUAAAAAUUAGUAUAAUAAACUUAGCACUAAAUUCAAAUUUCAUAUUUCGGAUUCCAUGAUUAAGAUUUUUUAAAUAAAAAUUUAAUAGAGUUAAUUUAAAAAUAAAAAUUAAAUAUGAAAAAUAAACUUGCAAUUAUGGAUUUAAUUUUGAUAAAUAAUGAAUGUUCUCUUUAUAUUUUUUUUAAAAGGUAAAAGAGCAUACAAAGCCCAAAUUCAUUUUUUUAGUCCCUUACUCUCCCUUGAUUCAAACUUGGGUGGUUGUAGGAGGACUGAAAAUAUAUAAGACAGUUAACUUCACUUUUUUUUUUCUUUUUUUUUUGUUGAGAGAAAAGAGAAGAAGGAUAUUACAAAGCAUGAAGCUCGUGCAAUAUAAGGGCAAUUGUGGUUUUUUCUUUAAAUUAAAAUGGUAAGAUUCUGAAGCUAAAAGAUUAAAAUAUUAAUUAAAUUGCAAACAUUAAAGAUUUUUUUUUUCCAAAAUUGGUUGCUUUGAAAAUGAGAAUAAUAUAAUAUUUGAAGACUUUUCAAAAUUAAUUACUGUGAUGCACUAGAAAUUUCUAGCUUUAGUCUAAUGUAUAAAUUGACAAAACGAUAUUAGAAUCCCAGGUGAAAAGAACCCUCUCAUACCAAUUAUUUAAAUUAGGAAUGAUCAUACCUCUGACUCUGCCGGAUUGAGGGCGAGCCAGAGACGCUUGAGAUGGGAAGAGCCCACUUUGACUAAUUCAUUACGAAAAUAAUCGACAUCUUGCUCUUGCAAUCCACAUAAUUGAAGGUCUUCAAUUCUCUGCAGUUGCACGAUCAGCGAAUCCUUCAAGCAAAUCUUGUUAUUUAGCUCGAGACUGAAUUCACGACACCCAAUGCCGGUGCUCUCCCAAUAGCCAUCAUCUCCAAUGCGUAUGCUGUACCUUUCCAGCUUCUCCAAGAGCAGGCCUCUGGGCAGAGUGCUGACGUCACGGGCGCGUAAUUCCAAAGAGGUCAAGUUGGGCAAAUGCUUCGACUCCUCAAGGCUUGCAUUCUUAAUCCCUUCUUCCACCUCCACCUCCCAUUUAUCAAAGCUUAUACGACCUAUAUAUAGUUCUUCUAAACGGGAUAAUUUUGACAGUAUAUUUGGUGGAAUAACUUCUAGGUCCUCACAAUCUCUCAAAUCAAGCAACUUUAGCCAAGUCAAUUCACCUACUUCUACCGGCAACUUCUUAAUAUCAGAAUCUCUUAGGCAAAGGAUUUCUAGUUUCUUCAAGUCUCCUACAACACUUAGAUCAGGCAGGUAGCACCAACACAAACUCAGUGUUCGAAGGUUUGACAGGAGACCAAGUGAUGAAGGCAGUGACCGUAGAUCCAUGUCAGUCAAGUUUACAACUCUGACCUGUAUCAUCCUCUCGAAAAAGUUGCUUGGAAUUGUUAAUGAUGAAGAUUCCCAACGACCAGCACUUAGAAACAGAAGUUCGAGUUGAGGACAUUCCAGUACUUCAGGAAGCAAAUUAGUCUUGAUACCAUGCAAGACGAUUGAAGUGCAAUGCUUUAUUGCACUUCCGUCCGACCAUUCCCUGCAACCAUCAACCUGCUCAUUUGUAGCAGUAAACACAUUUCGUUCAGUAGAUGCAAUUGAUAUGGCGACAUCGCGAACUACAUCAUGCAUAGAAAACAACUCUUCAUCCUUGCUUUCAUGGUCAAGCAACAUACAAGAAGCUUUGAGUGUGCGCACCAAUGUAUGUACUCGAUUUCGUGCUUCUUCAAUCUUAUUCACGCCUUGAAAUAAACCCAAUCCCAUACCACACAUUAACAAGUCAUCAAUAGAUGCUAUGGCUGUAUAUCCUAUUAGCAAAAAGAUGUUCUUGAGAUCAUCCCUUCCUAGUUUAUUGUAGCUCAACUCGAUAGCUUUAAAUGCGGCUGGCUGAACAUCCUUAAAAUUCGAUGAAGAAGGCCUUCUUAGCUGUUCCAAUGCAUCCUUCCAUUCACGUAUGCUGUUGCUCCUUAAUGCCCUUGCAACCGUCACAAUGGAAACUGGUAGACCUGCACAUUCCUUUGCCACAUCCCUUGCUACCUCUUUCAAUUCAUUACCUUCAACAUAAUCACCUGCCAUCUUCGUGAAUAGACUCCAAGCUUCAUCUUCUUUUAAAAAUCCAACUGGGAAAUUUUUUCGAGACUCCAUCUCUCCAGACAAUGCUUGUUCACUCCUUGCCGUGAACAGCACUUUAAUUCCAACAUCCAACAAAUCAAGAUUUUCCCAAAUAUUAUCCAAGAUUACAAGGAUCCUCUUCUCUUUCUUCAGUCGAUCAUAGAGUCUUCUUGCCCUACCCGAUUCACUCUCCUCAUCAAAUUUUAGACCUAGUUUAUCCGCGAUUUCUCCUUGAAUCUUUCUUACGUCUCGACUCUCAGACACCUCAGAAAAAACCACCUGAUCGAAAAGCUUGUCACACUCUGCUUUUCUGGCAACUUCUUUAGCUAGCGUCGUCUUUCCGAUUCCGCCCAUUCCAUAAAUCAAAAGCAUGUUGACAUUGGGAUUUUUUAAUGCAUCAAUUAUUUCAUUCAGAAUGGACGUUCUUGAUUCAAAGGCCUCGAAGUCUUUGUUAGGCAUAAGCAAGGUAUCCUCCGGAAUGAUGCUGUAGGAAAUACUAUUAACUGGUCUAGCGUCCAGGACUUUGACAACAGCCUCCUUCUGCCUCUCUGCUUCCUUGCUAAGUCGAGGGCGGGUCUUCAAAUUAGGACAUAACCCCUUGAAACAACGCUUAUUUGCAGUGGCUUCAUCUUCUGUAAAUUUAUCUGCCUCUUCAAUGACACUGUUGGCCGUUGCAAGCCAAUUCUCAACGUUCUCUUCAAUCUCUUCUCCUUUUCUUUUAGCCUCAUCAACCUGGUGCUCUGUACUCACCCUCUCAGACUUUAGUUUCGCAACUUCAGUGUUGAGAUUCUGUAAGUUGCUCGUGUACUUACUCUCACGCAAAUAGCUAAUUUGGCGAUAUGCGGGAGGAGCCAAGCACUUUACAACUUCUAAAACAAUAGUAAGAAUGAUUUCAGCCAUCUUCAGUCCUUUGUCCUUGUCUCUCUAUCUCUUUUUUUCUGAAUUUUGGAAAAACAAUUCAACAAGUGACCACAACAAGAUGGAACAAAAUAAAAAGGAAAAAAAAUACAAAGAGUGGAUGGAGAAUAAAACAGAGACAGCGGCACAGCUAGACGCAACUAGAUAGAGAACAGAGGAAAACCAAAUAACAAGACUUAAGAUUACAACAAACAGAGGCCAAGUAUUGUUGAGAUCAGAAGAUGGAAAAUUCAAAAGAGUUGAUGGCAGAUGCUGAAUAACAAAACAACAAUGAACGCAACAAACUGAAGCAAAGUGUGUUUGUGAUCGACAGACGAAAGUAAGGAAAGUGGUUGUUGAUUGAAAAUGAAUGAAUGCAAAGAAAGACUGAUAUUGAAAAUUGAUGUCCAUAGCGAAGGAAUAAUUGAACUUUCGCUGAAUUAUUGUUUGUGCCUUCUUUUACUGUUUAUUUGUGGGUCAUGUCUUUUGGAACUAAUCAUCUUAGGUUAUGCCUUAUAGCUUUAAGGCCGGUAAACCGGUGUCCGUUGGAUUAGCAUAUAGAAAUCCAACGGUGGAUAUAUAUACUUGGAGAAUAAAAUUCAAGAGCAAAGGGAGUGCUGGGCUGCAGUUUCUUAAGGAGAUUUAUAUAUCCUCCUCAAAAAUAAAUAUUUUAAGGUAGGUAUUUAGACUAUUUCAUCAUAAAAUAAAUGUAAUUAAUUUUCAUAAAUAUUUGAUAUCAAUAUUUAUUUAUUUUUUUAAUUACUGAUGACCUUUGAAUAUUCGAUACAUAUUAUUAAUUCAAAAAAAAAAUUGUGAUUAUUUAUUAAUGUUUGCGAUUACUUGUGAUGGUAAACAAAGUAGAUAUGGUAUAUUUUGAAGUUAAAUUAAAAAAAACAGAGCUUUUACCAUUACUUGCCUUAUCAUCUUUUAAAUUAGAAUUAUUAUUCUUCUAUUUUUCAAGUUGCCAACUCAUUGUCUUUUAUUGAAUUUAACGAUCAAUGAUCAUAAAAUUGUGUAAAAAUUUUAAGUCAAAACUUUAAAUUAAAAUAAUCUUUAAGUUAUUGAGAAAUAAUAACUUAAUAUAACAAAUAUUAUAUCCUAUACUUUAUUGCUACAAAAUUACGAAACUUUAUAUUAUGUUUUCAUAUUUCACCUUUAUAGUGACGACUCAUGCUUCUUCUCUAAUAAAUGCUAAAGUAUUGGCUUGAAUUUUUUAAUUAGUACAGUAGAACCUUAAGCUAUAUAUACUAUAAUGUCCCUCUUCUCUCACAGAUUAAACCAAUCAGAUCUCAGAGUGAGUUGAUACCAUGACUUUGCAUCAUUCAUGAUCAAAGGAGCAUCAUUACUAACUAAUAUAGGCUCGAACAAUAGGCAUGAUAAUAAUUUUGUUUAUCUACAAACACUAUUUAACUCUAUCUCUUUUCUCUCCCCCACGCGAAGACUACUCCUUUCUCUUUGGCUAAUUUUUAAAAACCUCCCCUGAGGUUUGGACUUGUUGCAAGUAGAUGGCGAGAAUUUGUUUAUUUGUAAAAAACCCCCUACCGUCAAUUAACUUUAACAUUGACCGUUAGUUGACUGUGCAAAGAUAAUAUUACCCUUAACAAUAGUUUGUAGACGGAAAUAACUAAAAAAAAAUUUAAAAUUAUUGGCUAUUUUAUCCUCUUUAAAUUAUUGAUAUUUUCUUAAAGUUCCUACAAGAAAGAUAAAAUUUAAAAUUUAAAAUUUAAAAAAUCCUCUUUAAAUUAUUGAUAUUUUCUUAAAGUUCCUACAAAAAAGAUAAAAUUAAAAACUUGAAAAUGAAAUAGUUAUAAUCUUUACCCAUAAUAUUGUAAAUCUUUAGAAUUGACAAAGAUAAAAUUGUCAAAAAAUAGGGUUUGUGCUUUUCGCGCCAAUAAUUUUAAUUUUUUUUUAGUUAUUUCCGUCUAUAAACUGUUGUUAAGGGUAAUAUUAUCUUUACACAGUCAACUAACGGUCAAUAUUAAAGUUAACUGACGAUAGAGGGUUUUUUUAUAAAUAAAUAAAUUUUCGCCAUCUACUUGCAACAAGCCCAAACCUAAAGGACGUUUUUAAAAAUUACCCUUUCUCUUUUGACAUUUUUUACGCGUUUCUCUUUUCUCUUCCCCCACGUGAACACUUUUGCCUUUUGCUCGUUCACGUGAAAGUCGGUUUAGAAUUUUGAUCUUAUUUCACAAAGCUAAUUUUUUAUCACAAGCAGGAGAGAAACGGCAUUUCUUAGCAGUAGUUCAUCACUGUAGUGGCGAGCUAGUGAGGAACAAAAUUACCAACAAUUAUAAAAAAAUAAUUAUAAAAAAAGAUCACAUGCUAUAAUUAAUCAUGACCAUUGACAACAUUACUCCCACCGAGCAAAAGUUAACAGCAUCUUCUCCCACAUUUAAAAAAAAAAUAGUAUUAUAUAACCCACCAAAAGUAUAAAGAGUCUUUCUUUAUUAAAAUUAAUAAAUUACUCUUUAUAUUGAGAAAUUAAAAUUUAAAAUAAAAAUAAUUGAUAUGUUUAUUAUUUAAAAUAAAAAUAAAAAUAAAAUUUACAAAAUCAUAUAUUUUUAAAAUUAAAGAAUAAGAAUUUAAUUUCUUAUGGAGAGUGUUGGAAAUCAAGUUCUUAUUGCUUAAACUCCUAAUUUUACCUCACAAAAAUUUUAUAAGUUCACUUUUAUCCUUAAUUAAAAUAUUAUUAUGUUAUUAUUAUGGUUAUUAUUCUUAUUUUUGUAGUAGUUGCUGCUGUUGUUGUUGAUGAUGAUAAUAGUUGAUAAUAAAAUUAAUAAUAAUAAUGAAAAUAAUAACUAUAAUUUUAACAGCUACAAUAAUAAUCAUUAAUAUUAUUGUUGUCGUUCUUAUUAUUAUUAAUAAAAAAUAAUUAUUUUGAAUAAUAAUAAUCACAAUUAUUAUAACAAACAACGACAAUAAUCAACUAAUGUCAUUGUAAUAACUUGUAACAAUUCAUUUUUUAUUUCAAGACAAAGUAACCAUAUCAAUAAUAAUAUAGGUUAUUUCGAUUCUAAUUCUUACAAGUAAAAUAAAUAAUUUAUUCUGAUUCUCAUUUUUCAUUUUGAUUUUAUUCUAUUCUGAUUCCAGUUGAUUCUGAUUCCAGCCAAUUCAAAUUACCAACUAGAAAAUGCAUUGUUACUACUUUAAUAAUAACUAAUGAUUCUCCUCACAAUUCUUAUAGGAUUAUCCUUAUUUUAAAAUAAUUUUUUAUUCAUAUUUAUCAUAAAUUAAUUAAAUUAUACCAAUGAAAAUUAAAAAAAAAAGAGAAAACAUAUGUUUCGGUUUGAAUAAAAAAUUAAUAAUAAAAUAUUUUCCUUAUAUAUUUUUAAUAUUUUUAUUAUAAUAAAUAUUUAUUUUAUAUUCUUAAAAUAAAUUAUUAAGUAAACGAUUCAUUAACUCAUUUUUUUCCUUUAAAUUUUUGUUAUUAAGAAGAUUUUUGGGUAUUGACCGUGAAGGGCUCAACUGAUCGCUAAUUUUGCAGCAAUUGUCUUUUCUUUUUCUUUUUUUUAAUUGUUUUGAAAAAAAUAUUCAGACUCAUUCUGCAAAGUACCUAAGGCCAAAGCGCCGAAAGUUAGGACACCCACAUGUGCUUUUAUUCACAAAUUCUAAAAUUAGGUGGGGUGUCCAUAACGUACGUUUAAUAUAAGAGAAAUGCUAAAGGUCGGGAAUGCUGAGAGAACACUGAGAGAAACGGCAGCUUGGGCUGCCGUUUCGUGUUCUCUCACCUCCCUACUAAGAAAACGAGCCUCCACGUGUUCUCUCAGCUCCCCACUACUUCAGCUCAAGUUACUUUUGUCAAAAGUUGGCGUUUGGCCCCACACUCAAAACACUUUUGCCAAGUGAAUUGUGCCCCCCACGUGAAAGUUUGAGUUAUUUCUUUGCUCAUGACCAAGUAAAGCUAAGUUAAGUUUGAGUUCUCUCCUUACUCCUUCACUCGUUCACUUCUCCUUCGUUUCUCGUUCACUUUUUUGCUCAUCAAAAACCAUUACUUCAGCUCAUCCAAUCAGUGAAUUAGUGGCCAUUACUUCAGCUAAUUCAUUUUCCGAUCUAGAUCUUGAAGCAACACCCAAUUGGUAAUUAUCUCAGCUUAAAGAAUAAUUUUUUAUGUGUUUAUUAUUUUUUUGUUAUAUCAUAAUAAUAGAAAUGUCCUUGCAUUUACUGAUUAAAUGAUAAUGUGUUUAAUUUAUAAUUUUUUAGAAAUCUUUUUAUUUAAAUGAUAUGUUUGAUUUAUAAUUUUUUAAUUUAAAUUUUGUUUGAACAUAGAAUUAUUUUUAAUUUAAAUUGUGUUCGAUUUAUAAUUUAUUUAAUUUAAAUUUUUAGAACUUUAAUGGAUUAAAUUAUUACUGGAAAAAUGUAUAAUAAUUUAUUCUUAAUUUAAAUGUUGUUUCCACAUUGAAUUUUUUAUUUAAAUUGUGUUCGAUUUAUCAUUUUUUAAUUUAAAUUGUUAGAACUUUAAUGGAUUAAAUUAUUGCUGAAAAAAUUUAUAAUAAUUUAUUCUUAAUUUAAAUUUUGUUUCCACAUUGAAUUUUUUUAUUUAAAUUGUGAUUUAUCAUUUUUAUUUAAAUUGUGUUCGAUUUAUUUAUUUUUAUUUAAAUUGUGUUCGAUUUAUCAUUUUUUAUUUAAAUUUUUAGAAUUUUAAUGGAUUAAAUUAUUACUGGAUGGUGUUUGUAUAAAUUGAUCUUACAUUUUGCUUAAUACGAAUAUUAAUUAUUUUGUUGAAAUUGAUAAUUUGAAACAUGAAGAUGGAGUCAAAGAUGCGCAAUCGGAAAAAUAUGAGCCGACUCUUGGGAUGUUAUUUGAUAGCCAUAAGAAAAUGUGGUAAUUUUCAAUAUACUUAAGUAUCGUCAUCAUAUACUUAAUUCUUUCAUUUUCAAUCUUUAUUAUUAUUAUUUUUAAUAUUGGGUUCCAUGAGGAUAUUAUAUGCAAUUUUCCAUGACAUAAAUCAAUACAAUAAUGGCAAUAAAAAACUUAUAACAAUAACUUGAAUCUUAUAUUUAGAGGGACAGUACAAUCAUAUAUGUCUACAAACCAUACAAAAUAAAUAAUUGUACAAAUUAAAACAACUUAUAAAUAAAACUUUAAUAUAAAGCAUAACACAAUAAUCAUCAAGGGAACGGUGAACAUGGAGGAACGCAAAUGGAUGUUUACACUGUGGGCAUGUUGGAUUCCUAACAUACGAGGCCCAUCGAAGGAUGCAAGCUGCACUGCACAGAACAAAGAAAGAACGUCCAUUAAUGCUACCAUAAACGUCCAUUAAUCAUACAAGAGAUGGUAAGCUGAAAACCCCACAUAUUAACUCAUAGUCCUACAUAGAACUCUAACCUAUAAUAUGAAGAUGAUCAACGAGCCUUCAUAUAUGUCACAGUUCCAAAACCAACAAGUCAUGAGGCUGAUUAUAUUAAGGAAACCUCUAACUAUGUGACAACACAAAUAGAUUAAUUCUUGCAACAACAUUUUUAAGUUUUUCAAAAUUUUCUCCUUUUUUACCAAAACAAAUGCCUAAGAAAACCAAAAAAUAAACAAGCAGAUUGUCUCUGUAAAUUGAAUUAACAAGUUCUAUUACUAAAAAAAGGGUAACAAGGAAAGAAAAAUCCAAAAAAUAAACAUAUUGAAAGUCCAUUUCAAUUGCAUGGCACAACAUUAAAUUGAAGAAUUGACUGUACAAAAAAGAUCCAACAAUAUUUAGGUAUGAAAAGGAAAUUGAAUCCAAACCACAAAACUAAAAGCAUACUUCACUCGUGUGUACAAACUACAUGCUGAUACUCAUUUACCAUAAAAUAUUGCAGCAUCGAUUACCGAAGAAGAAAACAAUUCAAAGAAUGCCCCCAAGGCAAGCUCUAUCAAAGUUACAUAUGCAACAGACAUAGUAUUAUAGCAGAGAAACUCCAAUAAACACUCAUCAUGAUGCUUGACAAGAGAAUUAUUCAACAACUAACAACUACAGGGCCUAAGCUCAACUUAAACAUAUACUUGCAUCAAAGCCAAGUCCACACUCCAUAUAUGCUUACAUAAACCAUAUUUUCUCAAUUCUAACUGCAUUUAACUUAAUUUAUUUUGAUUUAUUUAUUCACUGGAAAUUUAUUUUGAUUGCAAAUUCUUCUAUCAUCCACUAAAAUGAUUUAAAUACUAGAUACAUAAAUACACACAUAUGACGAGUACGAAGGGUGAGAGAGAGAGAGAAGAGCUGCAGUAACAGCAAGAAAGUUAAGAUUUGUGACCUCGAAUCCAAGGCCUAUUUCAGAUGUCCCUAAACACUCUUAACUUAUGAAAGGCGCUAAUAAGUAAUCUGCACAGGAAGAUAGGGGAUAAUAACAGAAUUCGUGAUGCAUAAAUUCCAUUCCGAAUAACAUAGCAAAAAGAUGAGAGAUUUGAUUAGAACAAACCAGUAAGCGUGCUCGCAACCUUUUACAAGAGCUGUUGCCUAAAGAACUGUCUUAACCAGAGAAACUAAAAGAUCAAGAGAAAGUAAAACGGCUGGAACGAAGCGAGUUGCUGCUGGAGUGAACAAAAGGAAAGGAGUUGGAGUUAAUGUGGGAGUGCUGGAGAAGGAGUUGAAAAUAGAAAGAAAAAGGAGUUGAAAGGGAGUGCUGGAACAGAUCUGUUCUGUUGAAAGCGAAGAAGGAAGUGGAAGAAGGAGGAAAAUGAUUUGAAAAGGAGCACUUUUUCUUUUUCACAUGAGACAGAUAUCUGUUACUCACGUGGAAGGGGGGGGGGGGGGACGAAACGGCAGCACAAGCUACCGUUCUCUCAGCGUUCUUUCAGGAUUCCCGAUGUUUAGCAGCGCUCUUAAUAUAAUUGAUGGUUAGGUAAAAGUCCUUCAUUAACCCAUUAAAUUUUAAUAUUAUAUUAUUUAUUUUUAUAUUAAAAAAUAAUUAAUGUAGGAAAAUUCUUAAAAGUUAACGGAGAAGGAAGAGAAAAAGAAAAAGUGAAAACAAAAGAAAAUAUAAAGAAAAAAAAUUAAACGAGACAAAAAUCUGUGGCGUGGAUCAUUCAUAUCUUUUGCCUUUUCUUUUGUAGAGGUACAUAACAUGGACUUCCCUGCGGUGCCACAGUGACAUGGUGCCACAGUUUUUUGUCUUUAUUCUGUGAAGCCGUUGGAUGGUUAAUCAUUCAAUCCAACGGUUUAAAUUAAUUAUUGGAGGAAGGCCGCCAGAACUGACAACCUUUGUAGCCGGUUUUGGGUGAGUGUAAUACCAUCUAAUAGUGAGCGUGCAUUUCAAGAUCUUUUGAACUACGAAAUUUCGUUUCAGCGAUUUCAUUUGAAAAUCAAUCUGUAGACAGAAAGUGAACGCACGAAAUUGGUAUUACUGGAUCGCAAUUAUUGGUGGAAUAAUAUCAAACGGUUGAUGUGUACAUGAAUAUGUCCGCGCAGUCCGCGCAGUUGUAGGGAGGUGAUGGUGAAAUAAAAAAUAAAAUUCCCGGCAUGUGCAUUCGAAGGAAUUUAUGAUGCUGAAAGUCUGGGCAUAUCGAAUGAUCCGACGUAGUAGGUAAUUCGAUAUAAACUUGCAAUUUGUUUUAGUUGGAAUAUUUAUAAAAGUCGUGUUUAGGGUUAGUUGAAUAGUUGGUGGAAGAGUUCAGUAAACAAGUAGUAAUGGGGAAAAUUUUCGAUUAAGUAUGUAAACAGGGGUCGUCAAAGAAUGUGAGGUUACUAGGGAGGACUGAUUUGAGGAAUCUCACUGCACUAAUUGUCGGAUUGAAGCCACAAGAGGGACUUAAAAGUGUUCGACGAUGAAAUGAAAUUUGUUAGUAAGUAAAUAUCUUUUGUAAGUAUCAAUUAGUUAUAUGGGUAAUUGAUGAGGACAUACUUUUAUGGCAUGUUCUUAUAAUGAAAUUGUUAACUUUGUUUUAUCUUCUGGUGACCAAUAAUGUAUGGAUGAGAUGUUAGUGUUCAAUUGUUAAUUUGACUGUUGGAAUCAAUUAGGUGGUUGAUGUAGACAUGAAUGUGUUUCUUAGAAAAUCGAGAAUGUUGAUGAGCAUUUAUUGUGUGAACCCCCUCGAAAUGAGUCUAUGAAAAUGAUUGAUUAACAUUGUAGGCGGUGGCAUGGUUGUUACAGAUGAGUCUAUUUAUAGAUUGUGAUCUUAUUGUUGUGGUUUUACUAUGCCCUGUAAUUAAAUUCUGUAAAAUCAGAAUGGUGCAGUUCGUUAGAAGCACUCAUUUAUAAUUUCACUGCAGCAAUGAAGGUAGGGGAGGUUCGCAAGCGAAAAUGUAGGGACGUAAACAGCUUGAACGAAGAUAUGGAAGGCAAUCGAACAAUAGAACGUAUUAGCCAUUACGGAUUCAUCAGUUAUUUGUAAGUAUUUUUACUAUCUGAAUAAAUAAAUUUUAACAAUGACGAGUGGAUUGGAAAUGACUUGAGUUACUUUCAGUGGUGCAACUGUGCGUAGAAUGAAGGCAACAGAUGCAAACACCAGCAUUACAAGAGAGGUGCGUUAAAUGGAAAUAAAAUUUAGUGUACUGCAACACCUUUUUAAUUGGCAAUAAGGUGUAUGUCCGUGUGUUUCUAUUAACUGCUUUGCAGGUUCGAAGGGAAAUUGCGACGUCAUUUAAAAAUUUACCACCAAAGACGAAAUGGAAGUACAAAGUCCGAGUCGAACAAGCAGUGAAAGGGGAAGCAACUAACACAUAUUUUACGCGAUGUGCACCAGACAGAUUGGCAUCAGCUCUUACAAAUCUAUCUGAUGAACAAAGAGAAGCUGUAUGUGAAAUGGGUAUGGGGAGCAUGCUUGAGUUGAAUAAUGGUAGGCUGAAAAGGAAGCUUUGUGGUUGGUUGGUAGAUAGGAUUGAUGUAUGUAGGCGCGUACUAGUUUUGAAUGGUAAUGAGGUAGAGCUCAAUGCUAAUAGCUUUGGUCAUGUCAUGGGAUUAAUAGAUGGGGGCAUGCCUUUAAGAUUAGAGGGUGACAUCAAAGAAGUUGAAUCAUAUGUACAGAUGUUCAGUGCAUCAUCUAGAGGAAUCAACAUCAAGAAAUUGGCAGAAAUGUUGAGUAAUUCGACGGCAGCCAAUGAUAGAUUCAAAGUCACAUUUAUGUUGUUUACUCUAUAUACUGUUCUAUGUCCCCCUGGUGGAGUACACAUAAGUUGUAAUUUCUUAUUUUCUUUGAAAGAUGUGAACUGUAUCCAGAAGAGGAAUUGGGCCACAUUUUGUUUUCAUAAAUUUCUUGAAGGCAUUACUAGGUACAAGGAAGAGAAAUUUGCAUACAUAGGUGGCUGUCUUUUGUACUUAGAGGUGAUAUCGCAUCUUGGAAUGAUAUAGUGUCAAUAUUUUCCUUCACUUUGUUCAGUUGAGUAACUAACUAUAAUUUGCAUUGUUGUUUUUGUUAAUUCCAGAUGCUUUAUUUUAAUUCUAUAGUGUAUGGAAAAGUACAAAGAGACAGGUCUAUGUGUCCCCUGGCCUUGUGGAACGUAGAUGAGAUAAAGCGGUUGAUGAAAUGGAUAGAGAAUAAAGGUGGUUAUAGUAGCGAUGAGGUCAUCUCAAAAAGGAAUUGUAAAUUUGUGGGAUUCUAUGAAAGCAAAUAAUAUACUUACGAUGAAAAACAUGCGAUCCGUGAAUACUGCUUUUCAAUAUGUCCUUGCUUUACAUUUAUUGUAGUUGGAUGUUACGUAUAAAUUUGGUUCAACACUUUACUUAUAACUUCGUACUUGUAAAAUUGUUUUACUAGAUACGAGUCUGUGCUGCAUCUCUAAUAAAGGCCAACUCAAGGUCAGAUGGAUGCAGUAUGCCUGUGGAAAAAGAUUUUAGAGACUCGGAUGUUAGACAGAUGACAACAGCCCCGGGAAUGACGAAGAUAAAGUCAUUUAGUCAAUUGGAUAAGGCAGUAGUGAUAUCAAGUAGGCCAUCAGGAUAUAUUGAAAAAUUAAAGACAUAUGGAUCGUGCCGCAACAACCAUGGCAAUAAUGCUAAGGGGAAGCACUGGAGUGAUGCAACCAAAGGAGAGGGAGUUUGCACCAACUAUGAGAGUAAGCAAUUGUACAAAAGUGCAGCAAGUGGCAGUAUAUACCAGAAUAAUGAAAUCAAGGAAAAAGAAGUUUGUGAAGAUGCACAACAUAUGGAUUUAAUUGACGUAGCAGAUUUUGUCAUGGAGACUCAGACGUCCCCACCAUGCAGUGAAAGCUUGCAUAGUAACAUAAGGAUUGAGGUUAUCUGUAACUAAUAAAAGUUAAAUCUGAAAUUUUCAUCUUCGUUUAGUUGUUUUUUGUUAACCGAAUGUAAUUUAUGUUUUAUAAUUUUGUAAUUAUUAUGAGGAAAAUAUGUUGCAGGAGCCUGCUAUGGUGCAGAAGUGUUCAGAACCGAAUAAAAAGAUUGGGAAUGUAGUCCAUCCAAAGUCACCACUUAAUCAGAUAGGUGCUGGCAGAGCACGUUAUCAGGUUGGACCAUAUGUGAUGCAAAGACCUUUGAGUACUGAUGACGAGAUAUUGAUUAACUUAUGCAUGGAUGAAAAUUUGAAUAAGGGGUAACGUAUUACUUAUGUCGUUGAAUUAGUACUGGCAUUCAUAUAAAAAGUUACUUGAUUGUGUUUGAGCUUCGAAUAAACGGACUUAAUUGUAGGAAAUCAAUAAUUAUGGAAAAAAAUGUCUGCAUGAUAGAUUUUCCGUUGCAGGGAAAUGGUUUUUAAGACGAACUUCAAUUGCAUCGGCAGAAAUGAUAUUAUGUCUCUAUCUCCUAGAAGUACAAUCAAUGUGAAGGUACAACCACCUUCUGUUAAGUGAUGUACUUGUAUGAAUAAUACAUACACAUGUUAUACUGAUUGCUCUUGGAAUUUAAUAGGGCUUGAUGUUUUUGUUAUUUGUUUAUAUGUUGAAUUAAGUCAAUACCCCUUACAUGAAAUUGUUAAUACUCGUAAUUUUCAGAUUGUUUCUGCUGUCUCAUAAUUGUUAUCUGCGAAAGCGAGUGUAAAUGUUGGAAAUAGUAAUUUCAGCCUUUUUCUGCCAGCGUAUUCUGCUGUAAGGACUUUGUGUUAUAUUGCAAUAUUGGAAUUUUAUCCCCUAAGGGGCAGUUUAACAUAAAAUUUCGUGUGUUCAUUCAAUAAGGUGCAUUUGUUUACUAUGCAUGUAAGUUGAGAUAUUGUUCUUGCAAUUACAUUUAACUAGAGCAUUACAAAUAUUUGUUAUUCGAGUUUGGCAACCCACUAUUUCCAUUGCCUAUAAUUUUUGUUUCGGUUGUGAUAGCGUUGAUGUUCUAUAAACUAUACAGUUGCACGAUAACAUCAGUGGGGACCCCACAGACCUUACUUUUGGUAUUAAACAAUUUAUCAGUGGUGAUUUAUACCUGGCGAAUAUUGGUUCGUGUAAACAAGUAAGCAUUUUUUACUUAAGCCAUCAGCAAACCUCGUUUUUAGUUAAUUUUGAUGUUAUCUGUCAGUUUAUUUCACCCUGGUAUUGCAAUCAUCAAUAAAUUUUUGUCCCGGUGAACCAUGGUUUUACACACUGGUACUUAUUGGUUGUAUUAAUAUACAAAAUGCUGGUGGAGAUAUGGGAUCCACUGCCCACUGUAAUGAAGUCACAAAUGUUCGUUGUUGAAUGCAAACGAGCGGUGAGUUACCAUUGUAGAUGCCAAUCGAGUGUACUUUGUUGGCAAAAAAAAAAAUACUUAUAAAUGAACCAUUGUUGUUGUAAAUAAUCCUCCUUUGUUUUAAAAGGAAGUGUCAAAUAUUACUAUUGUUAUUACUGCAAUCUAUCGAUUGACGGAUGUUCCUGCAGCUAAAAUUCAUUGAGAUGGCGUUGCAACAUUGUGGCUCAAAUUGUUUAUCGGGAAGGUUAAACAUGAGCGAGUUCGUAAUCCAGCUUUGUACCAGACAGGCCAGUAUACGUAACGAAUCUGAUUGUGCACUAUAUGUUAUGUUGAUGAUGGAGAGACAUAAAAUGUGGUCGUGCCUUUCUGAGGCAGAGGUGCGUAACAUUUUUAACUGUUCAAUGCUAUAACCCAGGCCGUUAAUAUUAUUUAUGUAUCGAUUCAAUUUUUGCUGCCUUGUACUUAUUGUGUUUGUUCAUUUCAUUUAGAUAAAAUUUGAUUCAGAUAGUGAGAGGGCACGCAUUCUGAUAGAUCUCAUGACAUACAGUUUCAACUGUUUGAAGGACAAAGUUCGUUUGAAGGCUGAGAAGCAUCGAUGGCGUGUUGACGAUGAAGCCCAUUCAAUUUAUGAAGCGAUUAAAAAGAAGCGCGUACGACAGCUUCGGAGUGCGAACCAAAUAGGGCAUGGUCGCCGCCAUUAGCUGCAUUUUCUUUGACGUUCUAUUGUAUAAGUGCAUCCAUGCUUUUCGGAAAGAAAAAAUUGCUAGGUUUGACAGUUGCAGUUCAUCAUUCCAAAAAGCACAAUCAACCACUGACAAUUGUGAGUGAUAAACAACUUAUGUUUUGUUGUUGGCAUAUAACAAUAAAGUUUCCAUCGUGGAUGCCACAGUGUCUCAGUACUGAACUUAAUCAUUUAUGAGUUUACAUUGCUGUUAAUUUUUAAUUUGUCAAGACGGUUGUUCCUAGAGUAUUAUAUCAGUACAUGCUGUUAGCUGAAAUAACAUAUUCUCUGAAUUCUGCAUUUUAUAUGAUACUGAUACUUUGGCCUAGACAAGUUACUGAAAUAUUCAUUUUAUGUUGUAGUCUUGAGGAAGAUGCUUUUUGUACUAAUUGAACUCAACGAUGGAUUGAAUUAAGUUACGCAAGUUGUGCUUAUUUAAGCCUGGCAUAGGUAUAAAAAUUAUUUCUCAACUGCCUCUUAAAAUUUUUUUUUUCCAAAAUUAACGGAUAUAGUGGGAGCAAAAAAAUAGUUGUAUUAAAUCCCCAACCUCUAGAUCUUUUUGGAGUAACGCCAAUAUUCUUUUACAGAUUCCAAAUGUGGGCGUAGUUAGUUGGUGUAAAAGAUGAGGUUGCAAUGCAGUUGGAUUCACUUGCAAAGGCACUUGUGUUUAGAGUUUGGUCGGUUGAUUGACUUACUGUACUGGCUGAAAAUUGCUAGAACCAUGACUCUGAUGUAGGAGAAAAUGGUCUACCAUUUUCUCCUAUUUGGUACCGCGACAAAAUGUUCAUGUAUCGUGUGGGUUGUUGCGGCACGUGGUUUGUGUCUGCUGCAUCUGUCGCAUUUGGUCCCAUUACAUUACUACCACAAAAAAAUUCCAUGCAAUGGCUUGAACAGUCAUCCAGCUGUUGUCUUGUCCCUCCUCUUUUUUUGCACUUUCUAACAUUGUGGCCUCGCUGACCACAUCUGCUACAUUUUCGUUGUUGUGGUUGUCCCAUCUUCGUUUUUUUUUUAUUGAACCUUUGGUAAGAACAACUUCCGGAUCUUGUACCACUGUCUCUCUCCUCUCUAAAGGUUGCCUUGCUGGUUCUUUGGUCUGAGACAUUGCCUGCAACUUCAAAGUCAACUGGUGAAUAUAAGUAAUUGCCACAUUGUAUGCGGCCAAACUUGAUCCAACGAAUCUUAGCAAACUUCGACAUGCUGCAUAUAUUUGGCCAAUACGAGCCUGCUCUGUCAUGUAAUGUGAUUUAUUACAACUUAUAUCAGACAAAGUGUGAGCUUUUAUCUUUGCAGUUUUACUCCAUCGAGAAAGAAUCAUCGAACUUGGAAUUUCUGUCAUAUUCUGAGCCUUGAACACAACAAAUGAAUGCGAGCAUGGAAUUCCAAUUGUCUCAAGCAACUUGCAGGUGCAGGAUAAGGUUUUGCUAGUCUCAUUAAUCACUACUUUCACCUAUUUCCCAACCGAUCCAAACCGCCUAACCCUGUACGUUGUUGACAUUAUAUCCCGAUCACACAUUUCUGCAGUUAACAACGCUUCCUUGUCGAUUUCUUCUUGUACGAGGCGAAACAUGGCCCUUGUGAACUUUUCAGCUGCUUGCUGCUCAUACAUCUUUAAAUGUGUAACCAAAACAGGACGUCCAUCAGAACUGUUAAAGUCAUCCUUCCCCUUUGCUUCCUUUUGUCAAUCCAUUAGUCGGUCCAUCUGUUUAACAAAUUCUAUCAAUCGGAGCCUUCUAUUCACGUAAUGGUUUAGAUACGCAUUCAUUCCUUCCGACCUUUGAGUGCUUCUCAUUCCCCCAAAAAACUUUCCCCGCAAAUAAGCCUCAGCCCACAUAUGUCUAUCUUCAAACAUCUUAACAACCCAUUCAUUUGCGGCAACAUCAUGGUUAUCGACCAUCAAUUUCCAUUUUCGGUCAAAUUCUUCUUUUGUGUAAGCGUUCAUCAUGCAGCGGCGGAAUUCUGUUGUAAAUUCAGGGUUUUGAAUAUUUGUUUGAGCAUUUCGGACCAAAUGCCAGCAACACAACCUGUGUGAAGCUUCUGGAAAUGUCUUGCUUAUUGCAUUUCGCAUUGCUUUGUCCCCGUCGGUUACAACUGUCCUCAGAUCCUUGUUGUUCAUGGUUGUCAUCAAUGUCUCUAACAACCAUGUGUACGUGUGUUCUGUCUCAUCUGACAAUAGAGCAAACCCGAAUACAAUUGUUCGCUGAUGGUGAUUUAUCCCCAAAGUAACCACGAGAGGCUUCCGAUAUGCAUUGGUCUUGUAAGUUUGAUAUUUUUUUUAAGAUUUUAAAGAAAUAUCAAUAAUUGAUCCUGGUCAAAAUAUUUGUUUUAAUUACUUAUGAAAUUGUAAAUAUUUGGAAUUGUAAAGGGCGAAAAUGUCAAAUAAAUAGAGUCAGUUCCCCUUACGCAUCAUAAGUUUCAGCCCUUGUACUUUAGUUGUGUCAGUCUAUAAAUUAUUAUUGGGGGUAAUAUUAUCUUUUGAAAGUCAACAGUUAGUCAAUAAAAAAUUUUAACUUACGAUACGGGAUCUUUUACAAAUAAAAUAAUUUGAACCCAUGUACUUGCAACAGCCUCCAACCUCAGGGGAGGUUUUAAAAAUUACCGUUAAUAAACUUUAGCAUUUUAGGGUGACCCUUAAACCUUUUGGAUCCGACUGUCGUGCAAUAGUUGCACGCUACCCCAAAUUUUGUAUUUUUUCAACUCAGCGAACGGAUCAAUGGGUAAAGGGUUCAACGGCUACAAUGUGUUUAACUGGUUCUAUUAACACUUAAGUCCCUACUGUUUAUUACAAAUUCAUAAAAGCUUUACGUUUUUAAAUAUUCACAUACAUAACUUGUGUUAACAUUUUUAAAGUUUGAUCCAUUGACUUAAUUUGGUAAAAAAAAUGAUUGAUGCCUUGAUCGUGUAAAUAUAAUAAUGUAAUAUCGCAUAAAAUGUUUAAACACCUUUUAUAUUAACCUUCAUAGUUUAUAAAAUUAUAAAAUAAAAAAUGGAUUGGGCCACAUUGCAACAGUAGUACCGUGCCACAGUUGUACCUGUCGUUGGAUCUAUUUAAAUGAGUAGGGUGUGUUUGGUACAUUAUAUCAUAUUAUAUUGUAUUGUAUUAUGUAAUGCACAUGUAUUAAAUUAUAUUAUAUUCUAUUACAUUAAUAGUAUAUUAUAAUAAUUAUAAUUAUAUUAUACAACGUUUGGUAAAUGGUAUUAUCAUGUAUUGCAUUAAUCUUAAGAAUUUAGUCAACUUAUAUUAUUCUAUAUUCAUUAUUAAUUAUAUAAAAUUUUAUUUUCAUAUAAAUUAUUGUUAAAUAAAUAUAAUAUCAUAUAGAAUAAUAUUAUAUUAUAAUAUUUUAAUCUUUUAAUUUAUUAUAAUAAAAUAAUCAAAAUGAUUAAAAUAUAUUCAAUGCUUAAUUAAGGUUAAAUAAUAAAAUUAACAAAAUAUAUUGAUGACGACGACAACGACAUUAAUAUUAAUAUAAUAAUAAAUAUAAUAAAAAUAAAGAAAUUUAUUAAUAUUAAAAUUAUUCAUAUAAUAUAAACAAUAAAAUCAUAAUAAAUUCAAUAUUAUUAAUAUAAUAAUAAUGACAUUAAUAAAUAGUAAUAAAAACAGGAGGAAACAGUUAAUGUUUUACUCAAAAGACAUUUUAUGAUUUUAUCCAGAGAAAAUUACCUAUAUCUACAAAUUUGUAACUUAUGGUAUGUAUUCAGUUUUCUUAUAAAGUGAAAGGUAAUAUUGUGUAAUUUUUGGAAAAAGACAAAAUUCAGUGAUACCGUUAAACUGUUACACGGUAGGCGGACCCUUGUCAUGUGCCUUAAUAUGACACCAACUUCAAGUGGUGCAUUACUAAUCCAAGGCGUCACAUUAAUACUUGCUUGCCACUUAUUAUUUGAUGCCAUUUGGUAUAAUGUGUACUUGGUAACAGAUGUUUAAUGCUUCAUCAACAUUUUGCACGUUGUGAUGACACCAUGUUCAAUUCACUUGUUGUAACACCACCCGUUUUUUGUUUCAUCUACUCUUGUGCAUUCCUGAUUUGCAACUCCUUUUGUUCCUUAUAAAACCACAACUAUUCAUGGACACUCCAUAUUUUUUACGUGAGUCACAUACAACGUUUUACACUUACUUACUGUUACGGUUUGAGGUUGUCAAUAAGUAAUAUUACAUUUUCGUUACAGCAUCGAUUACCAAACGGGCAGGUCGCAUAAGUGGCUUUCUGUUUCAGCUAUCAUCAAUCAUUCAGGUGCAUCAACAAAGGAUAUGGGUCAUUACAUAAUAUAAAUCAGUCUGUCCAAGGGAAUUCAAGGAAACCAGUUGCAAAUGUGUUUGUUCGAAGUUACAAAAGCACAUAAAUAUAUCACAGAAAACAUAUCCAAUGGAAAUAUUACACAUUAAUUCCAGCUCCAAUGGAAGUCCCGCAGCAUAUCGAACUCUAAUGACAUGAAUCGGCCCCAAUAACACCAAACACAUCUAGUUGACUGUUUCCCUAGUAACCCGAAUGUUAACAGUAGGAGACUGUAUUCGAAAGUUGAGAAUUUUGCGACAGAGUGUUUGCAAUCUGGCGCCUUGAACACUUCCGUGGCAGUGGUAUAUGAACUUGUCCAACACUUUACUAUGCCACAGGAAGUACUCCACCAGGCGUACGUCAUCUUUUCCGUCAGUAAAUGCUUUCAUCUUUAUUUUUUUGACGCAUUCACUCAAGCAAUGGGGCACAUUUUCUGUCUCCAGCCACCCAAGUUCGUGGUCGUUUACGUCGAACCAAUCUCCCUGAUAAGUUAAAACAGGCAAACCCAUGGUUAACAUAUUGAACCUAGUUCCUGAUGACUGCACAUGACUAUUGUCUUACUGACCUUCGUUAAUAUACAAGUACGCAAGUUGUAGGUGGCAGUGAGGAUAGUAUGUAGACCUUUCCAGCCACUUCGUCGAACUUCAACAUCCAAAAAGGUGAGGUUGUCAAACCAAAUCAGGGACUGCCUUUCGCAUGCCCGCUUAAGUGCUUGUGGUUUAAUUGGUUAUUACACAAACAACAACAAUAACAACGUUCUGUCACUUUCAAGUAACAAAUAAUUAACCAACUUAAGCCCUUUUGUUGAAAUGCAAAAUUUGGCCUGAUUGUCCAAGGCUUGCUGACAUUCCUUAACAGUUCAAGCAAAACAAUACAUCUCAGCCUUAUGAUCAAUACAAAAACCUAACAGUCAUAACAGAUGAAAAAAUUGUAUAUCAAUCUCUGUCUACCUUUCUCCCUGCAGCGCCGCUCUGUCAAAAUAAUACUAUGUACAUAUCACAUUCGGAUUGAGGACAGCGGCGCAGGGAGAGUUUCAUAAAUUAUAUAAAUUUAUGACAGUACAUGUCGUCAUUCAUCAUCCAUAUGUAACAUAGGUUAACAAUAUAUAAUUCAUUUCACAUCACCAAGUUCAAACAACACACAAACCUUUAUAUCAUCUUUUUGUGGUAAUUGUUUUGCUACUCUACAAGGACUCAACCACCACCAUUGUUUUUUGUUGGUGAAAUUUAGGAUCAUGUUUCUGACAUUUGCAAUUUGACAGUGGAAAUAAUGACAAUUUAAACUACUAUAUAAUCCAUUUACAUGCAAUUACUUACUUGGCCAAUUUAAAUGUCAAACCAAUCUUAAACUAAACUUUAUACUAAUUGCAUGUGUGUGAUCACGUUGUUACAUUGAUACAAUAUGUCACAUUGCAAAUGUUACCCCUUAUAUGCUAGUUUACAACCUAAAAUUACCCGGUACUUUUUUUAAAUGAAUAUUUAGAUGCUGGUAUAGUAUGGGAAUGCUUACCAAAAGAACACCACCGGAUAGGAUCAGACGAGCUGUUUUUGCGACACCCUCAAUGAGGUUGCGAGCACGUUGUGGAUCAACUGUAUCCGAUUCCCAAUGUUGAAGAUCUAAAGUUGCUUACUGGAUGGAUUGCAUCUCAUGUACCUCAUAUUCCAUCAACAUGUUAUCAACAAUAUGGAUUAGUUGGAGAUUUGGCGCCAUAAUGACAGCACAAUGGUGGUAUGACAUCCCUCGCAACGAGGUGAAGAGAACAACAAACGUCAGUGUGUUAAGAGUUGCCGACUGAAUGAUGAAGUUCGCUGGAGGAUCAUCUGGUUGUAUCAAAAUUGUCAGACAGAGUUCCGUCAGUGAAGGGCAACUACAAAACAGCUUCUCUUUAACUCGGUUUUCAAGAUGGGUAAUACAUAUUUGAAGAAUCUUCAGUUGGGGAAAACACACACCAUCCGGAGGAUCUUAUAAGCGAAAUGCAGUGUGUAGUCGAAGAACUUCAAGCGUCAUCGAGCUGUACACAUAUGCAGGCAACUGCAUGGGUGCGUACUGGAUAAUAUCGAUUUCCAUCUCCCGAACAUUCCGCAUUAUUACCUGAGAUACCCACAAAGGAAACCGAUCACUACGUAUAGCGUUGACACUCUGAAGAGAGAACGUAUGUAUUGAUACGGGGUCCGUUCCAGCCAUCACUGAUUCUAUGAAGUUGUUAAAUUCAUCCACCAGGUCAGGAUUGUCAGCAGCAGCCCCCAUGGGACCCCCAUCAUCAAAGCAGAGGUUGCGAACUGAGGUCCAUACAUGCCUCCAUCUUCGCGAAAGACUUGAAGUGGCCACUGCAUCUUCGAGUGGCAGAAAAUUUAGGAUAUUGGACAUCACAGAAUCAGGCAAUGCACUAAUCCUGUCUUCGGGUACUUUUUUUAGCACUCUUCCCCGUCGGAUCCGCGGAACCGAACCAGUUGAUCUCCUCAUCCUUAAGGCAACUCACCUUGGCCUGUGGGACCAUUAAAUACAUUUAAAUUCAUAAUAAUCUGCUACAAAAAUCAAACCAUUUACACAGACGUUAUUUAGAUGUACAAUGUAGGUUGUUAAAUUCACUUCCACACACAUGGUCAUAGUUAACAUUUAUAAAUAAUUUAAAGGUUUAAUUAAGCAGUUACAGUAUGAAUUGCAUUCAAGCAUAGAUUUUUUAAAAAUGAAAAUUUUAUUGACUCAUCCUGAAAAUUAUAUAAUCUAUUGAGGUCGUUGAUUAAUCAAUUAGAAUCAGGUGUACAGAGAUAAAAUAAUACACACAAAAGUCCAGACAUUUCACCAAUUAGCUAAUCCUUUUAGUAUUAUUCCCCAACUUAAAACGAUAUAUCCUAAAACCUUAUCCUUUGUAAGCAUCGCGAUGAAUUUCCCUAACAUAUAUCCAACACAAGCAUUCAAUGUUUAGGUUCAGACUCAUUAACAAAGAUCCACCAUUGCUAACUUAUCGUCGUCAAAAUAAAACAAAUAUGGCACAUUCGCGAAUGAACCAAACAAUUCACCAAAAGGAUAGAAAGUAGAAGGGUUCAGCUGUCUAACGAAAUAUUAGGGGCAAUAAUGGGGAAAAAACAAAAAAAAAAUUGAUGCAUUUGUUCUGGGAACUGUCGUCGUUAUGUAGUGAGUUAAUGCUUGUUUUGUUUGGUGGUUAUGUUAUUGGCCACUGGGCUGUACAUUCCCGGGAUGUGUGACUACAUUGAUCAUUGUCACUCUCGAGAUUGCGGCUUCAGUUCAAUCCGUUAUGAAUCCUUGUGCCAUUGUGGCAACUGGCAACUGCCAUGUGAAAUUGAAAUAUUUGCUUCAGACAAUUACUCGGUGCUUCAAACAAUAAUAUUGUGGGCCCAUUGUUUAGGUCAGUCGCUUUCUCACUUCCCUUGUCUUUCUGGAUUGAACACGUUUGGAUGGUCUUUCAGUUCAACCUUUUUCAUUGCCUCAUUUGUCUCUUGUGGUGCUUGUCAACUUUAGAUCCUUCCAUACUUGGCCGGACACACAAAUUUAAUUUUUUAGAUUGCAUGGGGCCAUGGAAGUAUGAUGACUUCAUUCGGCAUGUGCGCAAUGUGACAACAAGUUUUUUCAUUUUUCAAUUAUGUCCUUUUUUAUUUAAUAUUAUUUAACCAUAAGCUUAUUAUUAUAUUUGUUCUUUUAUAAUUAAAUAAUAAAUAAAAAUAAAAUAAACAUAUUCAGUAGUUAGCAUUACAAAUUGAGACAUUUUUAUUAUUAUUUAUUUUUGUUAUUUAAUAUUAUGUACACAUACAGUUAUUAUUUAAACUAAUGCUUUCAUCAAACAAAAUAAUGCAAAAUAAUAAACAAAUCAUUAGUAACAAGUGUUAACAAAUAAAAUUAUUCUUUUAAUUUACCCAUAGGCUUACAAUUAUAAAUAAGCUUAUUUGAAAACUAAAUAAUAAACAAUUUUAAUAGUGUGUUACAUAUUAUAUAUAUAUAUAUAUAUAUAUAUAUAUAUUAUAUAAAAAACCUCAUUUUAUUUUAAUUUAGUCAUGUAGGUGCAAUGGCCAAGUCCGAAUGUUCAUAUUUGACCUUUUUUUUUUGCUGCGAGUUUAUACGUGUUAAUAUAUAUGCGAAUUAUUAUUUAUAUUAAACUAUAUGUUUCUCUUUGUACAUAUUUAUUGAUAUAUAAAUUUUAUAUGUUUCUCUUUGUACAUUUGUCCCUGCUUUAAUUUAAUCUUUAUCUGAAGGUAUUAUUAUGAAGAUUCUAUUUAACUUAAUUUUGAUUCGUGUUUUUUUUUAAUUUAUAAAUAAUACCCAAUUAAUUAUUAACUACUUGUCCUUCAGCGGAUUAUGUAGACAGACAAAAGAAGAAAAGGAAUUUAGAGAAAUUAAUGUGCAUUGAGAUAACCGCUAAUGUAGGGACGAAAGAAUUAUGCACAUGACCUUCUUAAUGCAAGUAUGAACUUGGUGAAAAUUGAGAAACUUUUUUUAUGUUAUUAUUACUUAACUUUUUGAACGUGGUUUCUAAUAAUUCGCACAUUUGCUUUUGAUCUUCUUUUGUUUUUAUAGAUCUUUAACAAUAUAAUUUUACUUCUUAUUUUCAUGACUUCUUAUUUGAUUUAUUUUAUUUUUGCAGCAUACUUCUUUAGGGUCUGCCUACCGUGCAACAGUUACACGGUACCAUUGAAUUUUGUCUUUUUCCAACAAUCAUACUACACUACCCUAUAUUUAUAAGAAAACUGAAUAUAUACUAUAAGUUACAAAUCUUUAUAUAUAGGUCCUUAUCUCUGGAUAAAAUUAUAAAAUGACUUUUGAAAAAAAAUUUAAUUGUUAUUAUUAUUAUUUAUUAAUGUCAUUCUUAUUAUUAUUAUUAUUAUUAUUAAAAUUUAUUAUUUUAAUUGUUAUGAUUUUUUUAAUUGUUAUCAUUAUUAUUAUUUAAUAAUUUUAUUACCGUCACUAUUUUUAAAAUAUAUUAAAUUUAUUACUGAAUUAUUAUUGAAUUAUUAUUUUAUUAAUAUUAAUAAAUUUAUUAAUCUUAUUAUUGUAAUUAUUAUAUUUAUAUUAAUGUUGUUGUCGUCAUCGUCGUCAUCAUCAUUAAAUUUUAUAUAUUUUUUUUGUUUUGACUAUUAAAUAAUACCACUGUCAUUAUUAUUAUUUUACCUUAAUUAAGCAUUACAUAUAUUUUAAUUAUUUUUUAUUUUUAUUAUAAUAAAUAAAAAAUAUAAAAAUAAAUUAUAAUAUAAUAUUAUUUUAUUAUAUCAUAUAAUAUUUAUUUAAAAAUAAUUAAUAUGAAAACAAUUAUUUAAUAUCAUUAAUAAUAAAUUUAAAUAUUUUUAGUUAAAUAUUAGUACAAAAUUAAUGCAGUACAGGAUAAUACCAAUUACUAAAUGUUGCAUAAUUUUAUUAUAAUUAUUAUAAUAUACUGCUUAUAUAAUAUAAUAUAAUAUAAUAUAAUAUAAUAUAAUAUAAUAUAAUAUAAUAUAAUAUAAUAUAAUAUAAUAUAAUAUAAUAUAAUAUAAUAUAAUAUAAUAUAAUAUAAUAUAAUAUAAUAUAAUAAUAAUAUAAUAUAAUAUAAUAUAAUAUAAUAUAAUACAUGUGCAUUACAUAAUACAAUAUAAUAUAGUGUGUCAAACGGACCUUUAACUUUUUGAGUGAUGAUGGUCUAGAGGGAUGUAGAGAAAGUAAAAAUAAUCCUAGUAGAUCUUUUACAAUGGUUGAUUAGCUAUCAUCACAAAGUUUAGGCUAAUACAAUAAAAGUUAACGAACUACCUUAUAUUUAAAAGAGCAUUUGGAAAUCAAUAAAUUUACUAUUCAAUUAUUUUUAAUCAAGAAUAAAUAAUAAAUGAUCAUUACAACAAGAUUCACAAGCUCAAAUAUCUUAAAAAAUGAUAAUUCUCAAGAAAUAUGAAACUCAAAUGCUUUUGAAAUAUUCUUCAAAAAAUAAACUAACUUCCUUUUAUGUUAUUCUUUAUUUAUCUUUCUAUAACUUUGUUGGGCUAUGUAUAUAUUGAUAUUUUAUAGGUAAAUUAACAUAUUGUAUGUAUAAAUAAACUAACAUGUCAACUAAUGUUAAAAACAAAAAUGUAAUAAAAAAGUAAAGUUUUGUAAUAUUAAAAUAAUAAAAUUUUACAACCUAAGACUUUUUACAUGUUUUCUUAUUUUGAAAUUUCACCUUUUUUUAUUUUAUAAUUUUCUAAAGUAUAAAGGUUAAUAACCUAUAUUCUUAAAACAUAUUCAAUUUAUUUAUUUUACAGUAAAUAUAGAUUAUAUAACAAAAAAUAUUAUUUACAUUUAUCAAAUUUUCAUGUGUUUAAAAAUUUUAUGUGAUAUUACAUUAUUAUAUUUACACCAUCAAUUAUUUUUAUGAUCAAAUUAAGUCAAUGGAUCAAACUUUAAAAAUUUUAAAACAACAAAAAUUAUGUAAGUGAAUAUUUAAAACCUUUUAGCUUUUAUGAUUUUGUAAUAAACAGUAAGGACUUAAGUGUUAAUAACUAAUUGAACACAUCCUGUCUGUUGAACACUUUAACCAUUGAUCUUUUACAAUGGCUGAGUUGAAAAAAGACAAAAAAAUGGGAUACCGUGCAACUGUUGCACGGUAGGCAGACCCACUUCUUUAUGUUAUUUUGAGGACACUACACAAUACAGCUUUGAACUUAUGAAGAGUUUAGAUGAAGUUGUUGGCAUUUUGUUUAUUUUGUAUUGUAAAAAAUAAAUUAUAUGUAAUACUAUUAUGUUAUGGACUUCAAUCACUGAAGUGGAUUUAUUUUAAUUAUAUGUUACCUGUUUUGUAGUUUGUAAUUUAUGCAUUUGUUUGAGAGCUUCCAAAUUAAUUUAAAAAUAUAUUAUGUUACAAAAUUUUAAUUACUUACAAAAACCUAAUUCACAACAUACAUCUGCAAUUUUUUAAAAGAUAUGUAAUAAAAUAGUAGAAGACAACAUUUACGGCUUGUGGUUAAAAACUUUUCAGCAACAUGCAAAUAACUCAUGUCUAAAACUGUUUUCGUAUGAAUGGUUCCACCAAUUACCUAACCAUGAAAUACUACGAUACUUUUGAUAGUAAUAUUAUGAUUAAGGUGCAUGAUACGAUUAUAUAUAGCAAAAGCCACGCAUCCCGAAAGACAAAUCGAUGCACACAUUGAACAAUUGACAAAUUUGUAAGUGGACCAAUGUACUUAACGCAAAUAACGUGAUAUUUAACACAACACAAGAACUUGUUCUAAUGAUUACAAAAACAAUAGUGGCAACAUCCAAGGGAUAUCUUGUACGUACGCUUCAUUCGUCUACCAAAAAAGACUACAAUAAAGUACAAUAUAUAUAAGUCCACAUUUUCCCUACGUUCACAUAUACUACCAACGAAAGAGGCACACCCCAAAUGUUGAUUAAUGUAACGCUUCCCUAUGAAGCAAAAUCGGGUGAUGAACUCAAGUGGCGCAUUAGGCAGUUCCAUCAGCAGUCUCCACCGUUGUUCCAACGCCGUUAGAUUGGGAUCCAUGGCAAUGAUCGCCUCCCUGCUAGAAGUCAAUAGCGUUUAUACAGACAAAAAUGAAAAGAUCAAUGCCACUAUACAUUUUAAAAAACGAUGAAUUGAUUACCCCAACACGUGGAUAAAAUAAACCUAUGCUAGUUAACGAUAAUAACGACAUCCAAUUAAUUGAAAGCUUUGCAAUCACAGAAAUGCUUCGAAGAAAUUUUUUACCGUGGCCGGAGUUGGAUUUACUAGCUUGCAUGUGCGCUUCCCAUGUCCGUCGGCCUUACACACCGUACACCUGUACUUUUGCUUCACGCCCACAACUUGGGCACGUGGUAUAAUGGGUUGUACAGCCGUGGUUGCUGCAGGGUUUUGGUCAGAAUGGGCCACCGCAUCCUUGACCACCGGGACAUCCUCUCUGGUAUGGCACAACGUCGAGGGGGGCCCAAGUGUUGGAGAGUGAGCAGCGUUAACGGAAAACCGAACUAGAACAUGGAGACUGCAACUUCCCUUUAUCAUGGACAAGUGGAUAAUGUUUUUCAACGCAUCGUCCGUGUUGACGUCCACCAUCCGACCAUCCCACGGGAGAACGACUUUAGGAUGGAAAUAAUGAACCGCAGGAGAAUCUCUAGUCUGCAGCACGAGAGCUGCAAUAUUGCAAAAUCUGAGAAGAGUGUAGUGCAUGGGCCUGAUGGAUUUAAUCAUCAUGGCUGACCCCAUGUACUCCAAGACAAAGAUGAAUGGUGGAGGCAUUAUUGGCGUUACCGUCGCCAUGUAUUAGGGAAACUGAGAUGUAGGUGCGAACUAAAAAAAAUGAUGAUCAACUGCGAUGUUCGUACUAUGUGGUUAUGUAAAGGUCAUUCGUGAAUGGUGGCAAUAUACACAUUCGUUGAUAAUAAUACGCAUUACAGAUAAAAAAUUCAUCCAACUAUUUUGAAUUUAGUGGGAAUUCUUAACCAACGUAAGUAGUCCAUAAAUAUAUGGGUAUUUUAUAUGGCCAAUGAGACAUUAGAAGGUAAUUAUUUCUGUGUUUCGUUUAAAAAUUCCAACCUUAAAUUAACUCCCGCCUUUGAAAGAGGCUGGUUAUAGGCGACAAAAAUACUUCCUACUAUUUACAUACCUUGCCGUUGAAGAUUUUGCACUGACAAACUAACAGUGACAACUACUAUACUGUUUGCAGUGCUUUUAUGGUAACUCACGAUAACGAAGCUUCCUGUGGGGUCAAAUGCGCUGAAUGUUAUUAAUUGCCAAUAUUCACAGCAGUUGCAUUCUGUCAGGGAUAUAUUUUCCAGUCAGUGUCUUCUUGAUAAAGGAACAUGAGGCGGCGGGUUGUUUCCUGUGGAUGGCCAUGCAUUUAUGUAGUGGCCGCCGCUAAGCGAGGCCGUCUGUUGCACCGGUGAAAGGACACGACACAAAGAACAUCGCUUCACCCACGUGGCCACGUUUUCACAGAGGAUGACCGUGUUAUUAGCCUUUUUUAGUUCACUUUUGGAGUGCAUUGAAUCGACUUGACUAGCUAAGUGAUAAUCUGUAAGCUACUGACUGCAGCAUCAGCCGUUGGAUACGGUUGGAUGUGAAGUGAGAAACUAAACUAUAAAAUGGGAUGGUGGGAUGAGGGGAUACGUUUGUUAUGGAAUCUGUACCAUAGACAGGUCCACAUUGAAUAUGUUCGUGCCUCUUUCUUCGAUACCCCCAACACGUGGUAUGACUUAAAUCCACACACGUUCAAAAGUUAUCACGGCAUUUACAUCUACAGCCAAAAGUUCAAACUGGUUUAUGGGAAGUAAUCUGUCAAUUGGGAAGCUUCCUGUGGCCUUGCACACAUCGGGUUCAUUGACUACAGCAGUGGAAAACGAGAAGGGUAUUGACGGAAUAUAGAAUUUAUUUGAAUUAUUUGUGAUGAGACAGAAGCAUUUGCUUAUUAGUUAAAGUGACCGUUGAUAUCUUCCCGUUGUGAACCAUUACGUGGAAAUGUCCCAGCAAUGAAUGAGAGUUUAAAUACCGCCUUCUAUCGUUUUGCAUCUAUGAGGGUGCACAAUAUUCUUCCAAGAAAACCAUUUUUCGCAUGUCUUCGUCGACCAAUAGCACCAAUAACAUGAGUAACAACCACGACGGUGGAGAUCGUCGUAGGUGGAUUAAGUUGAAAAAUUGAUAUUGCAACUGUUAUAAUGGCCGGCGAGCUGUAAUACGGAUUUCUAAAUCGUCAAAGAACCCAUGACGUCUUUUAUUUUACUGCGACACCUGCAAGUUUUUGCAUUGGUGGACUCCGGAUAACGAUGAAUGACACAGUCUUCGUGAGUAUGUGCAGGAACGGACAGGAGCCUACCGUCUCAGUCGCUUACAUGUAGUGGCUUGCUUUGUUGGGAUCAUUAUCUCGAAUAUACUGGCAAGAGCGUUGGUUGUGCUAUACUUAUGGUGGUUUUCGGUGAGGACCUCGGCCGAUCCAGGAGUGACGAGCCAGUGGUUUUAGUUUCAGCAUGGGUAGCAGUAUGGUGGGUGUUAAAGUAUAAAUAGUUUCCAUGUAUAUGUUUUAAUUUAGAGCUGAUCCAGCAAUAAACAAGUGUCACCAGUAAAUUUACAUCGUUUUUUUCCAAGUAUAUAGUCAUUGUUUUUGUGCAUCGUGGCUUGAAAGUGGGGCUACAGUGUUUGUUUUAUUCACGUUAGGCGCAAAUCAUGCUAAUCAUCGUGUUUGCUAUGAUUAGUAAGGGGAUUGUUAGGGCUAAGAAAAAUGAAAUUAUUGACCUCCCUGUCAAAUAUUGUUACUAGCUCCCAUGCACUAUAUCGUUGAAGGCAUCUAUUUUAUUGUGCAUUAAGGUAUUGAAUGUGUUGAGAAACAUACACUGUUAAUUCAAGUCAGUUCCCCUUAGUUAGGAUAGAACGAAGCAUGGUUGCAAAUUGAAAAUAUGGUCGAAAAAGACGUCCUUUUAUUAAUCCACCAGGUGACAACAUUCUGGGCGAAGGGUCAUAUUUGUAAAAACCAAGCUGACAAAACAGGAAAACGCUAUUGAUGCAAGUCUGCAACACCAACAACUCAUUUUUUAACAAUCUAGAUGCUACCCCUUAUAUGCGAUUACGAGGACAAAAAGAAAUAAAUAAUAAGACCUUCGCUACCAUUAACGAGAAAAGGAAAAUGAGUUCGCUAUGUGAGCAUUUUUGAAAUAAGUGGCAGCAUUUAGAAUUGUGCAUCUUCAGUGUGGACGUUAAUGGUAGCGCAUGCGAUUGUAGACCAACCAUGCCAAGCCGAACAUUAUGGAUGCCUCAUCAGCCUCGAUGUGAAAAGUGAAAUUUGAAAGAAAGCCGUCCCAAGUGAGAAACACAUCAACGAAUGACGACGUAAACAGCACCUGGCACGUCCGCGAUUCAAGAUUGACCGCUAUGUGGAAGUUCAUGAUCAGGUGAGAAAUCUGUUCCACCUUGAGGAAAGGCAUCGUAAAAAACAAUGUCAUUUUACAGAAAAAAAAAUAUUUGAAUAACAGGAAAAAAAAUCCACACUUCCUAAUUGGAUGUGCCCUAGAGUUUGGAAGCCGUAAAUCGCGACAAAAUUGCCGCAAUUCAGCCCUUUUAAACUGAAACAACUACCGCCGGAUAACAGAUAUCCGUAUCGAAGAUGCACGUUAUAAAUGACCCACAAAAGAGGAAUGAGGUACUGAUUUAGAAAGCGAUAAUGGAGGUGCUGGGAUGAGAAACGACUGUUUGUACACCCAAAUGAAGCUGGGUCCCUCAAAAGAUACAUUUUGUGAACUAUAAUUAAUCGUGGACCAUGAUCAAACGGUGGUGCGACUGAUAGUAUAACCCCCUAAACCGAAGCUUCACCAUAAGUACAAUAACAUGGGGGGAACUGAAAUAAUAUGUUAAUAGUCCUCAUUAACAAAGUUGAACCAUGGAGAUGUAUAUUAAGUAUAUAACAAACGUUCAAAAGUUGUAUACUCAAGUGAACAGGUUGUACAAGUUUGGAAGAGGGUCACGCGGACGAUUGGAGGGACGUUAACGCAUGUAAGAGAAGUGGACCGGCCAUGGGAUCAUAAUAUCAGCACUGAAACAUUUUACCAUAUUUCCCAAUACAUUUAUCACAGUUGUAAAAAAACUAAGCAUCAAAGCAGGAAAGCAUCGAACUGAAAAGAUCAUGUGCAUAGAGAGACGCGUCGAACCUGUGAAUGCUCCUGUUAGUUGGAGUCCCGACCGGAGACGCGACGUGCUGUACACAGCAACAACUCCGGGAAGAUGACUUCGAACUAACAGAAGGAAAAGUGAGGCGAACUUGUCAAAAGCAAUGACAAUCUUGUCACUGACUAAAAUUAUAUGUGGACGAUAACCAGCGAGUGCUAGCAUCUUAGGCCGUGUUUGGACGUGUGCAAAAAGAGGGAAAUAACUUUUGUGUAAGUUUUAAUUAAUAGUAAACACAACCGUACAUAAAUACCGUAAUUUAUCAACCGGGCAAAGCUUACCUUACAUAUAAUGUAACAAAAAACCAAUGAAUAUAAGUCAUUGAUUUUGAUAUUCCUUAAAUCCAAUGGAAAAAAUUAAUUUUAACAUAAAACAAAAUACAGGUGAAAUAUAUAUUGAUAAAAGCUUUUAUUUAUAAUCAUAUAUUUACGUAAUUUUUCAAAUACGUCCUCAUUGAGUUUUUAUAAUGAAAUGGUUUUUUCAUUAAUCUUUUCUACAUUUAUUUUUAAACUGUAAACAUUUUUUACAAUAUUUUUAUAAAGAUUUAUAUGAUUAUUAUAUUCAUAAAGAUCCACAAAUUUUGAAUAUAUUUUUGCGCUUACAUUUAUAAUUUCUUGUCUCUCUGGAGACAUAAACUAAAAUUUUCUUCUAACACAUACACACAUUCAAUCUAUUUUCGUUCUUAAAUACAUAGCAUCAAUGCCAUCACACAUAUUUUGUAAUCUAUAUUUAGUAUCAUGAAUUAUAAUAGACAUUAUAUGUAAUGAAUAUCUUAUAAAUCUAAUGAAUUAUUAAAAAGAUGGUACAAUGAAUAAAUUACCAAAACCUCUAAUAAAAAGAUUACAAUUCUUUGAUCUUAUCAAUGAUUCAAACAUGUGGAGAAAUAAUCAAUUAAAUUGAAUGUUACUAUUUUUAUUAAAUAAAUUAGAAAAUAUAAAUAUUUCUAUAAAUGAUAUAGAAAUGGUAAACAAAAUAUUAGAAAUUCAUAAUUUCAAUGAAGGAAUAUAAAAUAAAAUAAAAAGUUAAGAGAUCAAGUGAUCAACUUAGUAAAGAAUUUAAUAAAGUUAAACAAUUCAUAAAAGACUUCAACAUUAAAAAUCAUGAUAUAUUAAACCAAGAGAUUAAUAAUAUAAUGAAUAAAAAUUCAAUAGAUAUAAAAUUUAACAAGUUAUAGAUUCAAUGAAAUAAAAUAAAUAAAAUCGUUGAGCAGUUUCAUACUAACUUUGCUAUAAAUAUAAAUGAAGAACUUCAAAAAAACUUCAAAUAUUGCUGCUUGGGUGCAAACAACCUGGAGUAUAAACAAUCUGGGGUAUAAUGUAAAACAUUAAAACUUAUUGACUUUUUUAAUAAUUAUUAUCUUUUCUAAGGGUUUAAGAAUUUAUAACUGUAACAUACAACUAAUGUAACAUGAGCUUUGCCUAUCAACCGUAUUAAACAUCCAUGGAAAUGUAUUGAAUGUUAUUAGUAAUCGUGAAUUAGUUGUAGACGAUGCGUGCAUGUAGGGAAUUAUGCACAUGGCUGGAUCUAGUAGUGGUAUGAUACCAGUGAGCUACCAUAGUUUUCUCCGUAAAGAUGUAAUAAUUAGAAUAGUUUGAAAGGAAUAUUUUUUUUUUCCCAUUAUAUGAUGUAGGUCCCCCACAUCUUAUAUUUGUAUGUAAACAUAGGGCAAAACGAUAACAUCACUUCAAGCAGCCAGUUUCAUAGAUUGAUAUUUCCAAUUUUUCUUUUAAGUUGACCUUAUAUUCGCACAGUAAUACACACAAUUACGAAUCUAAUUUUUGUGAUCAUAGUAUAAAUAAGUACCCGCGAGAAAUAUGUCUUGUACAGUAAAAUUACUGUUACAAAUAACAGACAAAUUUGUCACUUCAUUAUAGGUAUAACAUAGUACACUCAAUUUAUUUCGCCCAAACUAAUUUAAUUAUAGUGAGACAUUCUUAACUGUUGCAGAAUAAAGUAAUUUCAAUUUUCAACAAAAAUGUGUAUUUUUUAUUGAAUGUAAUGUAAUAUCUAUUUCCAAUAUUAAUCUCAUGUAAUAGUUUAAAAAUUAUGACAAUUUACCAUGAAAUAUAUUAGUUAUCACAAGUUUCUCUAUUACUUGUCAUCGUAUCAUUAAAUUAAAUAGGCAACAUUAUAUUAUUUAUUAAUUAAAUCCCAAAAUAGUUAUGGUGGUUUGAUGAAUAAAUUGUAAGGAUUGUUUACUUUUCUUGUUUUGUUUAAUUGAUGCACUGCUUUCUUUCUAAUUAUUUAACUAUCGAAUGUCAUGCUAUCUAAAGUCUAUAUGUAUUCAAAUGACGGGAAUCAAGACCUCUCAACAAAUUUCGAAUAUAUAAGAUUGAAACAGCACAAUGUGAAAUACUAAUGUUCAUUUUAUCCUGUAACAAUAUGAAGAAGUUGUACAAUUUAUUAGGAAUUGACCAUAGUUGUGGAACGAAUUGUAAAGCAUAAUCUGGGAAUAGUAAGGAGAUUGUUGUGACCAAUACAACAAAAAACAAAUCAAAUACUUAGUAAAAUGUUGUUACAAAAUAAUUACGUCCACUGUUAACUUGGAAUUCACAUGAUAUUCCCCUAAGUGUAUUGAUGGUAACAUAUGUUGCACGGCUUAUAAAACCCCCGAAGUUCACAAAUUACACUGCAUAGGCGUGAGACUGGGGCCUGACAUUUUGUAUUAUUGAUACGGGCUGGGAUAAACGUCCAUGUGACAAUUACGUCGUUGGUCCUUGAAGAUUAGGAUAUUUACUGACGAAGUGAUAUCAUGGUUUCCACCCAGUAGUAGGGAUUAGUUGGUUAGAACAGGGGAGCUAUUUGCCAUGAUGGUAGGUUUUUUCAGAACGCGAGGGAGUGUUGGUAAAAGUCUGGGAAAAAGGAUAGCUCAUCGAAGCUUCGUAGCGGACAAAAGCGGCGGCCAAGUACAGUUUCCCACGCAACCACUGACAAUGAAAGGAAAGAAAUUGCAAACUUCCGGCAUUUUAAUUUAUUUUUGUGGCAGUCGUUGCUUUGGAAGGUUAAUCCAUAAAAAUAAGGUGAAAUGAUGAACGACAUUUGCGCAGGAGAGGAAAUUUCUUUCCAAAAAUUUCAUCAUAGGGAGUUUCAUAAAUCUGUGCAUGAACAGGAUCCUGUAAAGACUACAUGUGAAACCCAUAUAUCGAUUCGAAGGAAUAACUUAGGAGUGGGAGCCAACAACACCACAGAGAAGGAGAGUAUGCUAAAUACAUACUUCACAGAGUGACACCAGGUAAACAUCAAAAUUAUAUCGUGCUCAUGUUUAUUAAUGACAAGUCUGUCUCACAUAUGUUCAUUCCGCUGGGCAAUGAAAUUGCAUGUGACGGAAAUGUAAUAAUCACUUUAAAACUGCUGUAUGGGUAGUUUAUUGUAGCACGAAUCAGGUUUGCAAUCGUACGGUAGACGCAUGUUUACAUUACAAAAAAUUGUUACGUUAGCUAUUACUUACAACUUCUCUGUUGAAUAACAAUGUGCAUUUCGUUUAAAUUUGUCAUAUUAAACUUGCAUUUAAAAUGUAUAUUUGGCCACACCAUUAAUUACUUGGGAAGAUGGCCAGUUAUGUGCAUUAUUUGAAGAAACUAUCCCGCAUUUCACAGUUUAGGCCGUCAUGGAAGAGCAUCAGCAUAUCAAAUUUUUCAUUUGCUCAUGCUUGUGGUGAUUUAAUAAACAGAUAAACCAAAUUCAAAGCAAGUCAUGGAAGAGGAUCAGCAGUCUGUUGUCAAAGGUAUAAAAGAGCCAAAGAAGCGCAGGCUUAUUAGUUCUACGAAUCACGCUGACCUCUUGAACUGUUCGCCAGAAUAUGUUCGUUCCUGUAGCUCAACAAAUAGACGAACGGCUAUAUUGGAUACUGACAUGGCCAAAUUGCAAAAGGCAUUAUAGUUUAAGAAUGAAAAAUAUAAUAGAAAAAUGUCCAAGGAGUUAUUUCCCAGUACAAAAGGCAAGGACGAACUGGUAGAUCAACAAUGUCGGGUGCUUGGCAAGGGUAACCCAAGUUGCACGGAACAUCUAAAAGGGAAUAAACAAACCCCUGUGUUUCUUAAAACACGUUGGCCAACAGGGUGGUACUCGGAUGAUGAACGAGACACGUUGGCAGACGUAAACGAUGAUCAACAACAAUUAGAAGGAUACUCGUCAGAAAAAGAGAAGGACAAUUUGUACGGAUUGGUAGAAAACCAAUUAGAUGAAGAUGUGGGUGACUGGUUCAUAUUUGAUGACAGUGUACAUCAUAGACUAGUAUUAUAUCACGGCCAGCGAUUUAAAGAUGUGACCCAGUUUAGGAACACUAUUCAAGUGUAUGCAAUUCGUGAACGGUUCAAGUUGUGCAUUAUGGAAAAUCGAUCUCACAUUGUCAGUUGCGAGUGUUCUGAUCUUUCUUGCGACUGGCAGGUUAAAGCAAUCAGAGAUGUCCGUGGUAAGGGUUUUGUUAUAACAGAAUUCUCACUAAAACACAAUUGCCCUCGACUUGACCACGCAUUCCACCCUGCAUCAAAGUGGAUUUCAGCAAUGUUUCUUCAUCGAUGGAAAGAACAGACAAGUAUCACCACAACAGAGGUCAAAAAUGAUAUUGAAUCCAUGUAUAGGAUUAAAUGCCCUGAGUGGAAGGUGUUUUGUGCAGCAAACAGAGCAAAACAGAUUUUGGGCCUGGAUUAUGACGAUGGUUAUGCAAUGCUGCAUCAGUUCAAAGAAGAAAUGAAAAGGAUCGAUAGGGACAACAUCGUGCUUCUAGAAACUGAGAGCCAUGAAUCACGAAAAGAAGAAAGGUUCAAGAGGGUGUUUGUAUGCUGUGAACGUACAUCCUAUGCAUUCAAGGUGCAUUGCCGAGGUAUCCUAGCUGUUGAUGGUUGGGAAAUUAACAAUCCGUGCAAUAGUGUCAUGCUGGUGGAAGCUGGACUUGAUGGGAAUAAUGGGAUCUUAACAGUUGCCUUCUGCGAAGUUCAAGUCGAAGACUUGGAUUCUUGGGUUUUUGUUUUAAAGAAUAUCAACAGCGCGCUGCGUUUGGAGAAUGGCAAAGGUCUAUGCAUAUUGGGUGAUGGAGACAACGGUGUUGAAUACGCUGUUGAAGAAUACCUUCCUAGAGCUGUGUACCGACAGUGCUGCCACAAGAUUUUCAACGAAAUGGUCCGGAGAUUCCCCACAGCACCUAAACAGCACUUGUUCUGGUCCGCUUGCCGCACCACGAGUGCUACAAGGUUCUAUAACUAUAUGGAAUUGAUAUAUCUUGGAAGUCAACAAUGCCAUGACUGGUUGAAGAAUUCAAAUUGAGAAAGGUGGGCACUAUUUUGUAUGCCUCAUUAGGUUAAGUGUACCUGUGUCACAUUAACGAUUACUGAGAAACUUCGCACUUCCUUUGACCACUAUUUGGAGAUGAGCAUUACUAGAAGAUUUGCGGCCAUUGCACGCUCAACGGCUGAAAUUUUCGAACGUAGAAGGAUGGCUGUCUGGAAAUAGUAUAGGGAGAAAAUAACGCCCACAGUUCAGGAUAUCAUUCACAACCGUUGUAUUGAUGGUCGGUGCUUCAUCGUGCGUAAGCAGACUGGCACAAUAUUGGAACUGACUGAUAGUUGUUCAUUAUGUUAUGAGCUAAACAUGGAUGCGAUGCCAUGUAGUUGCGGAUUAUGGCAGAUCUCAGGAAUUCCAUGUGCUCAUGCUUGUAGGGGAAUCAAAUAUAUGAGGCGCAAGAUUGAAGACUAUGUGGACAACACGAUGUCUAUACAAAAUUAUAUAUCCACUUAUGCGACAUGCAUGAUGCAAUUACCUCAAGAAUAUGCUUGGAAGUGGGACGCAGGUCACACCCUGCUUCCACCCAUCAGUUUGCCUCUCAAACCAAUUUCGGCCAAAGGCACCGAUGACUUGACAUCCAACAAACAUUUACUACACACGGCUGAUCAGUACCUCACACCUACACGUAACCUUCAGGUGCAUCUUUUCCUUAUACAACUUCUAUGUAUAUUUGCACUGCACAUCCUUAAACUAAUGUCACCUUUGCGAAAACUUAUAUUAACUCCUUCACUACAGUGGACACAGGAUAAGAAUUCGAGCAACUCUUCUGAACAUUCCAGCCUCCUCAGGCUCAUAUCCACCACCAGCUCUAAUACUAUUAGUAAGGAUCCGUUACUUUUUACUAUAUUUUGCAACAAACUCAUAAGUCAUUCACAAUUCCUUAGUGUCCAUGCUUAUGACAACUGCUCUUAACUCACUAAAUGAUUUUUACCUCAACAUUCUACCAAAUUCACAACUACCAUAUGUAUAUAAUGUGCUUAAUUGCAACUAAACUAUUUUCUGUUCGGCUGGUUCUUCUUUUAUCUAUGCCUAUGCAAAUAUUGUGACAGUGACAGAACCAAUGCUGCUCCUGACAUAAACAACUUUUCAUAUUCGCAUACUGCAAUGUAUCUGUUGCUAUUACUGCCAUCUUUAACUAAUGACCAAGAGCUUCAAGCAUGUGAGGGUGAAAUAAAACUUUUGCACAUUCGACUGACACCAUCCUUGUUGGAUGGUAGUGGUAUCCAAUUACUGUUAUAAAUGUGUCGAAUAUGAUUGUGCCAUGCUGAGAAUGACGUCAAUGUGAACUUUAUAAUUGCACUGUUUCUUAAUGACUAUUACUGCCUAUUACUUAAUUUUUUAUUUUUCCUUGGUUGUUUCAACUGGGAGCCCAAUACUUAAAAUUUGUGCUCUAUAAAAAUCGUUGCACACCAGUGCAAUUUCUUUUCCUUUAAAUAUAGAAAUUGUUUAUCUACAAAAGUUUCCAUAUUUUCACACAAUAUGAUCAAUUUAUUGUAUUGCAGGCCUCUGAUAACGGUUUCAAUUGGAUGGAGGACUUGCACUUCAACUUUUGGCCUGCAGACCACCAUUUUUGGAGAAUGGCGCCAAUGGUGUAUUAUAUAUGUAUUGGUUUGUAGUGGGAUGGUGCAUGUUUUGUAUUUGGCUUCUGGGAAGAUGGUUACUGGUACAUAAAAACUUUAACUCUCAUAUAACCAACUUUUGAUAUCCACCAUAACCAACGUUUUUUGUUUGUGAAUGCCGUUUAAUUAACUACGACCAGUUUAAUCUGCAUCUAUUCCCUGUAUGCUUUUGCACUCUUUGUUUGUUUGCUUGUGUCUAAUAACUGUAAUGUCUCAACUUUUGAUGCCGUAGCGUGUUCUAAAACAUCUAAAAUGUCAGCACUAUAGCCAUUAUUCUCUUCUUACUACCGUUACCUAUAAAAUAAAUCCCGAUUUUGCAUUGUCCAUCUCCAUAAUUCCUCCAACCCUUAGAAUGGUUGUUUUGUUUUUCAGAACUAAUUGCCGUUUUUCUUCCCUUACAAACUUUCUCUCUUCCCCUAUUGAGGACCACCUACACAAAUCUGUAGUUUGGAGACAACCAUUUCCUAUUAUCUACACAAUUGUCCUGAAUAAUUAUAACUGUCACUAAAUCGCCUCCUCUAUCAAUUUCCACGGUUCUAACAUAGUAGGAUCCUAGUGAUUAUGUUCAUAUUCUUUUCAUAUGUAAUCUUCUCCAGCUUUUAUAAUUCAUACUCAUUGUAUGUGCUUCACCCAACAUUGUCGUCGCUCUUGCUUUGCAAAUUCAACGUCAACUAUUGGAGAAUAGUAAUAGGCACUGGGGACAUACCCAUUCGGUGGAGCAUAUUAUGCUUCCAUUCAGUGAACCUCUUCCACGACCUUAACAUAACCCAAACACAAUCUUGUGAAAAUCCCCCAAACCAUCCCACUCUGGAACAAUUUCAGUCGGGGUAGUUUAGAUAUAUCCCCGCCAAUCACUGAAUUGCUCGGUAAUUAAAAUGCUGACAUGAUACCCUCUUAUAUUUGGAAUAAAUAGAUAUAUAUAUUAUGCAUAUUUAGGUACCUAAUCAAUUUCGAUGCCACCAACAAAUAGGAUACGGGAAAAUAAAAAAAUAACUAUAACGAUAGAUCAUCCAAUUUUACGACUCAGUUGUGGUGGCCAAAUGUUACCAUCCUCCAAAUAUCUCAAUAGAACUGCAAAUACAUCAAACAUGCUUAUUACAGUUUUACAAGGCCAAAAAUAAAAUUUCUAGGCCUUCAACACCCCCUUCCAGUGCCUUCUCUAGAACCAUUACGAAACUUCCAAUACCUUGUCAGCAACCAUCACCAGUGAUUACAUACCUCAUUCUUCUAAAUCCUAACACAACAUAAACAAACAAAAUACAAACAUGUUUAACCAUUGUAAACGUAAUAACUAACUUAUAUAACAAUAAAAAUUUACGCUAUAUAACUAUACAGCCUCCACAUCUGUUUCAAUCUAUGAUUCCUCGUCCACAAUCUUCACUUCUGCUGUACAGGUAGAUGCCACAGGUAUUAAAUAAAUACUAAUGAGACCACAAUUAAGUCAGUAGUACUUGCGUUUAACAAAUGAAUAUUUUAUAUUACAGUGUAAACCAUAUACCUCCACAACGAGCACACAUCCAUUAUUCAACUUUCACUACACAUCAUAGCCUCAACAUGCCUUGAUGAAUACACUACUUAUUGGACUCAAUGAAUUUAAAUAAUGUUGGUAUCAAUAACACCUCCACUAAUCAAUACAUAAACCAUAACUCACUUUACUAUCUUUUACUAACCAAAGCUCCAAUGCAAUAGUCCGCGUGUAUAUACCUAUAAACAAAUGAAUGCCCCCCAUCAAUUUUCGUUUCUUCAUCGAUUAUAAAGGCAUCCUACAGAAAAUUCGAACAAUUCACUUUUCUAACUUUUCCAUGCAAUCUCUUUCAAACCAAUCCUCUAUCUAACCAUAACUUUAAAUUUAUGCAAGUCUUUUCAUCUUAAAGCCGAUAAAUGUAUUAUGCGUGGCAAACAAAGACAAUUAUAUUAUACAUAUACUUAAAGUGAAUGACCAACCAAAGCACACGCCUCACUAACAAAGUGGUUACAGAUCGAACCACUAAUAUUAUGCCAUUUUUUCCAUUUGUUCUUCGGUGACUCUGUAUGUAUGUAAUUAACCAUUAUUUUUAUGCACCCACUGUCGAUAUUUACUAAUAUACAAUAAAAAAAUUACAUCUACACAAAGUAUGAGCCACCGAAAAUCAAAAGCAUCCAUUGAAACUAUGUUUCUUUCCUUAACAAUUAACCCAUAAAUAAGGUUUAACAUGUCAAUGAUUACCCCACUGCUCAAACCCCUUUACUGUAUUUAUUUCAACCCCUAUACUAUAUUUAUUUCAACCUGAGCAAACCCAGCCAUUCACCUCUUCGCAACCUAGGCAUUUCGAACACCACAUCUUCGAAAUCAACUACAAAAACGCAUUCACAAACAUGAAGCCUACCUAUGCAUGCGAAACGACUCUUCCAGUGCCUGCAAAAAUGCCAGAUUCAUAAUACCAACAAGGCCAUCUUCAAUAAUACAGACAUCAAUAGAAUAUAAUUUCAUAAAUCGGCAGCAACAUUUUUCUUACGGCAAAAUCAAAAUCACGACCACCAAAAAACACACAUUCAUUUACGAUUUAAGGAAAGAAUCUUUACCCUUCCUUGCCUAACGAAAUUUCCGGUUAUUCCCCUCUCUCGCAAAUGUCAGAUUUGAGAUUCAAAUUUGUUUCACAUCCUAUUCUUGUAUUUUUUUUUUUUCCAUGGACUUCAAGACCUUCAUUAGACAACCGGUUUAAACGGUUGUUGUUACUACCUGCGUCCGCUCUCCAAACUUUUAUUUAAACCGUUGGAUUGAACAUACUUAUAUCCAACGGCUUAACAGAAUAAAGACAAACCACAGUGGCACGGUGCCACUGUGGCACCACAGGAUGACCCACAUAACAUAGAGUAGAUAUUUUGAAGUGAAAAGCAGAGCCUUUACUGUUGCUUGCCUUAUCAUCUUUUAAAACUAGAGUUAUUAUUCUUAUAUUUUUAAGUAGCCAACGGAUAGUAGCCAACUCAUCUGUGUUCUCUAUUAUUGAAUUUAAAGAUCAAUGAUUUGGGUCUGCCUACCGUGCAACAGUUGCACGGUAUCCCAUUUUUUGUCUUUUUUCAACUCAGCCAAUGGAUCAAUGGUUAAAGUGUUUAACGGCCAGGAUGUGUUCAAUUGGUUAUUAACACUUAAAUCCUUACUGUUUAUUACAAAAUCAUAAAAGCUAAAAGUUUUUAAAUAUUCACUUACAUAAUUUUUUUUGUUUUAAAUUUUUUAAAGUUUGAUCCAUUGACUUAAUUUGAUCAUAAAAAUAAUUGAUGGUGUAAAUAUAAUAAUGUAAUAUCACAUAAAAUUUUUAAACACAUGAAAAUUUGAUAAAUGUAAAUAAUAUUUUUUGUUAUAUAAUAUAUAUUUAAUGUAAAAUAAAUAAAUUGAAUAUGUUUUAAGAAUAUAGGUUAUUAACCUUUAUACUUUAGAAAAUUAUAAAAUAAAAAAGGUGAAAUUUCAAAAUAAGAAACAUGUAAAAAGUCUUAGGUUGUAAAAUUUUAUUAUUUUAAUAUUACAAAACUUUACUUUUUUAUUACAUUUUUGUUUUUAGCAUUAGUUGACAUGUUAGUUUAUUUAUACAUACAAUAUGUUAAUUUACCUAUAAAAUAUCAAUAUAUAUAUAGCUCAACAAAGUUAUAGAAAGAUAAAUAAAGAAUAAUAUAAAAGGAAGUUAGUUUAUUUUUGAAGAAUAUUUCAAAAGCAUUUGAGCUUCAUAUUUCUUGAGAAUUAUCAUUUUUUAAGAUAUUUGAGCUUGUGAAUCUUGUUGUAAUGAUAAUUUAUUAUUUAUUCUUGAUUAAAAAUAAUUGAAUAGUAAAUUUAUUGAUUUCCAAAUGCUCUUUUAAAUAUAGGGUAGUUGGUUCAUUUUUAUUGUAUUAGCUUAAACUUUGUGUGAUAGCUAAUCAACCAUUGUAAAAGAUCUACUAGGAUUAUUUUUACUUUCUCUACAUCCCUCUAGACCAUCACCACUCAAAAAGUUAAAGGUCCAUUUGGCACACUAUAUUAUAUUGUAUUAUGUAAUACACAUGUAUUAUAUUAUAUUAUAUUACAUUAGUAGUAUAUUAUAAUAAUUAUAAUAAAAUUAUGCAACAUUUGGUAAUUGGUAUUAUCCUGUACUACAUUAAUUUUGUACUAAUAUUAAACUAAAAUUAUUUAAAUUUAUUAUUAAUUAUAUUAAAUUAUUAUUUUCAUAUUAAUUAUUUUUAAAUAAAUAUAAUAUAAUAUAAUAUAAUAAUAUUAUAGUAUAAUUUAUUUUUAUAUUUUUUAUUUAUUAUAAUAAAAAUAAAAAAUAAUUAAAAUAUAUGUAAUGCUUAAUUAAGGCAAAAUAAUAAUAAUGACAGUGGUAUUAUUUAAUAAUCAAAACAAAAAAAUUGUAAAGUUUAAUGAUGAUGACGAUGACGACGACGACAACAUUAAUAUAAAUAUAAUAAUUAGAAUAAUAAGAUUAAUAAAUUUAUUAAUAUUAAUAAAAUAAUAAUUCAGUAAUAAUUCAGUAAUAAAUUUAAUAUAUUUUAAAAAUAGUGAUGGUAAUAAAAUCAAUAAAUAAUAAUGUAAUGAUAACUAAUUAAAGUAAUCAUAACAAUUAAAAUAAUAAAUUUUAAUAAUAACAAUAGUAAUAAUGACAUUAAUAAAUAAUAAUAAUAACAAUUAAAUUUUUUUUCAAAAGUCAUUUUAUAAUUUUAUCCAGAGAAAAGGACCUAUAUAUAAAGAUUUGUAACUUAUAGUAUCUAUUCAGUUUUCUUAUAAAUAUAGGGUAGUGUAGUGUAAUUGUUGGAAAAAGACAAAAUUCAGUGAUACCGUAUAACUGUUGCACGGUAGGUAGACCCCAAUGAUUUAUGUUAAUAAAUAUUUUGUUAACUAUCAAAGUUUUUAUUUCAAAAUUACUGCUAUAAUUCAUUAAAUUUUCAAUUUUUCCUUUUUCUAUUCACACAACAGAUUGAUUUGCCCUCCAAAAAAAUGUAUUAGAUUGUUUAAUAUUGUAACAUUAAGAAACUUAUAAUAAAUUUUUUAAGAGAUAAAUAGAGAAUGUCAGUCUCGCAUCUACUCAAAAUUAAUAAAUAUACCACUAACUCCUUAUUAUUUUUAUAAUAAUUAAUAAUUUUCUUAGCAGUAUAAUUUUAUAGUAUUAUCCUUAUUUGUAAGUACAUUUUUAUUCAUUUUUAUUAUAAAUUAAGUAAAUCAUAUCAAUAAAAAUUAAAAGAACACAAUAUGGUUUGGUGUGAAUAAAAGAUUGAAAAUAAAAAUAUUUUUCUUAUUUUUUUUGUUAUUUUUAAAUGCUUUUCUUGUAAUAAAUGUACAUUUUAUAUUCUUAAGAUGAAUUUUGAGUAAAUGACUCAUUUACUCACUUUUUCUUUAAAUUUGUGUUAGUAGGAGGAUUUUUAGAUAUAUUGAAAAUUGUAAGGUAGUAAGUAAUAAUAUAAUAAUUUUAAUAGAGAAAAAUAAUUAAUUUUAAGACAUUUCAGAAGAUAUUUCAAUAUGCGGUGGACCACAUCCUUGAGUUUUCAUUGUCUCACUCAACUAAAAGGACAAAAUAUUGAGUCAUGAAGGACUCAAUUGAUUGUUAAUUUUACAGCAAUUACCUUUUUUUUUUCUUCUUUCUUUUUUGUUCUUAAUUAUUUUGAAAUGGUAGGUAGCAAUUGCUUACAUCAAAAUAUUUAGCCUCACUCGACAAAGUAUCUGAGGCCAAAAUGCCAAAAGAUGGGACACCCACAUGUGCAUCUAAUUACAAAAUCCAAAGUUAAUGAAAAAGAAAAAAAGAAAAAGUAUAAAUGAACGGUAUUCGCCUCACUUUCAAACAUGUUCAACAUGAAUUUCCUUUUACCAAAAGUAAAUUUCCUCUCGGAUUGUCCUUAUUACAUCAAACGAAUGAUGACGACAUUCUCUGUCCGUUUCUGACUCUUUGCUUUUCUCUCUCACAUCACGAGACACCUCGUUUCUAACUAGGGUACCACCAUCAUAUUUAACUGUUGGGUCUUCCUACUAUGCAGCUGGUGUAUGCAUGAUUCCUUGUGACAUGACAUACAGUCAAUUAAAUUCUGACAUGCUUGCAAUAAAGACUAUUAAAGUGACCGGUUAUUCCGGUUGAAUUCACAAGAUCUCUUGUUUGUGCGUUUAUGUUCCAAGUUGCUUACUAUGUGUUACAAGUUCUCUAAUUAGUCUGAUAUUAUCGCAACUGUUGCUCAAUAAUGUUACAUGUUUUAUAAUAUGUCACUGGUACGAUCGCUGUCACAAAUUUAGAACAAAAAGUUUCCAAUAAAAUAAGUUAUUUAAUUAAUAAAAUAAGAAUAAAAUGAAUUUGUAAAAAAAAUUUAAAUUAAAUUUUGAAUUAUUUUGACCAAAAUUUAAUUUUUUUAAUUUGUUUAAGAAAAUGCGUUGUAAUUGUCUUGUUUUAAUUGGAAAAUCAAUGAAAAAAUUAUGUAACAGACAAAAAAAAAAAAAAGCAAAACGGUUUGUUUUGUACGGAGGCCAUAGAUUCCAAUAUUUCCUUCACGAAAACUACAAAUAAUUAUCAAAGGCAUCAAUUUCUACACUCUCACCGAGCAAUACUUUUAGGUAGCGUUUAUUUUUUGGAUUGGAGUGGGAAUCCUGAGGAGUGGGAAUCAUAGGAUUGGGAGUGUGGAGUGGGAGUGUGGAGUGGGAGUGGGAGAAUGUUGUUUACUUACACUAGAAUGGAAGUAUAUAAUGGAGAUCAGAAUUCAAUUUAUGUGUUUACUUUAUCUUAGGUUGGGAAUAAAUAGUUUCAAAUUACAAUUUUAUCUUUAUUUAAAGAAUUAUAGUUUUUAAUUACAAAGCUAAUAAAAAAUAUAUUUAAUGAAUAAAUAUUUAUUUUAUUAUAUUUGUAAAUUUAUAAUAAUUAUUAAUAUUCUUAAUUAUGAACAUCACAUUUUUUUUAUUAAUUUUAAUUCUAAUAUAAAAUGAAAUGUUAUUUUAUUUAAUAUAAUUAUAUUAAAUUUAUUAUUAUAUAAACUAAUAAUAUAAUUUUAUUUAGUACAAAAUUAAUAUUUUCUUAGAAUAACCUAUUUAUUAUUAUUAAUAUUAAAUAAAUAUAAUACUAUUAUUUUUAAAAUAAAUACAAUAAUAUUAUAUUUAUUAAUUCUCUAUUAAUAUAAUAAUAUUAUUUUAAAAUAAUUUUAACUUAGAAUCAAUGCAAAUUAUUAUUUAGUUAAAUAUAAUAAUAUUAUUCAAAUAAAUAUAAUAUUAUUUAUUUUAUUUUAUUAAUUAUAAAUAUUAAAUUGAAUUAAAAUUUAAAAAAAAAUGUAGAAAAGGGAGAGGUGGGAGUGGAUUCCCACUCCCACUUCUCACUCCAAAAAUGGAUAGGGCCACAGAGUGGGAUUCUCAAUCCUUCACUAAAUAAGUGAAAUAAACACUAAAGUGUGAGAAAUUCACACUCCUCACUCCCACUUCAAAAAAUAAACACAACAUUAACCCAGAAGAAAGUGUAUAAACCAACCCCAAUCUGUCCAUCAAUGUCGUCAACCUCAUACAGCAUAAAGAAAAUCUGUCCAUUAAACCGCCAUUUAAACCGUCUUUAUUGAGCCAUUAGACUAUUCGUGUCAUCUUCCCAUCUCGUUGUAGUAUUUUGCCUUUCAAAUCUAGUUAUCCAUUGGGGAAAAUGGGGACCAAUCUGCAAGUCUUUAAAAUAAAAAAGAAACUUUAAUUGGGCACUAUGUUCACGGUGGUGGACCUAGCAUUAGCUAUUUGUAUUUUAAAAAUUAUUUUACACACUCUAAUUUUAAUAAGAAUAUAUAUUACAAAAUUACUUAUCAUAUAAGUUACUGGACAAUAUAUUAUAAGUCAACAUUAUAUAAUUACUUUGAACAUUUAUAUAGCCCAAUCCUAAUUCAAUUUAUUACUCUCAUGAUUAAAUAUAAAAAUUUUUAUUUCCAACUUCUUAAUUAAUAUGUAGAUGAAUAAUAAGGAAAUUAACUUUGAGAAAAAAUUAAAUACAAAAUAUGUGUAAUACUUUAAAAAAAAUAAACAAAAGUAUUGCACAAGAUUUUUUUUGGGGGGGGGGGGGCUUGGCCAUUCUUCUUCUUCUCCUUCUAUCUCUCUUUUUUUGUAGUAUUUAUGGAACAUUUUCUAUUGUUAUAUUCUCAUUGCAAGUUAUUUUGGGUGUAAAAUUCAAUAUUGAAAAUAAAUUAAAUAAAAAAUUAGUAACUAAAAUUAUGUUAAAUUAUUUUUUAACUUAAUUUUUAGUUAUAUUAUUAGUAUAUGUUAGAUCUCUUAAAAAUCGAGUGUUGAAUAAUUUUAUUAGUUUUUUAAACAAAUAAAGUUAAAUAACUUAAAAAAUUUAAGUAAGGAUAUUUUUAAAUUUUUAAACAGUAUACAAAGUAAAGUUUAUUUUCUUGUCAGUGGCAAAUGAUCACGACAAGAAAUCUGAAGUAGAAACAGCAGAGCUCAACAAAUCACUAAGAGAAAAUAAGACCAAUAACCAAGCAGAUAAAAGAAAAGCAAAAUAACCCAUCUCAAAAUCACCACAUGCACAAUUUAAGGGGUUUGUGACAUGGGUUUAAGCAUGAUUUAACAAGUGCCACCUGUGAAUUGUCAGAGAUUGUAUUUUCAUACACAUGUCAAAUUUUCAAGUCCAACAAAUUGUUAUCUUUCUAAAGAGGCUAAUAUAUUAUUAUCUAUGCAUAGCAUGCUAUAAACAAUUCAUAUUACUGGGCCUUUGUUUUGUGUACACAACAUAUGGACAGAGGAACAAAUGCCUGAGCUAAAAUCAUCAUAUUCCAAAAUAUUCUAUUAAAUCAGCACCACAAAACGCGAACGCUAAACAGAAUUGGAGCAAUUUACCAAAGCUAUUUGUCACGCAAAGCACUAGUACCUCAGAACCCAAUUUGCAAAAAAGCACCAAAAAUGAAAAAUAACAAAUGCCCAGAUGAAAAAUCAGGAAAAAAAAAAGCUCAAAUCCAAAUUACAACCCCAUAAGCUGAGUCGUUCUCUUCGAACUGAAUUAAAAAAAUUAAAAAAAAUUAAAUAGGGAGAUUGACCUCAAACUUUGGAAACAGAAGCGACAUCGAUCUGUUUCUUGUCUGGAGUGUCCAUUUCUAUAAUCUACUUUGUCCGUUUUCAGUCGCUCUGCCACAGAACUUCUUCCCUCUGAAGCUGCAGCUCACACACACUUGCAAAACGAAAGCAUUUUUUAUUGAUUGAGAGGCGGGAAGGCGGGAAAAUGAGAGAAAUUUGCAUUUGUUUUCUCUUGGUUUGGUCACACCUGUGCGGGCCCCAGCUCGACAAGCGGUAUUAUUACUAUUUGUAUAAUUUACAUGACGCGUGUCACGCAAUGACGAUAAAAAUAUAUAUAUAUAUAUUGUUAAUUUUUCACUUAACAUUGAAAUAUCAUAUAAUUUUUCUAAUUUUAUGGUUAUUUUCUCGCCCUUAUGCCACAUUCUUUUGAUCAAAUAAUACAGUAAAAUUUUUCUAUAAUCAUAAUAUUAGAGCCAAAUUAACUUUAUUUCUGUAAAGAGGCUAUAGCUUAAUAAAGGUAAAACUAUAAAAAAUAUUAUUUUGACUCAGUUAUCUUUAGUGCAAGUGAUAUAAAGUACAAAUAUAUGAUAAUUAAUUAAUGAACUAUGUCAAAUACAAUAUGCUGACAAUGAUAAAAAAGAUAGACAUAAUUUCAAGAAACUAAUACAUAUAUUUAUGUAGUGCUGGGAUUAUACAAAAUUAUCUUAAAAGUGUAAAUAGUAAAGUACUAUUCUGAUUAAUUUAAAAAAAAUAUUUUAUCUUAAUCUUUAAUGCAACAUAGCUUUUUUUUUUUUCUUAGCAACAAAGCAUUGUUCCAAAUAAUUAUUAUUGGAUUCAAAUCAUGUCCUAGGCAUUUUUUCUUCUAGUCGUCUUUAACUUUUAAUGAUUUAUUGGCAUGUGUCAAUCAUUAAUGAAAUUAAAUAACUAAGACUUUGUUUUAAUUAACGUUUACAUAAAUAGACAUCAAAACUCACAUGUGAUUCUUAUCAAAUUUUUUCCUGCAAAUUCUUUUCCUCUCAACUAUUCAUAUUUUGAUAUUAAUUUCCAGCAAAUUAUUAAAAAAAAGAAGAAGCGUAAAAUGGAGAAAAGUGAUUGACAAUAAGAUUUGCAUCUUUAUUUCAAAAUUUUCCUUUCUUUGCUAUUUUUGUGGGUUCUACAAUUGUUGUUUUCACUCUCAGCUGCAGUUCAAUGAACUCUAUUAAAUAAUUAGUUUUUAAACUACAAGUAGCUUUGGAACAGCUCUUAAAUUGAUAUAACUUCUAUUAUUAUGUAACUUAGCAAGGUCAGAUAUUUUAAUAAUAGCACAUCACUAUUGUUUCAUGUGAAUGAUGCAAUUGGAUUAGCCAAUACAUACCGUCAUCCCCGGGAGAUGCUAUGGCAAUAGCUUACUCUACCGUGCCAAUGUCAUUAGUAUUAAUCUGUCGAACCUAAGACCAGAUCUAAGUUGAUCUAGAUUCCCCAAGAUUGCACACCACACAGUGAUUAAUGAAUCAAGAACAAUAAACCAUCAAAGAAUCGCAAACUUACAUGUCGGGUUACAUGUAAUAAAUGUUUUAAUUAUUAGAUGAUUCAUAAUGUUAGACCAUUUUUUGUAUGUUUUGUAAUCUACGUUUGAUAAUUUAAUUAGCUGAUAAACACUUGAAUAAUAUUAUUUCAUUAACUAUGUCAUUGAUCCCCAGGAAAAAAAAAAAAAAAAAACCCAAUUUGGGAUGUUAUACAUUACUUUUUCAUUACUUCCCAUUUUAGAUUAAUAUUUAUCACAUAUAUUCUUAGCAACUUGUAACCCUUUUUGCUAAGGGUGAAAUGUGUUUGUUACCCCUUCUAUUUCUGAGAUUGUCCUUACAAUAAGGAUGCCGGCCACAAUGUCAAAAACUGCUAUCUCUAGGUGUAAAUUCCUUAUAAAAUUCUUUUUUAAUUGAAAUUACUUAAAUAAUUGAAGAUAAAUUAAUUUUUUAUUUCAUUCAAAUAAAAAAAAUCAAUUAAACACUUCAAUAAGCUAUCCUUUUAAUUUUUUUUUACACCCAUCCAGUUUCAUAAUUUAUAUUUAUAAUUUAAAUUUUAAUGGGAAUAUUUUUUUGAAAAAUUUUAAGAAUUAAGAAUUAUGGGGAUAAAAAUUAUGUAAUAAGACCAAAAUAAUUUAAAAUUUUAAAAUUUGCAUGUAUUAUAAACAAAAACUUGAAAGAAAUACUCUUUUCAGGGUGAAAUUUAAUGAGAAAAAGAUUAAUUUUAAUUUAUGAAUUAGUAUUUUAUAAGUUAAACUGAGGUAUUUCAAGAAAUAGAAUUCAAAAGGCAUGGGAACGAGGGCCUUGGGUUUCAUUUUGUUUUGUAUGAAUUGGGAAAAAUACACGGACAGACAAAGGGAGCAGUCAUUAUAAUGCUGUGGAGCUUGUCGGAGAUUCCCUGCCCAUUUGUAGCUUAGAAUCCUGGGGUUUUGUUCAUGUCUUUUCUCUUUCCCACUUUCUCAUAUUGCUGUCUCAUAAGAGAAAUAGUCAUACAUAGUUGGUUAGGCCUCCAGUCCAUUAACUUAAUAAUGAAUUUUAUGAAAAUUGAUUAUCUCAUUGGAAUUACAUAGAUAUUGGAAAACAUUACUCCAGCCCCACCAUCCCAACCAUUUACUUAGUUCAUCAGUAAAAGCUGGAUUUUCCAUUUGUUCUUGAGAUUCAAAUUAAGGCAGCAAGUUGCUCAUUCAAUAUUAUCUAUGUAAUCCUGUAAAAGUGAAGGGCGUUUAGAUGUGGAAAAACCUUACUCCUGCCGCAACACCUCAAACAGAUUGUGAUCAGACAAGACUUAGUUCAUCAUUAGCGGUAGUUGGAGCUUCCAUUUGUUCUAGAGAUUCAAAGGCAGCAAGCUGCUUCCUCAGUGCUACUAAUUCUUCCCCGGCAUUGCAUAUGUAGCCUGAGGCUUGUCUGCCAGACAAAGUUGCUCCUUCCAUACUAUCUAUGUAAUCCUGUGAGAGUGAAACCAUUUAGAAGACAUAUCUCUUUUUUUUUUUCAAUAUUUGGAAUGAAACAAUUAUAUACAGUUACCUGUUUUGUAUAUGAGCUGGCGAGGAAGAAGUUCUUCACUGGUAUCUUUUGAUCAGGUCUGAAGGGGUCUUUACCAGGUCCCUCACCUCACAAAGAUUGCCGGAUUUUGACGACAGAUAACCAAAUAACUUCUAAACCUUGGGAUGAUGGAAAUAGAGCUCAAACCUAAUAAAAGGAACCGUGAAUGGAUAGUAUGGACUCAUGUAUAUUAUCCAGAAAGUUGCAUGACCUUUUUUGGUACUCAGGUCACUAAAAAAUGUGAGAUAAACAUCUAGGAUAAGAAAAGCAAAAAAGCAUAACCUAAUACGUAUUAUAUGAAUUGAAGGUGUCACUGAACGCUACCAACCUGCUUUGCCACUCUCCUUCUGAUUUCAUCAUUUGGUAAGGGCAUAUAAGGAUCUCCAGGCGUCAAAAUGCAUCUGAAAUAUAAUAUGGCUAUAGUAAGUAACACAGAAUACAAAGACACUUAGCAAAAGGAAGUCAAUCAGAUUCCAUGCACAAAAAAUAACUAAUAAUGACGAGGAUAAGAAAUUUUUCUUGCUGGAGCAACGAACCUUGCCCUUCUCUGUAGUAGUCUUCUGGUGAAGUGAGUGCUAGAUCUGCAAAGCAAGAUAAAUCUGCAUCUGGAGUAUAUGAAAGGUUAUCUAACCCCACAGCUUGCCUCAAUUGUCUACAUGUUCAAAACAAGGAUCUGUUAAAAAAUGGAAAUUUCUUCAAUGCAUUAGUAAAGGGAAGUGAAGUGAAAGCUGAUUUCUUAGGCCUUCACAGAGCAUCAUGUGUUUGAAUUCCGGUAACCUCACAAAAAAUUAGAGCAUCACCUUGACCGUUCUAGGUCUUGCAACUCAGUAACCCAACCAUUGCAUCUAAGCUGCACUGUGACAACAGGAACUCCAACUAGCUCAUAAAUAUUGUUGAAAAUUUUCAUUUCCCUCCACGAUGAUGGAGGCAAACUUUUAAUUCCAGGGACAUCACAUGCAGCCAUUAAAUAAGAAGUUGAAUAAAGAAAAAUCGUUCAACUAAAUGAUUCAGGAGUUAAAAAAAAAAAUGUAGAAGUAGAAAUAAAUAACGAAGAUUUAACCAUAAACCUGCAACAUAUGCAUCAGCUUGCACAACCUUCUUGUCAGUGGCCUGAAAUAGAAUGAGAAAUUGAAAGACAGUAAGCAUUAAAGAAUAAACUCAAAGAAGCUGCUUCUAACAGAUGAUAUAAACAGUAAAUUUACAAAUGUCAGAUCAUUGCAUUAGCUCUAUGCCUCCAUCAGAGGGAAUAUUAAUAGAUGCAUAAAAAAAUAAUUAGAGCCACAUGUUAAACAAUUUACCUUAGAAGUAGCAAGUGCUUUGACAAAUUUUUCCCCGUUAGCAGAUUUAUCAUAAAGUAUCUCUCUGCAUCCCCACCUAAGAUGGAACCUGUUCUCACAAGAACAGAUCCCAAGGUUGGGAAAAUCAGUUCAUCAUAGGAGAAAACAAAGAAGAUUAACAAAUCACUACAAUGGUGUGAACCCGUAAAUACAAACGUACCUGCCCCCUUUAUCUGUGAUAUAUUUUCUUAUGGGCCCACUCAAAUAAACAUCCGGAGAACCCUUGAGCAUCAGCAAUAGGGAAGCCUCGGUCUUAGUCGCAAACAGUGCAAAUAUAGUGAGCAUACAACGAGCACUGAUGUUAUCACAAUCAAUAAACCCAAGGGCAUACGCAACAGGAUCCCACAUUCUUUGGAACCCUUGGACAAAAACCAAUCAGAGAAGCUUAUCUGUAAGAAGAAAUGAAGUUUUAGGUAAAAUGACAAUCUGUAAGAACAGGGAUUGAAAUUCAACAAACAAGAAAAUAUGAUGUCAUUCUUACACUAUCCAAAUCUCAUAUGUCCUUCAAGGCUCCAUCAGGAUCAACAAGUGCCUUUACAACAGCACUCAGAGCAAGAGCAAGAGCAUUUCUUGCUUUAUCAUAAGUCUGCACUUGAGCAAUUUAUGAGGCAAAGUACAUCAAAAGAGAAUCCAAAAGAGGCAAGAAGCUUCAACAUGAAAAAAGGAGUACUGCCUCAUCAUACUGCUUUGCAAUCACAGUGCAAAAGAUAACAUCAACAAAAUCAAAUUCUAGCAUAAAUCCAUAUGCACUACCUUAAGCUGAUUUGUAGACAAAAGACCCGUUUGGGGCAGCUGCGCGGUUGCAGCGCAGCUGUCCCAAACGGGUCCAAUCAGAAACCCAAAAUCAAGUUCUGGAGUUGAAAAUCAAAAUCAUGAACCAAAUCAGAGUUAUUAUUGAAUUAGACAAUCCAUAAACCAAUAGAAGGUAAAACAAAAAGGAAUAAAAAUUCUUCUAAAUUCUUUCACCAUCAACAAAAUCAGUAAAACACAUACUAAUUCAAAAUGACAUAAAGUUUGUGAAUUGAAAUAAUGCCAACUCCUAAGAAAAAUUAUGACUGCUGAUAUUUUUUCCGAAAUGCUGAUAAAAGCUUCUGCUAUUUACUUUGAAAAAAUAGAGGUUAGAAGCCAAUUUACUUGAAAUUUUGAGUUUAGGCAAGAGGAUGAAUGGCAAAAGUGAAACAAUUUAGGGAAAAAUGUACUUCAGAGGCCAAUGAAAGCAUUCAGAAGAUUGAAAUCUAAAUAAGCAAAACCCCGUGGCCUUGAUCCAACAAAUCCACUGCUGUUGACAUGCCUGCAAGCCCAGCUCCAAUAAUAGCCACUUUCAGCUUUGGUCCUCUAUAAUGUUCCGGUUCUGGUAGAAACAAACCCUUGGGAGCUGCCAAGUAUACCAUCCAAUUAUCCACAGCGAUAAUGGAAAUAUAUAUGUGUUUAAAGGUACUAAAUUCCUAAACAUGAAAUGUAUCCAAAGAGAGACACAAAGCAGAAUUGUGAAACCCAAUAAAUUUUAAGAAUACAAAAUACUCGGUCUGUUCCUCAAUUCCUUUAAUAAAAUUUCCACUAGAGGCUCCGGAAGCCACUCAAUAACACUCCAAAGCCAGAUUUUAAACGUUCUCUUUAUCUUUAACUACAAUCCACAAACAAUUCUGCCACAAAUUCAAUUCAAAAUUGUUCAAGUGCACCGCCACUUCUCCAUCAAUUCCCUCAAAAAUUCAUAAUUGGCAAACACUACAAACCAAAAAGAGCUUCCAGCAAUAAACGCAUAAAAAUCCACCAAGCAACAUAAAACAAAAUACCCAGAAACCAGAAAAGCCAAAAGAUCAAUGCUUGGCAAACAAGCCAAUCAAAUAAAACAAAAAGAAGAGAAAUUUACCAUUAACGCUCAUAUCAGAAACAUUAGUGUCCAAAGAAGCCCGUACACGGAAUCUUGGAUCCUUCACUUGAACCCGAGACCAUGUAACGCCAGUAACUGAAGUUGCAGGAAACAGAACUGAAGAACCCAUAUUGCAAAUCCUGAGCUGAAAUCAAAGAAAUUCAAUUGGAACUCAAUUCAGCUCAACCGAGCGGAGCUCUCUUUUGCUUCAAUAACAAAGUGUUUUUCUUUCAUAUCAACAAAGAUUUGUCAACAUCAACAAAAUUUAACUAAGAAACUAAAAAUAAUGCGGUAUCUUUGAGUUUAAGAAUCUAACAAAGAUUUGUCGACAUCAGGGAACUGUUUCGGAGAGGUUGGCCAAGUGCAUUUUUGUUUUUUUCUUGUUUUGCCCUUUUCAUUAAUGCACAACAUUAGUCCACGUGAAGAGCACAAAAUGCUGGUGGCUUUGUCACUAACGAUAAUGGAUGGAGUGUCCAAAGCAACCAACUAAAUUUUAAAGAGAGGGAAUGAUAAGUAAUAUCUUAAUGGGGUGAUUAAUUAAUUUAUUAUCAAGCAAUUGUAUUUAUUUAUUUAAAAGAUAUCCUUAUCUUUGUACAAGGUUUGAGGAAAGACGACGAUGUUGUGUUGUCACAUAUUUUUACGUUUCUCCAUAAUUCACUGCAACAUCAACUGGGCCACCACCUCUUGCCUCUCCCGGUUCCCCUCAAUUUUCUUAUUCAAUGUCCACCGUUGAUUGUACAUUUAUUGAAAUUCUGUGGUUAUUGUUUUUUUGCAUACAUUUAAUUCCACACGGUCUAUGAAUAGAGCAGGUGCAUCGUAGUUGUGGCCUUAACUGUUAUUGGUAACUCAAUAGCUAAUUCUAAUGUUUCAUCAAGCAGUUUAGAGAUAACCUCUCUCGCUGAACUCCCCGGAGUAACGCAAUCCAGUUUUCCAGUGCAAUCAUCAGACAGUUGAACAGCUUCUGAAUUCCCUUUGCUUUUCUUGUUUUCUUUUCCAUGUAAAGGGAGCUCAGGCUUCAAUAUAUCUGGGGAUUGAGUACUAAUGAUAAAGACAACAUACGAUAGAGGACACAAAUUGUUAUUAAAGAAUGACGCACUUUUCAACUGAGUACAGUAAAGCAAGAAUGGGUAAUUAGUUUUACCUGCAACGUGAAAAUCUAGACUCCCGACGGUAACCGAUCUUUGGUGAAGCAAAUAAAGAAGAAGGCGAAGUAAAAUUCACUGAGUUGAAUGAGCAAUCAUUACGUAUGGACUUGAUUUGUUCAAUGGGUGAAAGACUGCUGAUAUAAUUAAAGACUGGAGAAUCCUGCACGUUGACAAGCAUCAUUUUUAAUAUAACAUAGAGUCUUAAAAACCUAGUCAGUGGCAAAUGAUCACGACAAGCAAACUGAAGUACAAACAGCAGAGCUCAACAAAUCAUUAAGAGAAAAUAAGACCAUUAACCAAGCAGAUAAAAGAAACGCAAAAUAACCCAUCUCAAAUCACCGCAUGCACAAUUUAAGGGGGUUGUGACAUGGGUUUAAGCAUGAUUUAACAAGUGCCACCAGUGAAUUCUCAGAGAUUGAAUUUUCAUACACAUGCAAAUUUCCAAGUCCAACGAAUUGUUGUCUUUCUGAAGAUAUUAACGUUGCAUAGCAUGCUAUAAAUAAAUCAUAUUAUUAGGGCCUUUCUUUGCUGUACACAACAUAUGUACAGAGGAACAAAUCCAUGAGCUGAAAUCAUCAUAUUCCAAAAUAUUCUACCCAAUCAACACUACAAAACCCUAACGCUAAACAGAAUUGGAGCAAUGUACGAAAGCUAUUUGUCACACAAAGCACUGGUACCUCAGAACCCAAUUUUCAAAAAAGCAACAAAAAUGAAAAAUAGCAAGUGCCCAGAUGCAAAAUCAGGAAAAAAAUGCUCAAAUCCAAACUACAACCCCAUAAGCUGAGAUUGACCUCAAACUUGGAAACGGAAGCGACAGUGAUCUGUUUCUUGUCUGAAGUGUCCAUUUCUCUCGCUCCGCCACAAAGCCUCUUCACUCUGAAGCUGAAACUCACCACGCACUUGCAAAACGAAAGCAUUUGAUUGAUUGAGAGGCGGGAAGGCGGGAAAACGAGAGAAAUUUGCUUUUGUUUUUUCUUCGUUUGGUCAUACAUCUGCAGGCCCCAGGUUGACAAGCGUUAUUACUACUACUUGCAUUAUUUGAAGGACGCGUGUCAUGCAACGAUGAUGGAAAAAGUGGUGCAAAACUUCAAUGGUCACGAAAUGACGAUAAAACAAAAAUAUAUGGUUAAUUUUUCACUUAACAUUGGAAUAUCAUAUAAUUUUAUGGUCAUUUUCUCGCUGUUACGCCACAUUCUUUUGAUAAAAUAAUAUGGUUAAACUUUUCUAUAAUCAUGAUAUUAGAACCCAAUUAACUUUAUUUCUAUAAAGUGGUUAUAGCUUAAUAAAGGUAAAAUUGUAAAAAAUAUUAUUUUGACUUAAUUAUCUUUAGUGCAAGUGAUAUAAAAAAUAAAUAUAUGAUAAUUAAUUAAUAAAUUAUGUCAAAUAUAAUAUAUGGACAAUGAUAAAAAAGAUAGACAUAAUUUCAAAAAACUAAUAUAUAUGUUUUUGUAGUGCUGGGAUUAUACAAAGUUAUCUUAAAAGUGUAAAGAGUAAAGUAUUAGAUUGGAUUGAAUUAUAUAUAGUGCUGACUUAUGUUUGGUAUGAUAUUGUAUUAGAUUAUGUUAAAUUAAAUUUACAUGAAAUUAAAUAGUAUUUACAUUAAUAUUUGAAUUUAAAUAUCAACUAUUUAUAGAUAUUUAACAAUAAAUAUUAUAAUUAAUUAAAAACAGCACUAAUAAGGGGUGUGUGUGUGUGUGUGUAUUCAUUUAGUUAUUGGGUAGUCAUAAUUAUAAUAAAGAAAUAUAAACUAUUUAAAUUAUAGGUUAUUUCAAAGAGUAAUGAGAGAUAUCAUUUCAUUAAAUAAAAUAAAUAAAACUAUUCAAAUAAUAAAUUAAUUAAUAAAUUUUAAGUAAAUCAUGAAUAAAAAAGAAAUUACUUAAUUAAAAACAAUAAAUAAAUAAAUAAUUUUUAAGUUAUAAAUAAAAUUGUGUAAUAAAUUAUGGAAGAUAUUAUAAAUACACAAAUAUUUUUUUCACAUUAUCUAGUCCCAACUAAACCCACAUAAAAAUUAGAAUUAGCAAUCCCAUGAAUUUAGGAUUAAAAUUUGAAUUUAGUCCAUUAAUCCAAUCCAAGUGAGCAUGCCAAACAUAGUAUUAAUAUUUUAUCCCAAUAAUAAGUCCAAUCCUACACUAAAUCCUACCUCCCAAACAUAACCUUAAGAAUCUAUUGACAUGUGUCAUUAAUGAAAUUAAAUGGCUAAAAUUUUGUUUUAAUUAAUUUUUACCUAAAUAGACAUCAAAACUCAUGUGUGACUCUUGUUAAUCUUUUUCUUACAAUUUCUUUUCCUCUUAAUUCUUUAUAUUUUGACACCGAUUUCUAGCAAAUUAUUAAAAAAAAGAAAAGGAGCACAAAUUGGAGAAAAGUGAUUGACAACAAGGUUUGCAUCUUAAUUUCAAAAUUUUCCUUUCUUUGUUGUUGUUUUUUUUUUUUUUGGGUUCUAUAAUUGUUGUUUUCACUCUCACUUACAAUUCAAUGAACUAAAUUAGUAUUGCUACUUAUAAACUGCUAUUACCGGGCAUAUAAUUUUAUUGCUACAAUUUUACUGCUGUUUAGCUAUUUUUCUGAGUUUUUAGUUGUUGUUCUAUUGUCUCUUUGGGGUUUGCAACUGAUGUUUGCUGUUUUUCUAUGAAACAAUUAAAUUCUUUUGCUGCUACAUUUUUUGUUGUUCUAUUAUGGCCGGGACGUAUGUGAAAGGGAAAGAAUCUACCCAAAAAAAAAAAUGACAAAGAGUCACAUGUGAGUUUAGAUGUAUUUUUAAGUAAAAAUUAAUUAAAACAAAAUCUUGGCCCAUUAAAUAACUUAAUAUAAUCAAUUUGUUCUUAAUAACUUAAUAUUAUUUAAUCUAUAGAAGCAAGAUCCUCGAAGACAAAACCUAUAAAUAAUUUAAUAUAAUGAAUUGAUUCUUAAUCUACUCCAAAUUGAGACUACAAUUUUUUACUUAAAAAUUGGCUAGCUAACUUUACCUUGAUGGGCUGACUAUCGCCCAUACAUAUUUCUUCAAAUUUAUUAAUAUUUUUGUGCAUAGCAAUUAGGGUUACGUGACAACGAAUUCUCCUUUUAGUAUAUAAAAAGUAUACUCACAAGUAGUGUAGUGUUCCCCUCCUAAAGGGCAUAGCUCACUGACUUUUAGUCUCUUUCUUCAGUUGACGACUCCAGUUAGACUCUUCAAUGAGAUUAAAGAUUGAAUAUAUCAAAAAUAUUAGCAAUAUUUGUGCUUAUAUUUAACAAAACUAGAGUAAUAUAUUGAUUAAUCUACAUAAUUUUAGGCGGGUUCUUAGGUAAUGUUACAAUUACAUAGAUUAUUUUCACAGUAUAAGCCAAAUCUUAAGAAUUAAUUACUUGAAUAAAAGGAAUAAAGGAUGAUCGAUAAAAGUAAAACAAAGAAAAUAAAUUAUGCCGUUAAAUUGGGAUAUUUGGCUGCCUUAAUCGCUAGAGAUGCUUCUCCAAAACCCGCGUGUAAACAAAACACAUAUUUUUAACAUAACAAUAGCCCAAGCACAUAAACAAGAGUGAAAGCCGAGGAAUCAAUUUCAUUACUGUUCACUAGUAUUUUCAAUUUCAUUAUUUCAUUAACUGUCAUUGAUAAAAAAAAAAAAAAAAACUCAAUUUGAGAUGUUAUACAUUACUUUUCAUUACUUCCCAUUUCAAACAUAUUUAUCAUAUAUAGUCUUAGUAGCUUGUAACCCUUUCUGGUAAGGGUAAAAUAUUUCUUACCCCUUUGAUUUCUGAGAUUGUCCUCACAAUAAUGAUGCUGGCCCCAAUUUCUAAAACUACUAUCUCUAUGAGUAAAUUCCUUAUAAAUUUUCUUUUAAUUGAAAAUAUUUAAACAAUUGAAGAUAAAUUAAUUUAUUUUUUUAUUCGAAUGAAAAUUCAAUUAAACACUUAAAUAAGCUAUUCCUUUAACAAUUCUUUUCACACCCAUCAUGUUUCGUAAUUUAUAUUUAUAUUUAUAUUUUAAAAUUUAAUUGAAAAUACUUUUUGAGAAACUUUUAAGAAUUAAGAAUCAUGGAGAAAAAAAUGAUUUAAUAUGAAGAAAAUAGUUUAAAAUCUUAAGAUUUGUAUGUUUUAUAAAUAAAAACUUGAAAAAAUACUCUUUCCGAGAAAAGAUUUAAUCAGAAAAUGAUUAAUUUUUAAUUUAUGAAUUAAUAUUUUAUAAAUUAAACUAGGGGUAUUUUAAGGAAUAUAAUUAAAAAAGAGUGUCAUAAGGAUAUUUAGGGGUGUUAGAAGCCAUACUCAUUUACAUAAGCCAUGGGAGUUAGGGUAUUGGGUUUCUUUUUGUUUUGUAUGAAUUGGGAAAAAUACAGAGACAGACAAAGGGAACAGUCAUUACAAAGCUGUGAAGCGUGUGGGAGAUACCCAUUUGUAGCUUAAACUCCUAGGGUAUUGUUUCUGUCUUUCUCUUUCUCACUUUCUCAUGCAGCAGAUGUACAUAUCAUGAAAUAGCCAUACAUAGUUGGUUAGGCCUCCAGUCCAUUAACUUAAUAAUGAAUUUUAUGAAAAUUGAUUAUCUCAUUGGAAUUACAUGGAUAUUGGAAAGCAUUACUCCAGCCCCACCAUCCCAACAAUUUACUAAGUUCAUCAGUAAAAGCUGGAUUUUCCAUUUGUUCUUGAGAUUCAAAUUAAGGCAGCAGAUUGCUCAUCCCAUACUAUCCAUGUAAUCUUGUAAAAGUGAAGGGCGUUUAGAUGUGGAAAAACCUUACUCCUGCCGCAACGCCUCAAACAGAUUGUGAUCAGACAAGACUUAGGUCAUCAUUAGUAGUAGUUGGAACUUCCAUUUGUUCUUGAGAUUCAAAGGCAGCAAGCUGCUUCCUCAGUGCUACUAAUUCUUCCCUGGCAUUGCAUAUGUACGCUGAGGCUUGUCUACCAGACAAACUUGCUCCUUCCAUGAUAUCUAUGUAAUCCUGUGAGAGUGAAACCAUUUAGGACACAUAUCUCUUUUUUUCUAUUGAUCGUGACAUAUUUGGAAUGAAACAAUUAUAAACAGUGACCUGUUUUGUAUAUGAGCCAGCAAGGAACAAGUUCUUCACUUGUGUCUUUUGAUCAGGUCUGAAGGGGUCUUUACCAGGUCCCUCAUGGUACAAAGACUGCCCGAUUUUGACAACAGAUGACCAAAUAACUUCUAAACCUUGGGACAAUGGAAAUAGAGCUAAAACCUGAUAAAAGGAACCGUGAAUGGAUAAUAUGAACAGAUGUAUAUCAUCCAGAAAGUUGCAUGACCUUUUGCAGGGCUCAAAGUCACUAAAAAAUGUGAGAUAUACAUCUAGGAUAAGAAAAACGAAAAAGCGUAACCUAAUAUGUAUUAUAUGAAUUGAAGGUGUCACUGAACACUACCAACCUGCUUUGCCACUCUCCUAAUGAUUUCAUCAUUUGGUAAGGGCAUGUAAGGAUCGCCGGGCGUUAAAACGCAUCUGAAAGAUAAUUCAGUUAUAGUAAGCAACACAGAAUACAAAGACACUUGGCAAAAGGAAGUCAACCAGAUUCCAUGACACAAAAUGAAACUAAUAAUGGCGAAACUUCUCUGUAGUAGUCUUCUGGUGAAGUGAGUGCCAGAUCUGCAAAGCAAGAGAAAUCAGCAUGUGGAGUAUACAAAAGAUCAUCUAAUCCCAGAGCUUGCCUCAAUUGCCUACAUGUUCAAAACAAGGAUCCGUUAAAAAAUGGAAAUUUGUUCAAUGCAUUAGCAAAGGGAAGUGAAGUGAAAGCUGAUUUCUUAGGCCUUUAAAGAGCUUCUUUUGAUUGAAUUCCUGUAACCUCACAAAAGAUUAGAGCAUCACCUUGACCGUUCUAGGUCUUGCAACUCAGUAACCCAACCAUUGUAUCUAAGCUGCACUGUCACAACAGGCACUCCAACUAGCUCAUAAAUAUUGUUGAAAAACUUCAUUUCCCUCCACGAUGAUGGAAGUAAUCGUUUAAUUCCAGGGACAUCACAUGCUGCCAUUAAAUAGGAAGUUGAAUAAAGGUAAAACAUUCACCUAAAUGAUUCAGGAGAACAAAAAAGCACAAGUAGGAAUAAAUAAGGAGGAUUUAACCACAAACCUGUAACAUAUGCUUCAGCUUGCACAACCUUCUUGUCAGUGGCCUGAAACAGAACCAGAACCUCUAAGACCAUAAGCAUUAAAUAAUAAACGCAAAGUAGCUGCUUCUAACAGAUGAUAUAAACAACUGAUUUACAAAUGUCUGGUCAUUGCAUUACCUCCAUCAGAGGGAUUAUCAAUAGACGAGUAAAAAAAUAAAUAACUAAACUAGCUUUUGCCGCCUAAUUAGAACCAUGUGAGAAACAAUUACCUUAGACAUGGCAAGUCCUUUGACAUAUGUUUCUCCAUUAGCAGAUUUAUCAUAAAGUAUCUCUCUGCAUCCCCACCUAAGAUGGAACCUGUUCUAGCAAAAACAGACCCCAAGGUUAGGAAAAUCAGUAGGAGAAAACAAACAAGAUUAACAAAUCACUGCAAUGAUGUGAACCUGUAAAUAGAAAUUUACCUGCCCCCUUUAUCUGUGAUAUGUUUUCGUAUGGGCGCACUCAAAUAAGCGUCUGGAGAACCCUUGAGCAUCCGCAAUAGGGCAUAAGCAACAGGAUCCCACAUUCUCUGAAUACUCGUCCGUGUCCCACCUUUGGACAAAAACCAAUCAGAGAAGCUUAUCUGUAAGAAGAAAUGAAGUUUUAGGUAAGAUAACAAUUUGUAGGAACAAGGAUUGAUAUUAAAACAAACUAGAAAAUAAGAUGUCAUUCUUACACUAUCCAAAUCUCCUACGUCCUUCAAGGCUCCAUCAGGAUCAACGAGUGCCCUUACAACAGGACUCAGAGCAAGAGCAAGAGCAUUUCUUGCUUUAUCGUAAGUCUGCACUUGAGCAAUACAUGAGGCAAAGUACAUCAAAAAAGAAUCCAAAAGAGGCAAGAAGCUUCAACAUGAAAGAAGAAAUACUGUCUUAUCAUACCGCUAACUAAUCAGAGUGCAAAAGAUUACAUCAACAUAAUCAAAAUGGAACAUAAAUCCAUAUGCACUACCUUAAGCUAAUUUGUAGACAAAAAUGCGCGAAUCCCAUGUAAGGGAGCUCCGACUGGAAACCGGAAAUCAUGUUCUGGAGUUAAAAAUCAAAAUCAUGAACUUAAUCAGAGUUAUUAUUGGACUAGACAAUCCACAAACCAAUUUCAGAGUGUCCAACCACCAAACAUAACUAUCAGUAGUCUUAAGUGAUCAAGAAAUAACCAUACCACCAAUUUCACCACCCUUAUUCACAAAUGUAUGAGUAUGAUCCUUCAUGAGUAAAUUUUUUUGUGUCCGCACUGACCUGUAGACAUCCAUGAAAAACUAUCAGAUUAUAAACACAGGGUCAAUUUAAAGAGGAGCUAUGAUUCUGAUCCAUCAUGAUAUUUGAAGAACAUUUUCAUAUUUUCCUACAACGAGUAAACUAUAACCAGUUAUCAUCACUAUAGAUGGCAUGGUCAAGAGAAAUUAUAGUUCUUGUUUCAAGAAUCUCAAAUCAUAAUUCCUUUGCAUGGCUAGUGUGCUUUUAUAAUCAUUCAAACACACUUAUCCACAACUAAGCAAGCUUUACCUUUUUCAUCAAUCGGAACAGAUUAUUGUAGCAUCCAAAGAAAAUGUGCAGGCCCAUUUCAAUAUGGUUUCCAUGUUUAUCAAUAAAUGAACCCACUUUACCACCAAUGAAAGACCUUGACUCAUAUAUAUCCACCUGGAAGGGGGGGGAAUCUUCUAAUUUCUUUCACCAUCAACAAAAUCAGUAAAACACAUACUAAUUCAAAAUGAAAUAAACUUUGUGAAUUGAAAUAAUGCCUGCUCUAAAGAAAAUGAUAACUGCUAUUCAUUUUUCCGAACUGCUGAUAAAAGCUUCUGCUAUUUACUUUGAAAAAAUUGAGUAACUUCAAAUUUUCAGUUUAGGCAAGAGGAUGAAUGGUAAAAGUGAGACAUUUUAGGGGAAAAGAAAAUACUUGAGAGGCCAAUGAAACAUUGAAAGAUUGAAAUCUAAAUGAGCAAAACCUCAUGGCCUUGAUCCAACAAUUCCCCUGCUGUUGACAUGCCUGCAAGCCCAGCUCCAAUAAUAGCCACUUUCAGCUUUGGUCCUCUAUAAUGUGCCGGUUCUGGUGGAAACAAACACUUGGGAGCUGCCAAGUAUACCAUUCAAUUAUCCACAGGGAUAUUGGAAAAACAUACAUGUUUGAAAGUACUAAACAUCAAAUGUCUCCCGAAAAAAAUACAAAGCACAAUUGCAUAAGCAUUUCAUUUCCCAAUAAAUUUCAAGAAUACAAAAUACUUGGUCUGUUCUUGAGUUCCUUCAAGAAAAUUUCCACUAGAGAGCACGCAAGCCACUCAAUAACACUCCAAAGUCAGAUUUUAAACGUUAUCUUGAUCUAUAAGUACAAUCCAUGAACCAUUCUGCCACAAAUUCAAUUAAAAAUUAUUCAAGUAAAAUGCCAAAUUCUCCAUCAAUAGCCUCAAAAAUUCAUAACUAGCAAACACUACAGAACAAAAAGAGCUCCCAGCAAUAAACACAUAAAAAUCCCACCAAGCAACAUAAAUCAAAAUACCCAGAAACCAGAAAACCCAAAAGAUCAAUACUUGGUAAACAAACAAAUCAAAUCAAAUAAAACAAAAAGAAGAGAAAUUUACCAUUAACACUCAUAUCAGAAACGUAAGUAUCCAAAGAAGCCCGUACACAGAAUCUUGGAACCUUCACUUGAACCCGAGACCAACAAACACCAGUAACUGAAGUUGCAGGAAAAAGAAGUGAAGAACCCAUAUUGAAAUAAAAGAAUCCAAACCCAAAGUCCCACAUCUAAAUAUGAUGGAUCCACUCCAUGCGGCAAUAUGAAAUUUAAGCUCUCUUUUCUUAUGUCACCCAAGGCAUUGGCAGGAUGGCCAAACACCUGAGUUCAAGUCUACAAUAGAGAAUCGAAAUUUUCCUUUGUAAAUGUUCAUAAGUAUUUACCACAGAUAUUCAAGUUAUUCUUGAUAGAUCCCCUACUAUAUAUGCUAUAAUAUUUCUCUUCUUUUAAUUUAAAAGUAAAUCAUUCAUAAUAUCGGACUUGUAAAGAAAUAAAAUUUUCGGUAAUUAACUGACAAAACAAAAAAAGAUGGAUUAUGCGAAAGAAGUUAAUAUGGAGUAAGUCGAGCACUUGACAAUCAAAGUAAUUUACUCGAGGUUGAGUAAGGAUAGUACGAUACUUUCUCAAGUUUUCUGAGGACAUUCACGUGACAUUGGACUAUUGAUUAUAGUUAGAGAGAAGUCCAAGGAUGUAAGUGAUGAUGAUAGAUUCACAAUUCUUUUGAAGAAAAUAUUUUAUAUAAACUUAAUUAUAUGGUAUAAAAUGAUUGGCCUUAAUAAAAUUAAAAAAUAAUACACGCCUGGGUCAUGUAAUAUUUUCAACCAACUAAUUUACAUGCAAAAUUAAACUUUAUGAGUACAUUUAUUUGCUAGCAGAAACUCUGCCAAAUUUUCCGAAAUGUGAAAGUGAACACUUUUAACAACGUCACAAAAUGCAUGUGAUAAUGAAACAAUGUGCCAUCCUUAAACUAAUAUUAUUAGAAACUAUAAGUGAAAGUUUUCAGAAAACAUAUGAUAAAUUUUUCUCGGAAUUUGUUUUCUCCUUUGUUUUGAUUUAUGUGAGAGAUAGUUGUAAAGCGUAAAAUUUUAAAAUCCGUAACAAAACAAAAACUUACAUGGGUUGGGCGCACCAUGUGCAUACCAAAUUAGAAUAAUUGACGAAUCGUAAUAAAAAAUUUAUAUAUAAUAAUUGAAUGAGAUCCAUGGUUCACAAUUGCAAAUUAAAGGUUGGUUUUAUAAUAAAAAUCUUUUUUUGCAUACCAAGUUAGAAAAGAUUAUAAGUAAAUUAAGAUUUUCAAAAUUUGACUAGUAUUAUAUUACGUACGUCAAUAUAAUAUAAAUUUGUUAUAUAUAUAUAUAUUUUACUCUGCAACCAAUGCUUUCAAAAACUUUUUACUUGUAUGUUUGAACAACUUUUAUCGCUUUCUAUUUAUAUACGAUCUCAUUUAUGUUUACAUAAAUUUUCAUAUGUACCCAAAUUAAGCAUUAAAUACACACACUUUGGUAAGACACAUUUCUAGUAUCAGACAAUGAUAUUAUAUUGAAUGUAAUGCUUCAAUGAAUUUUAUUACUAUAUACUAAAAUACUCAACGAUAUUCAUUAAAAAAAAAAAAGAAAUUGCAUGAUUAGAAUGAUUAAAGUUCAUUUAAUGACGAGUUUCAUCAUUGACUGUGUCGAAACACAACAGCAAUCCACAAUACACUCAACACGAGAGGCGCACACAAGCAUGCAUGAAUCUUCCACCAUUAAACCUGAAAUCAUAAAAUGAAAGAAACAAGGUGAGUGUUGUUUUACGGUCUGAAAGCCGAUUCGAAAUAAUAAUAAUAAUAGACCUUUGUUAAUAGUUACUACUAGUGGUCACUGCCUUGUCCAUCUUCCUUCUCUGUAUCAUCGUCCACUUCCAAGCCGCUGUCAUCUGACCAAACCCCAGCAACCAUCGCGGGAAAAAUCACCUAUUUGGAGUGAGAGGGAAAAAGCUGAUUGUUGAGAAAUAUAUGUAUCUUUUGUAUGGUUGUGUUAAGGUCACCCAUGCAAGCAGAACGUGCUUCAGUCCCCCAUGCUUUACUCCCCCACUGCACUUCGUGUAAUUUGGGUGUACUUAAAUUUCCUUCAGAGAAAAUCUUCAUAUCGAGGCAAUCACCCACCACUAAUCUUUCCAAAGAUGGGAACUUGAAAGCACAAUUGCCAGAGCAGAAGCUUGUCAAACUUUUUAAGUCUAAAAGCUUCAACUCCUUCAAUUCUCUGAAAGUAAUAACCUCAUCUUUUGCUACAACAUCAUCCACCAGUACUAUUUCUGUUAUCUUAUCGCAUGAUUCUAUCUCCAUAUAUCUAAGUCGCACCAGAGUCUUUGCAAUUGAGGAUGUUAAUACGAUUUUCAAUCCUUUGCAACACGAUACCACCAGAUUUGUAAGAUUCUGAAAGGACGUCGACGAUGGCACUAGAUUGACCAAACGGUCACACCCCUUUACACGUAGAAAAACCAAGUUGUUCGUAACAGAGGACUCCUCUAUCAAAAUGUGCUCCAGUUGAUAUUUUGCUUCUCUUAUUUCUACCCUCAUCCCAUUUUCAACCUGCUCUUUCGGCAACCAAGCACCAUGUCCUCCUAUUUCGAGGACUUUCAUUGUGUGAAGUCUCUGGAGGAAGUCACCAAGUGAUAAAAUUGUCCGCUCAUCAACCAACUCCACGUAAAGAUAUUUUAGUUUGCAAAGCAAGUCUUCAGAAAAUAGAUAUUUAUUUGUUACCACGUGCUUUGCAUCAACUUUCAACUUUUCCAAAUUAGGGAAUACCUGGGAGAUUGAUCAGAGCCCAAAAAAAAAAAAAAAAAAAAAAAAAAUACAAGAUGAAUCAGUUGAUGAGAAUUAUAAGUUACCACUAAUUUAUACCAUAUAUUUUAUUCAAUAAAUCUUUACCUUUAAAAAAAAUAGUAAUAAUAAUACGCCUAGCUAACAUCUAGAAUAAUUAUGAAUGAAUACUAUACACUAAUCUAUAAGAGAGUUCCGUUGCUGACAAUUUGACUUUUAGUAAGAAACCAAGCGAUAAAGGCAAAGGCAAUAUAACUCUUAAGCUUUAUGAUAUAAACUUUCACAGUACAUACAUAAGAAUUGAAAAUUUGAUUAUAAAAUUCUUGUACGUACCCUUUCCGUCAAGAUAUUAGUAGUUCUUUUGCAUCUCGCCAUGAAUUCAGGACAUCCAGAUAUCUCUAAUUCUUUCAAGGAUGGAAAUUCAAGAUUAUCAAGAUCUCCAGUACAGAAGCUUGUGAACUUUUCAAGAUCAGACAUCCUCAGAUAUUGCAACUGAGGAAACGUUACAAUAUUAUUCUUCAUUUCUUCCUGGUUGUCCACGACUAUUAACUCUUCCAAGACGCGACAUCUGACUAUCUGAAUGCGUUGGAGUCGAACCAAGCUACUAACAGUAGCAGAUGAAAAUAGACAACUUAAAUUCUCACAGACAGACAAGGUCAAGUGCGUUAAAUUCUGAAUACCACAAGACAUGACUGUAACUUGGCUCGGCCAAAUCCUCUCAACAUUUAUUGAAUCCAACGUCAACUUCUCUAACUCUGGUAACCGAUCCUGCUCGAUCAAAAAAUUAACUUGUUAAUUGCAAGUAAACGAUCAUUGAUUAUAAAAUUCUUGUACGUACCCUUUCCGUCAAGAUAUUAGUAGUUCUUUUGUAUCUCGCCAUGAAUUCAGCACAUCCAGAUAUCACUAAUUCUUUCAAGGAUGGAAAUUCAAGAAUAUCAAGAUCUCCAGUGCAGAAGCUUGUGAACUUUUCAAGAUCAGCCAUCAUCAGAUAUCGCAACUGAGGAAACAUUACAAUAUUAUUCUUCAUUUCUUCUUCGUUGUCCACGACUAUUAACUCUUCCAAGACAGGACAUUCGACUAUCUUAAUGUGUUGGAGUCGAACCAAGCUACUAACAGUAGAAGAUGAAAAUAGACAUCUUAAAUUCUCACAGACACACAAGGUCAAGUGUGUUAAAUUCUGAAUACCACAAGACAUGACUGUAACUUGGUUUUGCCAAAUCCUCUCAACAUUUAUUGACUCCAACGUCAACUCCUCUAACUCUGGUAACCGAACCUGCUCGAUCAAAAAAUUAACUCAUUAAUUACAAGCAACAAUGAUUUCUGUUGAUGGACAAAUCAAUAAAAUUACUCUUUCUCUGGUUAUAGUUCUUUUCAGUUUUUCAUACAAACAACCGUUAAUCAAGUUUUCCAAAUUAUUCCUUACUAAAUGUAUAGAUUUAGACGGCGGCUAAUAUAGUUCAUAUUGUAAAUAUUCUUUGAUUGUAACGAAUUUUGUAAUAUUAAAUUUUGGUUGAUUCGCAAUAGGACCUACUAUCCAGCGCGAGCAGUUCUCGGGGAUUUAACUACUGGCACCUCGAUUAUAUAAAAAUUUAGAAUAUUUUCAAAGGAAAUCAAAUAAUUCCCCCUUGCAAAUAGUAAUUAUCAUCAAUUGCCGGGGGUUCACAUAUAAUUCUAAGAAAUUAGGCGAGAAGAGUCUCAUCAACAAUCAAUCAGCAAAUAUCACGUUUGGCAGAUCAUCAUGAUUUCCUCAGAUGCUAGAGAAUCAACGUGAUUUCUGCUCAUGCAGGAGUGGACACAUUAUCUUAGAGCAUCCCUCACUGAGAUCUUUUAAAAAAUUUAUAUUAUAAAGUGAACAACAUAUUUAGUAUAGAUUUAGACGGCGGCUAAUAUAAUUUAUAUGUAUUCUAAUGACGUAUAUUAAAGAAAAUGACUAACCAUAAUUUCAAUCAACUUAUUAGUCUAUAUAUAUAUAUAUAUAUAUAUAUAUAUAUAUAUAUAUAAAAGUGACUACAACAUAUUUAGUAUUCCAUGACAUGAUGUUUAUAAUAAUAAUUAUUAUUAAUUCACUUUUUGUGUCAAGAACCUUUUCUUUCUCUAAGAAUGAAUUUCUUACACCCUACUAUACUACGGAUGAAAAAUUUAGAAUCAUUGUGAAAUAUGAUUAUUAAUCACUCUUUGCCAUAUUUGCUACCAAACAAGAAUGCAACAAAGAAAAAAAAAAUUAUAGAGAAUUAAUAAGACCAUUGACUUAUCAAUAACUGACCUUCUCAGCGAAAAGUGUAUUAGAAAUUUGGACAUUGUCCUCCAAAAUGAUUUCAUGUGACCGCAAAUCAUUAGCUGAUUCCUCCUGUCUCUGCUAACAUUGCAGGUGUAUUGAUUUUAGAGUGUAAGCUUAAUUGUGAGCACAACCUUAAUGCAUAGAUACAAGAUCUUUAAAAAUUAGUACAAUAAACUUAGCACUAAAUCUGAAUUUGAUAUUUUGGAUUCCAUGAUUAAGAUUUUUUUAAAAUGAAAAUUUAAUAGAGUUAAUUUAAAAAUAAAAAUUAAAUAUGAAAAAUUAGAGUUGCAAUUAUGGAUUUAAUUUUGAUAAAUAAUGAAUGUUCUCUUAAUAUUUUUUUUUUAAAGGUAAAAGAGCGUACAAAGCCCAAAUUCAUUUUUUUAGUCCCUUACUCUCCCAUAAUUCAAACUUGGGUGGUUGUAGGAGGACUGAAAAUAUAUAAGACAGUUAACUUCACUUUUUUUUUUUUCUUUUUUUUUUUUGAGAGAAAAGAGAAGAAGGAUAUUACAAAGCAUGAAGCUCGUGCAAUAUAAGGGCAAUGAUGGUUUUUUCUUUAAAUUAAAAUAGUAAGAUUUUGAAGCUAAAAGAUUAAAAUAUUAAUUAAAUUGCAAACAUUAAAGAUUUUUUUUUUUCAAAUGGUUGCUUUGAAAAUGAGAAUAAUAUAAUAUUUGAAGACUUUUCAAAAUUAAUUACUGUGAUAGAUGCACUAGAAGUUUCUAGCUCUAGUCUAAUGUAUAAAUUGACAAAACGAUAUUAGAAUCCCAGGUGAAAAGAACCCUCUCACACCAAUUAUUUAAAUUAGGAAUGAUCAUACCUCUGACUCUGCCGAACUGAGGGCGGGGUCUAAACCCACCAUAAAGAGACGCUUGAGAUGGGAAGAGCCCACUUUGACUAAUUCAUUACGAAAAUAAUCGACAUCUUGCUCUUGCAAUCCCCAUAACUCAAGGUCUUCAAUUCUCUGCAGUUGCACGAUCAGCGAAUCCUUCAAGCAAAUCUUGUUAUUUAGCUCGACUCUGAAUUCACGACACGGAAUGCUGGUGAUCCCCCAAUACUCAAGAUCUCCAAUGCGUAUGCUGUACCUUUCCAGCUUCUCCAAGAACAGGCCUCUGGGCAGAGUGCUGACGUCAUGGGUGUCUAAUUCCAAAGAGGUCAAGUUGGGCAAAUGCUUCAACUCCUCAAGGCUUGCAUUCUUAACCCCUUCCACCUCCACCUCCCAAGCAGCAAAGCUUCUAUGACUUAUAUAUAGUUCUUCUAAAUGGGAUAAUUUUGACAGUAUAUUUGGUGGAAUAACUUUUAGACACCAACAAUCCCUCAAAUCAAGCAACUUUAGCCAAGUCAAUUCACCUACUUCUACCGGCAACUUCUCAAUAUAAGAACUUCUUAAGCAAAGGAUUUCUAGUUUCUUCAAGUCUCCUACAACACUUAUAUCACGCAAGCUGCAGUCACACAAACUCAGUGUUCGAAGGUUUGACAGGAGACCAAGUGAUGAAGGCAGUGACCGUAGAUUCAUGCCAGUCAAGUUGACAACUCUGACCUGCAUCAUCCUCUCGAAAAAGUUGUUUGGAAUUGUUAAUGAUGAAAAUUCCCAACGAUCAGCACGUAUAAAAAGAAGUUCGAGCUGAGGACAUUCCAGUACUUCAGGAAGCAAAUUAUUCUUGAUAUGAUGUAAGACGAUUGAAGUGCAAUGCUUUAUUGCACUUCCGUCUAACCAUUCCCUGCAACCAUCAACCUGCUCAUUUGUAGCAGUAAACACAUUUCGUUCAGUAGAUGCAAUUAAUAUGGCGACAUCGCGAACUACAUCAUGCAUAGAAAGCAACUCUUUCUUCUGGCUUAUAUGGUCAAGCAACAAACAAGAAUCUUUGAGCUGGUGUACCAAUGUAUGUACUCGAUUUCGUGCUGCUUCCAUCUUAUUCACACCUUGAAAUAAAGUCAAUCCCAUACCAAACAUUAACAGUUCGUCAAUAGAUGCUAUGGCUGUAUAUCCUAUUAGCAAAAAGAUGUUCUUCAGCUCCUCCCCUACCAAUUUGUCGUAACUCCACUUUAUGGCUUCAUAUGCAUCUGGCUGUACAUCCUUAAAAUUCGAUGAAGAAGGCCUUCCUAGUUUUUCCAAUGCAUCCUUCCAUUCCUGUAUGCUCUUGUUCCUUAAUGCCCUUGCAACCGUCACAAUGGAAAGUGGUAGACCUGCACAUCCCUUUGCCACACCCCUUGCUACCGAUUGGAAUUCACUGCCUUCAAAAUAAUCACCUGCCAUCUUCUUGAAUAGAUUCCAAGCUUCUUCUUCGUUUAAAACACCAAUUGAGAAAUUUGGUCGAGAAUCCAUCUUCCUAGACAAUACAUCUAGACUUCUGGCCGUCAGCAAUACUUUACAACCUUUAUGACCAUCUCCAUGAGGAAUUCCGACAACCCGCAAAUCAAGAUUUUCCCAAAUGUUGUCUAAAAUUAUCAGGAUCUUCUUCUCUGCUUCUAUACGUUUAAAUAAGCUGUUUGCCCUUCCUGAUUCACUUUCCUCAUGAAACUUCAGGCCUAAUUUAUCUGCUAUUUCUCCUUGAAUCUCUCGUAUGUUUUUAUUAUGGGAUACCUCAUCUCCUUGAAUCUUUCGUAUGUUUUGAUUACGGGAUACCUCAACAAGAACUACCUGAUAAAAGAGUUCACUCUUGACUUUCCUAGCAACUUCUUCCGCCAGCUUCGUCUUUCCGAUUCCGCCCAUUCCAUAAAUCCCAAGCAUGUUGACAUUGGGAUUUUUUAAUGCAUCCAUUAUGUCAUUCAGAAUGGGCGCUCUUGAUACAAAGGCCUCGUAGUCUUUGUUAGGGAUAAGCCGAAUAUCCUCUGCAGCAGUACGGUAGGAAAUUCUAUCAAAUCUUCUAGCGUCCCGGACUUUGACAAUAGCCUCUUUCAACGUCACUGCUUCCUUGCUAAGUCGACGGCGGGUCUUCAAAUUAGGACACAACCCCUUGAAACAACGCUUAUUUGCUGCGGCUUCAACUUCUGUAAAUUUAUCUGCCUCUUCAAUGACUUUGUUGGCCCCUUCAAGCCAACUCCUAACGUUCUCUUCAAUUUCUUCCCCGUUUCGUUCAGCCUCAUCAACCUGGUGCUUUGUACUCACCCUCUGAGACUUCAGAUUGUCAACUUCAGUCUUGAGAUUCUGUAAGUUGCUCGUGUACUUACUCUCACGCAAAUAGCUAAUGCGGCGAUAUGCGGGAGGAACCAAGCACUUCACAACUUCUACAACAAUAGUAAGAAUGAAUUCAGCCAUCUUCAGUCCUUUGUCCUUGUCUCUCUAUCUCUCUUUUUCUGAAUUUUUGAAAAACAAUUGACUACUUAGGAAGCACACUGAGUGAUUGAACACAAGUGACCACAACAAGAUGGAACAAAAUAAAAAGGAAAAAAAAUACAAAGAGUGGAAGGAGAAUAAAACAGAGACAGCGGCACAGCUGGACACAACUAGAUAGAGAACAGAGCAAAACCAAAUAACAAGACUUAAGAUUACAACAAACAGAGGCCAAGUAUUAUUGUUGAGAUCAGAAGAUGGAAAAUUCAAAAGAGUUGAUGGCAGAUGCUGAAUAACAAAACAACAAUGAACGCAAUAAGCAGAAGCAAAGUGUGUUUGAAUGCAAAGAAAGACUGAUGUUGAAAAUUGAUGUCAAUAGCGAAGGAAUAAUUGAACUUUCGCUGAAUUAUUGUUUGUGGCCUUCUUUUACUUUUUAUUUGUGGGUCAUGUCUUUUGGAACUAAUCAUCUUAGGUUAUGCCUUAUAGCUUUAAGGCCGGUAAACCGGUGUCCGUUGGAUUAGCAUAUAGAAAUCCAACGGUGGAUAUAUAUACUUGGAGAAUAAAAUUCAAGAGCUAAGGGAGUGCUGGGCUGCAGUUUCUUAAGGAGAUUUAUAUAUCCUCCUCAAAAAUAAAUGUUUUAAGGUAGAUAUUUAGACUAUUUCAUCAUAAAAUAAAUGUAAUUAGUUUUCAAUAAAUAUCUUAUAUAAAUAUUUAUUUAUUUUUUUAAUUACUAAUGACCUUUGAAUAUACAUAUAUACAUAUCCCUAGUUCAAAAAAUAAAUUGUGAUUAUUUGUUCAUGUAUGCGAUUACUUGUGAUGGGAAAUAAAAUAGAUAUGGUAUAUUUUGAAGUUAAAUUAAAAAAAAAAAAAACAGAGCUUUUACCAUUACUUGCCUUAUCAUCUUUUAAAUUAGAGUUAUUAUUCUUUUAUUUUUCAAGUUGCCAACUCAUCCGCAUUUUUUUUUUAUUGAAUUUGAAGAUCAAUGAUUAUAAAUGUGUGUAAAAAUUUUAAGUCAAAACUUUAAAUAAUCUUUAAGUUAUUGGGAAAUAAUAACUUAGUAUAACAAAUAUUAUAUCCUAUACUUUAUUGCUACAAAAUUACGAAACCUUAUAUUAUAUUAUGUUUCCAUAUUUCUCCUUUAUAGUGAAGACUCAUACUUCUUCUCUAUUAAAUGCUAAAGUAUUGGCUUAAAUUUUUUAACCAGCACAGUAGACCCUUAAGCUAUAUAUACUAUAAUGUCCCUCUUCUCUCAUAGAUUAAACCAAUCUGAUCUCGGAGUGAGUUGAUACCAUGACUUUGCAUAAUUCGUGAUCAAAGGAGUAUCAUUACUAACUAAUAUAGGCUCCAUCAAUAGGCAUGAUAAUAAUUUUUUUUAUAUACAAACACUGUUUUUCAAAAUAUUAUAUCUUAAGACUUAACUAAAUAUUUUGUAACUAUGUAGAUAUAGUUUGUUUGAUCUCUUUUAAAUAGUGGAGAUUACAAACAAACAUAUGCAAAUUAGUAGUGAUGUUGAGUUUAGAAGAUUGAAGUUAAGAAAAUUAAGGGUUUCUUGAUCUAGAGAAAUUUCAAAUGAGUGAAGUGUCCUUGAAAUCGGAAGACGAAAAUAAGGAAAGGGUAAGGGUGUAUUUUCAAAGUGAUUCUAUUACGAGAUUUUGAAGUAGGGGUGGGCAAGUCGGGUUUUGGUUCGGGUUGUUCAAGUUUCGAUUUGGAUUUCAACCCAAUCGGGUUUGAGAAUUGAAUCCAAUCGGGUUGAAAACGCCAACCCAAACUAAACCGAACCGAAUUUAAUUCAGCUUGGGUUCAUAAUUCGGAUUGGUAAUUCAGGUUAAAAUUUCGGUUCGGGUUAAUUUGGGUUAGAAUAAUUCCAUCUAAAAUUUUGGGUUAGUUCGGUUUAAAACAAAUUGAAACAAUUUAAUCCAAAAAUUAUACCAACAACCACUUAAAAUCCAAAAAUCUCAAUUCCAAACAUCCUUAACAACAAAUAUCAACUACAAACUAUCCUUGAUAACAUUUCAACAAUAACAAUAACAAUAAUAACAACAACAACAACAAUAAUAAUAAUAAUAACAACAACUAUGAAUCAGCAAUUCAGCAUAUUGCCAUAUUCUAAAUUUAAAAAAACACACAAAUUAUGUAAUUAAUUAAUUAACAAUCUCCAAUUUAAUUUAUAAUAACAACAAAAAUCCUCUCCAAUUUAAUUAAUAACAAUCUCGAAUUGUUCAAUUACCAGUCAACAACAACAAACCCACUCCAAAUAAUUGAACAAUUGUUAAUUAAUUAAUUAAAAAUAUCUAAUUUAAUUAAUAACAACACCCAAGAGCAAGUCAGCAAUAAACCCACUCAAAAAUCCAAAUAUCAGUAUAAAUUAAGUGUCAAACCUUGAUCGGUGGGAAGCUACAGCGUCGGCAAAUUGUGACCGUGUGGGGCUGAGUGAGACCGUCAACCGAGGGUGUGAGAAGGGAGGAGGGAGCAGGGAGGUAACGAGGUGUGUGUGAGUUUAUAUAUAUAUAUAUAUAUAUAAUUUUUAAAACCUAAAACUUAAAAAAAAAAUUUAACCCAAUCCAAACCGCCCACCUCAUAUUACUUCCGUUAAGAGAUGGAUCCCACACUCUUGAGCCUUUGUCGUCCCAGUCAACUAUAAAAACAAAUCAUUAUUGAGUGUGAAUAGACUUAUUGAUCACCCAAUUUUCAAACUUAUCAUCCUUAUUGUAUCUGCAUUCCCUUUUGAAAAUUUUUUAAAAAAGUACAAAUAAUGAAACAAAGUUUUGUUCCUUCAACAGUUGAUAGAGUUACGCGGCUUGGACUUGCAAGUGCUGUCGGCAUUUUCAAACUUGUAAGACCCUUCAACUUGCUUUCCAAGAUAGCUAUAAUUAAUAAUGACAACAGUCUCCCUCAUAGCGACUAGUGAGCAACUGAAAUUAACGGCAUCUUCUCUCGCAUUUUUAAAAAAAUUGAAUUAUAUAACCCACCAAAACUAUAAAGAAUUGUUAGUUUUUCUUCAUUAAAAUUAAUAUAUUGCUCCUCAUAUUGAAAAAUCAAAAUUCAGAAUAAGAAUGAUUGAUACUGUUUAUUUACUAAAAUGAAAAUAAAAUAUAUGAAGCCUACAUAUUUUUGAAAUUAAAAAACAAGAACUUGAUUUUCCUUGGGGAGUGUUGGAAAUCAAGUUCUUGUUAUUUAAACUCUCAAUUGUAUCUCACCGAAAUUUCAUAAUUCUACUUUUGUCUUCAAUUAAAAUAUUAUUAUAGUUAUUAUUCUUAUUUUUGUAGUUGUUGUUGUUGAUUAUGAUAAAUGGUCAGGCAAAUGAUUCAUUUACUUAUUUUUUUCCUUUUAAAUUUUUGUUAUUAAGAAGAUUUUUGGAUAUUUAGCGUGAAGGUCUCAACUGAUCGCUAAUUUCACAGCAACUUCCUUUUUUUUUUUUUCCCUCAAUUGUUUUGAAAAAAUAUCAAGACUCAUUCAGCAAAAUAUCCGAGGCCAAAGCGCCAAAAGAUGGGACAGCCACAUGCACUUCUAAUUACAAAAUCUAAAGUUAGGGUGUCCAUAACUUACAUUUAAUAUAAUUUAUAAUUAGGUAAAAUUCAUUCAUUGACCCAGUAAUUUUAUUAUCCUAUUACUUAUAUUUUUAUAUUAAAAAAUUAGUAAGUAGGAAAAUUCUUAAAAGAUAAUGAAGAAGGAAAAGAAAAAGAAAAAGUGUAAAUGAACUGUAUUCACAUAAGUUUCAAACAUGUGAUUCAAUCUGAAUUGGCUUUUUUCAAAAGUAAAUACAAAGGAAAAUAAAAAGAAAAAAGCAAUUAAACGAGACUAAAAUCUGUGGCCUGUGUCAUUCAUAUCUUUUGACAUUUCUUUUAUAGCGGUAUAAAGGGUAGAUAUUUUGAAGUGAAAAGCAAAGCCUUUACCAUUACUUGCCUUAUCAUCUUUUAAAUUAGAGUUAUUAUCCUUUUAUUUUUAAGUAGCCAAAUUAGAGUUAUCAUCCUUUUAUUUUUAAGUAGCCAACUCAUCCGCAUUAUCUAUUAUUGAAUCUAAAGAUAAAUGAUUAUAAAUUUCUCUGAAGAUUUUAAGUCCAAACUAUAAAUUAAAAUAAUCUUAUUGAUUAAGUUAUUGUAUAAUAAUAACCUUAGCAUGACAAAUAUUAAUUCUUCUCUAGUAAAUGCUAAAGUAUUGGCUUAAGUUUUUUAACCAGCACAGUAAAUCCUUAAAGCUAUAUAUGCUAUAAUGUCCCUCUUCCCUUACAAAUUAAACCAAUUUGAAUUUAGAGUGAGUGAGUACCAUGAGUUUGCAUCAUUUGAUAUCAAAGGAGCAUCAUUACUAACUAAUACAGGCUCGAUCGAAUUCAUCAUACGAAGCAUAUUAUCGGCUGUAGGUAUGGAAAUAAAUUUUGUAUCCACAAACACUAUUUUUCAAAAUAUUUAAGACUUAACUUAUCAUUUUUUAACCAUAUAUGCAUAGGUUGUUUGACCUAUUUUAAAUAAUGGAGAUUACAACAAAUGAACAGAUGUGGAUUAGUAGUGUUGUUGAGUUCAGAAGAUUGAAGUUAAGAAAAAGGUUUCUUGAUCCAGAGAAAAUUCAAAAGAGCGAAGUGUCUUCGAGAUCAGAAAACGAAAUAAGGAAAGGGUAAGGUUAUACUUUCAAAAUGAAUUUGUUGAGAGAUCUUUGAAGAUUAUUUUCAUUAACAAUUAGAUCCCACACUUGAGUCUUUGUCGUCUCAGUCAGUCAGUUAUAAAGACAAAUUAAUUUUGAGUAUGAAAGGACUUUCAAACUUGUGACCCUUCAAGCUUUCUAUGACAGCUAUAAUGAAUAAUUACAACAGUGCUACCUAAUAGUGAGCAACUUGUUUGAUGAAAUUAACAACUUCUUUUCUCUCAUGUAUUUUUAAAAAAUUGAAUUAUCAAAGCUUUUAUUUCAAAAUUAGUGCUAUAGUUCAUUAAUUUUGAAAAAUUUUCUUUUUUCUUUCCACACAACAGAUUGAUUUGCCCUCCAAAAACUGUAUUAGAUUGUUUAAUAUUGUAACUUCAAAAAACUUAUAAUAAAUUUUUAAAGAGAUAAAUAGGGAAUGUCAGUCUCCCAUCUACUCAAAAUUAAUAUAUAUCAUUAACUCUUGAUUAUUUUUAUAACAACUAAUAACUUUCUGGGCAGCAUAAUUUUACAGUAUCAUCCUUGUUUGUAAGUAUAUUUUUAUUCACAUUUAUUAUAAAUUAAUUAAGUCAUAUCAAUGAAAAUUGAAAUAGAAAUUGAAGUACUAAAAAAAAUGUUUUGGUGUGAAUAAAAAAUUGAAAAUAAAAAUAUUUUUAUUAUAUUUUUUAUUUUUAAAUGGUUUUCUUAUAAUAAAUAUAUAUUUUAUAUUCUCAAAUUGAAUUAUUGAGUAAAUGACUCAUUUACUCACUUUUUCUUUUAAUUUUGUUAUUAGGAGGAUUUUUAGAUAUAAUGAAAAUUGUAAGGUAGUAAGUAAUAUAAAAUAAUUUUAAUAGAGAAAAAUAAAAAAUCUGUAAUUUUAAAAUAUAAGGAGAAAAAUAAUUAAUUUCAAGAUAUUUUAGAAGAUAUUUCAAUAUGCGGUGGACUAUAAACUCGAGUCUUUGUCGUCACAGUCAACUAAAAGGACAAAAUAUUGAGUGCGAAGGGCUCAACUGAUUGCUAAUUUCACAGUAAUUGCGUUUUUUCUUUCUUUUUUUUAAUUAUUGGGAAAUAAUAACUUAGUAUAACAAAUAUUAGAUCCUAUACUUUAAUGCUGCAAAAUUAUGAAACCUUAUAUUAUAUUAUGUUUCCAUAUUUCUCCUUUAUAGUGAAGACUCACACACUUCUUCUGUAGUAAAUGCUAAAGUAUUGGCCUAAACUUUUUAACCAGCACAAUAAACCCUUAAGUUAUAUAUGCUAUAAUGUACCUCUUCCCUCACAGAUUAAACCAAUCUGAUCUCAGAGUGAGUUUGCAUCGAAGGAGUAUCCUUACUAACUAAUAUAGGCUCGAUCAAUAGGGAUGACAAUAAUUUUUUUAUCUACGAACAUUAUUUUUUCAAAAUAUUAUAUCUUUAGACUUAACUAAAUAUUUUUUUAAUCAUGUAUGUAUAGUUUGUUUGAUCUCUUUUAAAUAGUGGAGAUCACAACAAAGCAAAUGCUAAUUAGUAGUGAUGUUGAGUUCAGAAGAUUGAAGUAAUGAAAAUUAAGGGUUUCUUGAUCCAGAGAAAUUUCAAAAGAGUGAAGCGAAAAGUGAAUUUAUUGAGAGAUCUUUAAAGAUUUACUUCCAUUAAGGGUUGGAUGCCACACUUUUUGAGCCUUUGUCGUCCCAAUCAUUCAAUUAUAGGAUCCCUAAGCAUAUAACUUACAAUCCUUUCACAUAAAUAAUGAGUAGUGUGAAUCCAUACAACUUACAACCUUCUCACAUAAAUAAUGAGUAGUGUGAAUCCAUACAACUUACAACCUUCUCACAUAAAUAGUGAGUAAAUCUAAACUACUCACUAUUCAUGUAAAAAAAUUAUAAAUUACAUACAUGUAACUUAGCAUUAUUCUCCACUAUAAAGACAUAUUCUUAUUGAGGGUGAAUAGGCAUAUUGAUCACUAAAUUUUCAAACUUGUGAUCCUCAUUAAAUGUGAUUCCCCUUUGAAAAAGAAAAAAAAGUGCAAAUAAUGAAACAAAAUUAUGUUCCUUAGCAGCAAGUGGCGUCGGCAUUUUCAGACUUGUAAAAGGGAAUGAGAUCCUUUCCUGAACCCGGAUCUCAUUCCCUGUGAAACAAAAAAAGGUGCAAAUAAUGAAACAAAAUUCUGUUCCUUAGCAGCAAGUGGCGUCGGCAUUUUCAGACUUGUAAAAGGGAAUGAGAUCCUUUCCUGAACCCGGAUCUCAUUCCCUGUGAAACAAAAAAAGGUGCAAAUAAUGGAACAAAAUUUUGUUCCUUAACAGCAAGUGGUGUCGGCAUUUUCAGACUUGUAACAAGGGAAUGAGAUCCUCUCCUGAACCGGGAUCUCAUUCCCUGUGACAAGACCCUUGCCACCCUUCAACUCGCUUUCCAAGAUAGCUAUAUUAAUCGUGACAACAUUACUCUCAGUGAGCAAAAGUUAACAUCAUCUUCUCCCUAUUUUUUUAAAAAAUUGUAUUAUAUAGCCCACCAAAACUAUAAAGAGUCUUUUCUUAUUAAAAUUAAUAAAUUACUCUUUAUAUUAAAAAAUUAAAAUUCAAAAUGAAAAUGAUCUGAUGUUUAUUUAUUAAAAUAUAAAUAAAAUAUAUGAAGUUCAUAUUUUUUUAAAUUAAAAAAUAAGAACCUAAUUUCAUUCCUUAAAUUCCCAAAUUUACCUCACAAAAAUUCCAUAAACUUACUUUUGUCCUUAAUUAAAAUAUUAUUAUGUUAUUAUUAUGGUUAUUAUUCUUAUUUUUGUAAUAGUUGUUGUUGUUGAUGAUGAUAAUACAUAUAAUAAAAUUAAUAAUAAUAAAAAUAAUAACUAUAAUUUUAACAACAGCAAUAAUAAUCAUUAAUAUUAUUGUUGUUGUUGUUGUUGUUGUUGUUGUUCUUCUUCUUCUUCUUCUUCUUCUUCUUCUUCUUCUUCUUCUUCUUCUUCUUCUUCUUCUUAUUAUUAUUAUUAUUAUUAUUAUUAUUAUUACUAUCCUAUUAUAAUAAUAUUAUUAAAUAAUUAUUUUGAAUAAUAAUAAUCACAAUUAUUAUAACAAACGACAAAAAUCAACUAAGGUAAUUUUAAUAACUUGUAAGAAUUCAUUUUUAUUCAUGGAUAUGUGAUUAUUUGUUAAUGUAUGCAAUUACUUGUGAUGGUAAACAAAGUAUAUAUGGUAUAUUUUCAAGUUAAAAAAGAAAAACAAAACAAAGUUUUUACCAUUUCUUGCCUUAUCAUCUUUUAAAUUAGAGUUAUUAUUCUUUUUAUUUUUCAAGUUGCCAACUCAUCCGCAUUCUCUUUUAUUGAAUUUGAAGAUCGAUGAUCAUAAAUUUGUGUGAAAAUUUUAAGUAAAAAUUUUAAAUUAAAAUAAUCUUUUAAGUUAUUGGGAAAUAAUAACUUAGUAUAACAAAUAUUAUAUCCUAUACUUUAUUGCCACAAAACUACAAAACCAUAUAUUAUAUUAUGUUUUCAUAUUUCUCCUUUAUAGUGUGAAGACUCAUACUUCUUCUCUAGUAAAUGCUAAAGUAUUGGCUUAAACUUUUUAACCAGCACAGUAGACCCUUAAGUUAUAUAUGUUAUAAUGUCCCUCUUCGCUCACAGAUUAAACCAAUCAGUAGCCUUCUCUCAUAUAGAAAAACUUUUUGUAUAAGACAAAUUAUUAUGUUAUCGGAAAAAUUACAGUAGACGUAAGCUAUAUAUGUUAUAAUGUUCAGAAGAUUGAAGUUAAGAAAAUUAAGGAAAGGGUAAGGAUGUAUUUUCAAAGUGAAUUAUUAAGAGAUCUUUGAAGAUUACUUCCGUCAAGAGUUGGGUCCCACACUUUUACCUUUUGCUCGUUCCCGUGAAAGUCAGUUUAGAAUUUUUAUCUUAUUUCACAAAGCUAAUUUUUUAUCACAAGCAGGAGAGAAACGGCAUUUCUUAGCAGUAGUUCAUCACUGUAGUAGCGAGCGAGUGAGGAACAAAAUUGCCAACAAUUAUCAAAAAAUAAUUAUAUAAAAAAGAUCACAUGCUAUAAUUAAUCAUGACAAUUGACAACAUUACUCCCACCGAGCAAAAGUUAACAGCAUCUUCUCCCACAUUUUUUAAAAAAAAUUGUAUUAUAUAACCCACCAAAAGUAUAAAGCGUCUUUCCUUAUUAAAAUUAAUAAGUUACUCUUUAUAUUGAGAAAUUAAAAUUUAAAAUGAGAGUGAUUAAUGAUGUUUAUUUAUUAAAAAUAAAAUAAAAUUUAUGAAGUCUAUAUAUUUUUUAAAUUAAAAAAUAAUAACUUAAUUUCUUAUAGGGAGUGUUGGAAAUCAAGUUUUUAUUUCUUAAAUAUCCAAUUUUACUUCACAAAAAUUUUAUAAGUUCACUUUUAUCCUUAAUUAAAAUAUUAUUAUGGUUAUUAUUCUUAUUUUUGUAGUAGCUGCUGUUGUUAUUGUUGUUGUUGUUGUUGAUGAUGAUGAUAAUAGUUGAUAAUAAAAUUAAUAAUAAUAAUGAAAAUAAUAACUAUAAUUUUAACAGCUACAAUAAUAAUCAUUAAUGUUAUCGUUGUUCUUAUUAUUAUUAUUAAAAAAUAAUUAUUUUGAAUAAUAAUAAUCACAAUUAUUAUAACAAACAACGACAAUAAUCAACUAAUGUCAUUUUUCUAACUUAUAACAAUUCAUUUUUUAUUCCAAGACAAACUAACCAUAUCAAUAAUAAUACAGGUCGUUUCGAUUCUAAUUUUUACAGGUAAAGUAAAUAAUUUAUUCUGAUUCUCAUUUUUUAUUUUGAUUUUAUUCUAUUCCGAUUCCAUUUGAUUAUGAUUCCAGCCAAUUCUAAUUAUCGAUUAGAAAAUGCAUUGUUACUACUUUAACAAUAACUAAUGAUUCUCCUCACAAUUCUUAUAGGAUUAUCCUUAUUUUAAAAUAUUUUUUAUUCGUAUUUAUUAUUAAUUAAUUAAAUUAUAUCAAUGAAAAUCAAAUAAAAAUUUAACUAAUAAAAAUGAGAAAAUAUAUGUUUCGGUUUGAAUAAAAAAUUAUAAUAAAAUAUUUUUCUUACAUACUUUAAAUAUUUUUAUUAUAAUAAAUAUUUUUUUAUUCUCAAAAUAAAUUAUCAAGUAAACGAUUCAUUAACUCAUUUUUUUCCUUUAAAUUUUUGUUAUUAAGAAGAUUUUUGGGUAUUGACCGUGAAGGGCUCAACUGAUCGCUAAUUUUGCAGCAAUUACCUUUUCUUUUUCUUUUUUUUUAAUUGUUUUGAAAAAAUAUCCAGACUCAUUCUGCAAAGUACCUGAGACUAGAGCUGGCAAAAUUUGACACGACCCGAUUACCCGACACGAACACGACAUAAAUAAAUGGGUAUGGGUCGUCAAAUUUAACACGAUUAUUAAAUGGGUCGGGUCCGGGUCAACACGAUUUUUUUCCGUGUCGGGUUUGGGUUAAAAUUCUUGACCCAUUUACCCGAUCAAUGACCCGAUUAUAUUUUCUAUUUUAAAAUAAUUUAUAUAUUCUUAUAAUUAAAACUCAAAUAUUAGAGAUGAUUUUCUUUUUUUUUUUAUUUUUUAAAAGGGUGAAUAUAAACACAGUGUUUUAUUUAUAAAAUUUUACAUACAUUUAGAGCUUCAAUAGUGUAAAUGUGUAAAAAUUGAUAGACAUGUAUAUUUUAUAAUAUUGAUAUAUAAUAUUAUAUAUAUAUAUAUAUAUAUAUAUAUAUAUAUAUAUAUAUAUAUAUAUAUAUUAAAACUUCAAUAGUAUAAAUGUAUAAUAUAUUGGUAGAUAUAUAUAUUUUAUAAUAUUGAUAAAUUAUGUAUGUAUGUAUGUAUGUAUGUAUGUAUGUAUGUAUGUAUGUAUGUAUGUAUUUAUGUACAUACGUAUGUAUGAUAGUGUGUAAAUAUUUUAUGUAACUUUUGUUCAAUAUAUAGAUAUUAAACGGGUUAUUGGGUAACCCGAUUAUUUUUCCGUGUCGGGUUUGAGUCUCAAUAUUUUGACACGAUUAUUAAAUGGGUCGGGUUUGGGUCGAUCUAAAUUUGACACGACACGAAACUGACACGAUACGAACACGAUCCGAUGACCCGUUUUGCCAGCUCUACCUGAGACCAAAGCGCCGGCCAAAGCGCCGAAAGAUAGGACACCCACAUGUGCUUUUAUUUACAAAAUCUAAAGUUAGGGUGGGUGUCCAUAACUUAAAUUUAAUAGAAUUUAUAAUUAGGUAAAAUUCUUUGAUUGACCCAUUAACUUUUAUUAUUUUAUUAUUUAUUUUUAUAUUAAAAAAUUAGUAAUGUAGAAAAAUUCUUAAAAGUUAAUGGAGAAGGAAAAGAAAAAGAAAAAGUGUAAAUGAACUGUAUUCAUUUAAGUUUCAAACAUGUGGUUCAAUCUGAAUUCGUUUUUUUUAAAAGUAAAUACAAAAGAAAAUAUAAAGAAAAAAAAUUAAACGAGACAAAAAUCAGUGGCGUGGGUCAUUCAUAUCUUUUUCCAUUUUUUUUUAAUAGAGGUACAUAGCAUAGAGUCGAUAUUUUGAAGUGAAAAGCAGAACCUUUACUGUUGCUUCCCUUAUCAUCUUUUAAAAUUAGAGUUAUUAUUCUUUUAUUUUUAAGUGGCCAACGGAUGGUAGCCAACUCAUCCGUGUUCUCUAUUAUUGAAUUUAAAGAUCAAGGAUUUAUGUUAAUAAAUAUUUUGUUAACUAUCAAAGUUUUUAUUUCAAAAUUACUCCUAUAAUUCAUUAAAUUUUCAAUUUUUCCUUUUUCUAUUCACACAACAGAUUGAUUUGCCCUCCAAAAAAAUGUAUUAGAUUGUUUAAUAUUGUAACAUCAAGAAACUUAUAAUAAAUUUUUAAAGAGAUAAAUAGAGAAUGUCAGCAUCUACUCAAAAUUAAUAAAUAUACCACUAACUUCUUAUUAUUUUUAUAAUAACUAAUAACUUUUUUACCAGUAUAAUUUUAUAGUAUUAUUCUUAUUUGUAAGUAUAUUUUUUAUUCAUAUUUAUUAUAAAUUAAUUAAAUCAUAUCAAUAAAAAUUAAAAUAACACAAUAUGUUUUGGAGUGAAUAAAAGAUUGAAAAUAAAAAUAUUUUUCUUUUAUUUUUUGUUAUUUUAAAAUUUUUUUCUUAUAAUAAAUGUAUAUUUUAUAUUCUUAAGAUGAAUUUUGAGUAAAUGACUCAUUUACUCACUUUUUCUUUAAAUUUUUGUUAGUAGGAGGAUUUUUAGAUAUAAUGAAAAUUGUAAGGUAGUAAGUAAUAAUAUAAUAAUUUUAAUAAAGAAAAAUAAUUAAUUUCAAGACAUUUCAGAAGAUAUUUCAAUAUGCGGUGGACUACAUCCUUGAGUUGAGUCUUCAUCGUCUCAGUCAACUAAAAGGACAAAAUAUUGAGUCACAAAGGACUCAACUGAUUGUUAAUUUCACACCAAUUACCUUUUUUUUCUUUUUUUUUUCUUAAUCUAUAUAUUUAUAUAAAGUUAGUACUUGAGAAUGUGAUGUAUCAUCACCAUUUUUUUUUAUUUAAUAAAUAGAGAAAUUUUCUUUUAAAUUUGACUUUUCAUUUUCUCAUAAUUAAUUUGAUUGCUAUUGCACAAUAACAAUUAUGUAAAGAUUUUAAUGAGGCAUAUUAUUUGUAAUGAACAUUUAAGAGAGAGUGUUAUUUGUAAUGAACAUCUAAGGGAGAGUGUUAUGAAUUUAUUAAAAUAAAUAUAUAUUUUCAUAAUAUAUAUCUCUUAGUCUCCCCACUAUCUCCCAUUAGCAACCUUUAGCUUCCUUAUAACUCCCACUAUUUUUAUAAAUCCACCCACCUUCAUAAAAUAAUUACAAUAAGUUCACAUUAUUUUAUAGAAUUACAAAUUAAUAAUAAGUUUGAAUAAUUAAUUAAUUAAAUCAUUCUUAUAAUUUUUUUUCUUUCUUUGUCUUUCAACAAUCUUUAAUAAUUUAAGGUUGCUUUAAGAUAAGUUUAAUUUAAUUAAUUUACCCUUAUAAUAUAAAAUAACAAAAUUACCCUAAGAAAUAUAUAUUAUUGUAACUAAUUGUUUAGGCAUUUAGUUUUAUGUUUUAUAAUCUAAUAUGCUUUAUAUAAAAUUUAAUAAUUUUCAAUACUCCAAAUGUCCUAAUUACAUCUUGUUAGUUUAGUGAAAUAUUAAUAAUUAUACUAAAAAAGCAUUACUUAUACAUCAUUAAAAUAUAAAAAAAAUUAUUAAGUUAAAGUAAACUUUUAGAUAUUUUUGUUACUUUUACCUUAUAAGGUUAGAAUAAUUAUAUUAAUUUAUGUUAAAACAACCUUAUUGAUCAAAUAUAAUUAAAAAAAUAGUCUCAUAAAAAAAUUAAUGAAUAUGGAUUUAAUUGGUUAAAUUUUUAAAUUUCUUCUUAAUUUGAAUUUUUAAAAAAUAAUGUGUACUUGUAGUAAUGAUUUUUUAAAAUUGGGGUGGGUUAUUAUUGAUGACCUUUGAACAUACAUACAUAUUAUUAAUAUAUUUAUUAAUAUAUACGAUUACUUGUGAUGGUAAACGAGGUAGAUAUGGUAUAUUUUUAAGUUAAAAAAAAAAAACAAAACUUUUACCAUUUCCUGCCUUAUCAUCUUUUAAAUUAGACUUAUUAUUAUUUUAUUUUUCAAGUUGCAACUCAUCCUCAUUCUCUUUUAUUGAAUUUGACGAUCAAUGAUUAUAAAUUUGUGUGAAAAUUUUAAAUCAAAGUUUUAAAAUAAAAUAAUCUUUAAGUUAUUGAGAAAUAAUAACUUAAUAUAACAAAUAUUAUAUCUUGUACUUUAUUGCUACAAAAUUACGAAACCUUAUAUUAUAUUAUGUUUCCAUAUUUCUCCUUUAUAGUGAAAACCCAUACUUCUUCUCUAGUAAAUGCUAAAGUAUUGGGUUAAACUUUUUAACCAGCACAGUAGACCCUUAAGCUAUAUAUGUUAUAAUGUCCCUCUUCCCUCAGGAUUAAACCAAUCUGAUCUCAGAGUGAGUUUGCAUUAUUUGUCAUCAAAGGAGCAUCAUUACUAACUAAUAUAGACUCGAUCAAUAGGUAUGACAAUAAAUUUUCUGUCUACGAACACUAUUUUUUAAAAUAUUAUAUCUUUAGACUUAACUAAAUAUUUUUUAAUCAUAUAUGUAUAGUUUGUUUGAUCUCUUUUAAAUAGUGGAGAUCACAACAAAGCAAAUUCGAAUUAGUAGUGAUGUUGAGUUCAGAAGAUUGAAGUAAAGAAAACUAAGGGUUUCUUGAUCCAGAGAAAUUUCAAAAGAGUGAAGCGAAAAGUGAAUUUAUUGAGAGAUCUUUGAAGAUUUACUUCCGUUAAGAGUUGGAUGCCACACUUUUUGAGCCUUUGUCGUCCCAAUCAUUCAAUUAUAGGAUCCUUAAGUAUAUAACUUUCAAUCUUUUCACAUAAAUAAUGAGUAGUGUGAAUUCAUACAACUUAUAACUUUCUCACAUACAAUUUACAACAUUCUCACAUAAAUAGUGAGUAAAUCUAAACUACUCACUAUUCAUGUAAAAAAAUUAUAAAUUAUAUAUAACUUAGCAUUAUUCUCCACUAUAAAGACAUAUUCUUAUUAAGUGUGAACAGACAUAUUGAUCACUAAAUUUCCAAACUUGUGAUCCUCAUUAAAUGUGAUUCCCCUUUGAAAAAGAAAAAAAAGUGCAAAUAAUGAAACAAAAUUAUGUUCCUUAGCAGCAAGUGGCGUCGGCAUUUUCAGACUUGUAAAAGGGAAUGAGAUCCUUUCCUGAACCCGGAUCUCAUUCCCUGUGAAACAAAAAAAGGUGCAAAUAAUGAAACAAAAUUCUGUUCCUUAGCAGCAAGUGGCGUCGGCAUUUUCAGACUUGUAAAAGGGAAUGAGAUCCUUUCCUGAACCCGGAUCUCAUUCCCUGUGAAACAAAAAAAGGUGCAAAUAAUGGAACAAAAUUUUGUUCCUUAACAGCAAGUGGUGUCGGCAUUUUCAGACUUGUAACAAGGGAAUGAGAUCCUCUCCUGAACCGGGAUCUCAUUCCCUGUGACAAGACCCUUGCCACCCUUCAACUCGCUUUCCAAGAUAGCUAUAUUAAUCGUGACAACAUUACUCUCAGUGAGCAAAAGUUAACAGCAUCUUCUCCCUAUUUUUUUAAAAAAUUGUAUUAUAUAGCCCACCAAAACUAUAAAGAGUCUUUUCUUAUUAAAAUUAAUAAAUUACUCUUUAUAUUAAAAAAUUAAAAUUCAAAAUGAAAAUGAUCUGAUGUUUAUUUAUUAAAAUAUAAAUAAAAUAUAUGAAGUUCAUAUUUUUUUAAAUUAAAAAAUAAGAACCUAAUUUCAUUCCUUAAAUUCCCAAAUUUACCUCACAAAAAUUCCAUAAACUUACUUUUGUCCUUAAUUAAAAUAUUAUUAUGUUAUUAUUCUUAUUUUUGUAAUAGUUGUUGUUGUUGAUGAUGAUAAUACAUAUAAUAAAAUUAAUAAUAAUAAAAAUAAUAACUAUAAUUUUAACAACAGCAAUAAUAAUCAUUAAUAUUAUUGUUGUUGUUCUUGUUGUUGUUGUUGUUGUUCUUCUUCUUAUUAUUAUUAAUAUUAUCAUCCUAUUAUAUUAUUAUUAUUAAAUAAUUAUUUUGAAUAAUAAUAAUCACAAUUAUUAUAACAAACGACAAUAAUCAACUAAGGUAAUUUUAAUAACUUGUAACGAUUAAUUUUUAUUCAAAGAUAUGUGAUUAUUUGUUAAUGUAUGCAAUUACUUGUGAUGGUAAACAAAGUAUAUAUGGUAUAUUUUCAAGUUAAAAAAGAAAAACAAAACAGAGUUUUUACUAUUUCUUGCCUUAUCAUCUUUUAAAUUAGAGUUAUUAUUCUUUUUAUUUUUCAAGUUGCCAACUCAUCCGCAUGCUCUUUUAUUGAAUUUGAAGAUCGAUGAUGAUAAAUUUGUGUGAAAAUUUUAAGUCAAAGUUUUAAAUUAAAAUAAUCUUUAAAUUAUUGGAAAAUAAUAACUUAGUUGUAAUAAAUAUUAUAUUCUAUACUUUAUUGCUACAAAAUUACGAAACCAUAUAUUAUAUUAUGUUUUCAUAUUUCUCCUCUAUAGUGAAGACUCAUACUUCAACUUUUUAACUAGUACAGUAGACCUUUAAGCUAUAAAUGUUAUAAUGUCCCUCUUCGCUCACAGAUUAAAACAAUCUGUAGCCUUCUCUCAUAUAGAAAAACUUUUUGUAUAAGACAAAUUAUUAUGUUAUAGGAAAAAUUACAGCAGACGUAAGCCAUAUAUGUUAUAAUGUUCAGAAGAUUGAAGUUAAGAAAAUUAAGGAAAGUGUAAGGAUGUAUUUUCAAAGUGAAUUAUUAAGAGAUCUUUGAAGAUUACUUCCGUCAAGAGUUGGGUCCCACACUCUUAAGCUUUUUUCGUCUCAAUCAACUAACAAGACAAAUUAUUAUUGGGUGUGAACAGUCCGGCUUAUUGAUUGUUAAAAAAAUAGCAUUAUUUUGAGCGCACAUGUUGAGUAAGUCUUAUUUAACGAAAGUGAAAAAUAAGGUUCAAAUUUUAUUUUAUUGAUAUUUUAAUAAUAUUUUUUUUUAUUUUUUUAAAAUGGUGUUUAGGUAAAUAAGAAAUUAUUUAUUAAAAUUCAUUUUUAAAGUUAAAAAUUUAAAAAGAAAUGAGGUUUAUCCCACAUGAAAAAAAGAAGCUUAAGAAUUAGUAUUUAUAUAUAAACAUUUAACCAUUCAUAAAUAAGAAUUAUAGGAAUAGAGACUCUUUUCACACAUACGUGCGUAAGGGGUACAAAUUCAAGACGAAUUUAGUUGAACUCGUGUGCACCUGCAUAUCCUGAGAACGCAAAUGUCGGUGAUAAAUUUGUUUUAAAGAUUCUACUCUGUGUAGGCCUCGGUUCCAUUUUAUUUUUUCUGUUUCGGUUUUCAUCUCUCUUCGGUUUUGCUUUCUAUUAUUUCAUUUCAAAUUUCAGUAGUUAUCUUUCGUUGCUUAGCUACUGUUUAAUUUGUUACCUCACCGUUUGUUUUAUCUAACAUUGAUCACCAAAUUUUCAAACUCGUGAUCCUGAUUGAAUCUGCGUUCCCCUUUGCAAAAGUAAUAAAAAAAAGUGCAAAUAAUGAAGACUUUCUCUUUUCACAUUUUUUACGCGUUUCUCUUUUCUCUCCCCCACGUGAACACUUUUGCCUUUUGCUCGUUCACGUGAACGUCAUUUUAGAAUUUUUAUCUUUAUUAAUCAUGACAAUUGACAACAUUACUCCCACAUUUUUUUUAAAAAAAUUGGAUUAUAUAACCCACCAAAAGUAUAAAAAGUAUUUUCUUAUUAAAAUUAAUAAAUUACUCUUUAUAUUAAAAAAUUAAAAUUUAAAAUAAAGAAUGAUUGAUGAUGUUCAUUUAUUAAAAUAAAAAUAAAUUUUAUGAAGUCUAUAUAUUUUUAAAAUUAAAAAAUAAGAACUUAAUUUCGUAUGAACUGUAUUCACUACUUAGUAUUCUUAAAAGUUAACGGAGAAGAAAAAGAAAAAAAAAAGUGUAAAUGAACUGUAUUCACCUAAGUUUCAAACAUGUGGCUCAAUCUGAAUUCGCUUUUUUCAAAAGUAAAUACAAAAGAAAAUAUAAAGAAAAAAAAUUAAACGAGACAAAAAUCUGUGGCGUGGGUCAUUCAUAUCUUUUUCCAUUUCUUUUGUAGAGGUACAUAGGGUAGAUAUUUUGAAGUGAAAAGCAGAGCCUUUACUGUUGUUUGCCUUAUCAUCUUUUAAAAUUGGAGUUAUUAUUCUUUUAUUUUUAAGGAUGGUAGCCAACUCAUCCGUGUUCUCUAUUAUUGAAUUUAAAGAUCAAUGAUUUAUGUUAAUAAAUUUUUUGUUAACUAUCAAAGUUUUUAUUUCAAAAUUACUGCUAUAAUUCAUUAAUUUUUCAAUUUUUCCUUUUUCUAUUCACACAACAGAUUGAUUUGUCCUCCAAAAAAAUGUAAUAGGUCGUUUAAUAUUGUAACAUCAAGAAACUUAUAAUAAAUUUUUAAAGAGAUAAAUAGAGAAUGUCAGUCUCGCAUCUACUCAAAAUUAAUAAAUAUACCACUAACUUCUUAUUAUUUUUAUAAUAACUAAUAACUUUUUUAGCAUUAUAAUUUUAUAGUAUUAUCCUUGUUUGUAAGUACAUUUUUUAUUCAUAUUUUUUAUAAAUUAAUUAAAUCAUAUCAAUAAAAAUUAAAAUAACACAAUAAGUUUUGGAGUGAAUAAAAGAUUGAAAAUAAAAAUAUUUUUCUUAUAUUUUUUGUUAUUUUUAAAUGUUUUUCAUAUAAUAAAUGUACAUUUUAUAUUCUUAAGAUGAAUUUUGAGUAAAUGACUCAUUUACUCAUUUUUUUUCUUUAAAUUUUUGUUACUAGGAGGAUUUUUAGAUAUAAUGAAAAUUGUAAGGUAGUAAGUAAUAUAUAAUAAUUUUAAUAGAGAAAAAUAAAAAAUCUCUUAUUUUAAAAUAUAAGGAGAAAAAUAAUUAAUUUUAAAAAAUUUUAGAAGAUAUUUCAAUAUGCUGUGGAUCACACCCUCGAAUCUUUGUCGUCUUAGUCAAUUAAAAGGACAGAAUAUUGAGUGUGAAGACUCAACUGAUUGUUAAUUUCACAGCAAUUGUCUUUUUUUUAUUCUUUCUUUGUUUUUCCUAAUUAUUUUGAAAUAGUAGGUAGCAAUUGCUUACAUCAAAAUAUCUAAACUCACUCAGCAAAGUAUCCGAGGCCAAAAUGUCAAAACGUGGGACACCCAUACAUCUAAUUACAAAGUCUAAAGUUAAUGAAAAGAAAAAAAGAAAAAGUAUAAAUGAACGGUAAUCACCUCAUUUUCAAACAUCUAAUUCAACAUGAAUUUCUUUUUACGAAAAGUAAAUUUUCUCCCGGAUUGUCCUCAUUACAUUAAACGAAUGAUGACGACGCUCUGUCCGUUUCUGACUCUCUGCUUUGCUCUCUCACAUCACGAGACACCUCGUUUCUAACUGGGGUACCACCAUCAUAUUUAACUGUCGGGUCUUCCUACUAUGCACCUAGUGUAUGCAUGAUUCUUUGUGACAUGACAUAUAGCCAAUUAAAUUCUGACAUGCUUGCAAUAAAGACUGUUAAAGUGACCGGUUAUUCCGGUUGAUUUCACAAGAUCUUUUGUUUGUGUGUUUGUGUUCCAAGUUGUGUACUCUAUGUUACGACUCCUCUGAUUUUUUUUUUUUUAAGUCUGUUAUACAGAGAUAUUACUGACAUUACAUCAAACAUUACAAUUAAUAUUUACAAUCAUACUAUAUAACUGGGACCACCACCAUACAUUGACACACUGAAGUAUAUGCCCAGAUAUUUUAAACCCUCGAAUUAUACACAGAUAUUACUGACAUUACAUCAGAUAUUACAAUUAAUAUUUACAAUCAUACUAUAUAACUGGGACCACCACCAUACAUUGACACACUGAAGUAUAUGCCCAUAUAUUUUAAACCCUCGAAUUAUACACAGAUAUUACUGACAUUACAUCAGACAUUACAAUUAAUAUUUACAAUCAUACUAUAUAACUGGGACCACCACCAUAACAUUACAAUUAAUAUUUACAAUCAUACUAUAUAACUGGGACCACCACCAUACAUUGACACACUGAAGUAUAUGCCCAGAUAUUUUAAACCCUCGAAUUAUACACAGAUAUUACUGACAUUACAUCAGAUAUUACAAUUAAUAUUUACAAUCAUACUAUAUAACUGGGACCACCACCAUACAUUGACACACUGAAGUAUAUGCCCAUAUAUUUUAAACCCUCGAAUUAUACACAGAUAUUACUGACAUUACAUCAGACAUUACAAUUAAUAUUUACAAUCAUACUAUAUAACUGGGACCACCACCAUACAUUGACACACUGAAUAUCAGACAUUACAAUUAAUAUUUACAAUCAUACUAUAUAACUAGGACCACCACCAUACAUUGACACACUGAAGUAUAUGCCCAGAUAUUUUAAACUCUCUCUAAUAUUCGAGGGGUGCCUGCUCCACUCACAUUUCGUAAGGGAGAGACUGUCUCCAUUCAAUUAAUUAAUAAUUGAGGAAGAACUGAAACUAACCUCUAUAAUGCUCUUAUGGAGGCUCGAACCCUUGCACUCAACAUUAUAAGUACAAGGCUUCUCCCAUUGGACCAAAGGCCUAUUGGUAUGAGUUCUCUGAUUAAGUCUGAUAUUAUCUGUUGCUCAAUAAUGUUACAGGUUUUAUAAUAUGACUGGUACGAUCGCUGUCACAAAUUUAGAACGAAAAGUUUCCAAUAAAAUAAGUUAUUUAAUUAAUUAAAUAAGAAUAAAAUGAAUUUGUGAAAAAAAUUUAAAUUUAAUUUUGAAUUAUUUUGACCAAAAUUUAAGUUUUUUUUAAUUUGUUUAAGAAAAUGUGUUGUAAUUGUCUUGUUUUAAUUGGAAAAUCAAUGAAAAAAUUAUGUAACAGACAAAAAAAAAAAAAAAAAAAAGCAAAACGGUUUGUUUUGUAUGGAGGCCAUAGAUUCUAAUAUUUCCUUCACGAAAACUACAAAAAAAUUAUCAAAGGCAUCAAUUUCUACACUCUCACCGAGCAAUACUCUUAACCCAGAAGAAAGUGUAUAAACCAACCCCAAUCAGUCCAUCAAUGUCGUCAACCUCAUACAGCAUAAAAAAAAAUCUGUGUCCAUUAAACCGCCAUUUAAACCGUCUUUAUUGAACCAUUAGACUAUUCGUGUCAUCUUCCCAUCUCGUUGUAGUAUUUUACCUUUCAAAUUUAGUUAUCAAUUCUGGAAAAUGGGACCAAUCUGCAAGUCUUUAAAAUAGAAAGAAACUUUAAUUGGGCACUAUGUUCACGGUAGUGGACCCAGCAGCAUUAAUAUUUAGGGUGGAGCUAUUUAUAUUUUAAACAUUCUAAUUUUAAUAAGAAUAUAUAUUACAAAUGAUCACGACAUUGGGGACCAAUCACGUUGACAAGCAUUUUUUUUAUUUAUUAAUAAAGUGCUCUGAAAAGAGCUAAGGCAAUACUAAACGGGGGUGGUCCCGUUUUUAAUCUAACAUAGAGUCUUAAAAACCUUGUCAGUGGCAAAUGAUCACGACAAGAAAUCUGAAGGAGAAACAGCAGAGCUCAACAAAUCACUAAGAGAAAAUAAGACCAAUAACCAAGCAGAUAAAAGAAAAGCAAAAUAACCCAUCUCAAAAUCACCACAUGCACUAUUUAAGGGGUUUGUGAUAUGGGUUUAAAAAUAAUUUAACAAGUGCCACCUGUGAAUUGUCAGAGAUUGUAUCUUCAUACACAUGUCAAAUUUUCAAGUCCAACAAAUUGUUAUCUUUCUAAAGAGGCUAAUAUUAUUAUUAUCUAUGCAUAGCAUGCUAUAAACAAUUCAUAUUACUAGGGCCUUUGUUUUCUGUACACAACAUAUGGACAGAGGAACAAAUCCCUGAGCUAAAAUCAUCAUAUUCCAAAAUAUUCUAUUAAAUCAACACCACAAAACGCGAACGCUAAACAGAAUUGGAGCAAUUUACCAAAGCUAUUUGUCACGCAAAGCACUAGUACCUCAGAACCCAAUUUGCAAAAAAGCACCAAAAAUGAAAAAUAACAAAUGCCCAGAUGAAAAAUCAGGAAAAAAAAAUGCUCAAAUCCAAAUUACAACCCCAUAAGCUGAGUCGUUCUAUUCGAACUGAAUUAAAAAAAAUUAAUUAGGGAGAUUGACCUCAAACUUUGGAAACAGAAGCGACAUCGAUCUGUUUCUUGUCUGGAGUGUCCAUUUCUAUAAUCUACUUUGUCCGUUUUCAGUUGCUCUGCCACAAAGCUUCUUCCCUCUGAAGCUGAAGCUCACACACACUUGCAAAACGAAAGCAUUUUUUAUUGAUUGAGAGGCGGGAAGGCGGGAAAAUGAGAGAAAUUUGCAUUUGUUUUGUCUUGGUUUGGUCAUACCUGUGCGGGCCCCAGCUUGACAAGCGGUAUUAUUACUAUUUGUAUAAUUUACAUGACGCGUGUCACGCAAUGACGAUAAAAUGUAUAUAUUGUUAAUUUUUCACUUAACAUUGAAUGAUUGAAAUAUCAUAUAAUUUUUCCAAUUUUAUGGUUAUUUUCUCGCCCUUAUGCCACAUUCUUUUGAUCAAAUAAUACAGUAAAACUUUUCUAUAAUCAUAAUAUUAGAGCCAAAUUAACUUUGUUUCUGUAAAGAGGCUAUAGCUUAAUAAAGGUAAAAUUAUAAAAAUUAUUAUUUUGACUCAGUUAUCUUUAGUGCAAGUGAUAUAAAGUACAAAUAUAUGAUAAUUAAUUAAUGAACUAUGUCAAAUACAAUAUGCUGACAAUGAUAAAAAAGAUAGACAUAAUUUCAAGAAACUAAUACAUAUAUUUAUGUAGUGCUGGGAUUAUACAAAAUUAUCUUAAAAGUGUAAAGAGUAAAGUAUUAUUCUAAUUAAUUUAAAAAAAUUAUUUUUUCUUAAUCUUUAAUGCAACAUAGCUUUUUUUUUUUUUUUCUUAGCAACAAAGCAUUGUUCCACAUAAUUAUUAUUGGAUUCAAAUCAUGUCCUAGGCAUUUUUUCUUCUAGUCGUCUUAAACUUUUAAUGAUUUAUUGGCAUGCGUCAAUCAUUAAUGAAAUUAAAUAACUAAGACUUUGUUUUAAUUAACGUUUACAUAAAUAGACAUCAAAACUCACAUGUGAUUCUUAUCAAAUUUUUUCCUGCAAAUUCUUUUCCUCUCAACUAUUCAUAUUUUGACAUUAAUUUCCAGCAAAUUAUUAAAAAAAAGAAGAAGCGUAAAAUGGAGAAAAGUGAUUGACAACAAGGUUUGCAUCUUAAUUUCAAAAAUUUCCUUUCUUUGUUAUUUUUGUGGGUUCUACAAUUGUUGUUUUCACUCUCAGCUGCAGUUCAAUGAACUCUAUUAAUAACCAUGAAGCUUAAUGUAUCAAUUCCAGUACGAGAAGUCCUUCUACGCAUGUUACAACACUUUUUUGUCAUUAUAGGUUGCAAAUGUUCCGUAAUGUACUCAUUCAUAUAACGGAAACGCUAUUAUCAAUAAUGAAAGUUGACUAAGUUUGUAAAUUCUAUUUAACGAAAAAGUAACAUAAAUUUAGUUGAACAAGAGGUAAUUAAUAUGUAAUCUAUGAAACUAGGGUGUGACUAAGUUACAUAGUAAUGUAACUUACAUGAACACAAAAAUAAUUAGUUUUUAAACUACAAGUAAUUUUGGAACUGCUCUUAAAUUGAUAUAAGUUUUAUUAUUAUGUAACUUAGCAAGGUCAGGUAUUUUAAUAAUAGCACAUCACUAUUGUUUCAUGUGAAUGAUGCAAUUGGAUUAGCCAAUACAUACCGUCAUCCCCGGGAGAUGCUAUGGCAAUAGCUUACUCUAUCGUGCCAAUGUCAUUAGUAUUAAUCUGUUGAACCUAAGACCAUAUCUAAGCUGAUCUAGAUUCCCCAAGAUCGCACACCACACAGUGAUUAAUGAAUCAAGAACAAUAAACCAUCAAAGAAUCGCAAACUUACAUGUCGGGUUACAUGUAAUAAAUGUUUUAAUUAUUAGAUGAUUCAUAAUGUUAGACCAUUUUUUGUAUGUUUUGUAAUCUACGUUUGAUAAUUGAAUUAGCUGAUAAACACUUGAAUAAUAUUAUUUUAUUAACUAUGUCAUUGAUCCCCAGGAAAAAAAAAAAAAAACCCAAUUUGGGAUGUUAUACAUUACUUUUUCAUUACUUCCCAUUUUAGAUUAAUAUUUAUCACAUAUAUUCUUAGUAACUUGUAACCCUUUUUGCUAAGGGUGAAAUGUGUUUGUUACCCCUUCUAUUUCUGAGAUUGUCCUUACAAUAAGGAUGCCGGCCCCAAUGUCAAAAACUGCUAUCUCUAGGUGUAAAUUCCUUAUAAAAUUCUUUUUUAAUUGAAAUUACUUAAAUAAUUGAAGAUAAAUUAUUUUUUAUUUCAUUCAAAUAAAAAAAUCAAUUAAACACUUAAAUAAGCUAUCCUUUUAAUUUUUUUUUUUUACACCCAUCCAGUUUCAUAAUUUAUAUUUAUAAUUUAAAUUUUAAUGGAAAAUAUUUUUUUGAAAAAUUUUAAGAAUUAAGAAUUAUGGGGAUAAAAAUUAUGUAAUAAGACCAAAAUAAUUUAAAAUUUUAAAAUUUGCAUGUAUUAUAAACAAAAACUUGAAAGAAAUACUCUUUUCAGGGUGAGAUUUAAUCAGAAAAAGAUUAAUUUUCAUUUAUGGAUCAGUAUUUUAUAAAUUAAACAGAGGUAUUUUAAGAAAUAGAAUUCAAAAGGCAUGGGAACAAGGGCAUGGCAUUGGGUUUCCUUUUGUUUUGUAUGGAUUGGGAAAAAUACACGGACAGACAAAGGGAACAGUCAUUAUAAUGAUGUGGAACUUGUCGGAGAUUCCCUGCCCAUUUGUAGCUUAGACUCCUGGGGUUUUGUUCAUGUCUUUUCUGUAUCCCACUUUCUCAUGCAGCAGAUGUACAUAUGAUGAGAUGAAAACAACAGCAAAAAUUGCUGUCUCAUAAGAGAAAUAGUCAUACAUAGUUGGUUAGGCCUCCAGUCCAUUAACUUAAUAAUCAAUUUUAUGAAAAUUGAUUAUCUCAUUGGAAUUACAUAGAUAUUGGAAAACAUUACUCCAGCCCCACCAUCCCAACCAUUUACUUAGUUCAUCAGUAAAAGCUGGAUUUACCAUUUGUUCUUGAGAUUCAAAUUAAGGCAACAAGUUGCUCAUUCUAUAUUAUCUAUGUAAUCCUGUAAAAGUGAAGGGCGUUUAGAUGUGGAAAAACCUUACCCCUGCCGCAACACCUCAAACAGAUUGUGAUCAGACAAGACUUAGUUCAUCAUUAGUAGUAGUUGGAGCUUCCAUUUGUUCUAGAGAUUUAAAGGCAGCAAGCUGCUUCCUCAGUGCUACUAAUUCUUCCCCGGCAUUGCAUAUGUAGCCUGAGGCUUGUCUACCAGACAAAGUUGCUCCUUCCAUACCAUCUAUGUAAUCCAGUGAGAGUGAAACCAUUUAGAAGACGUAUCUCUUUCUUUCCAAUAUUUAGAAUGAAACAAUUAUAUACAGUUACCUGUUUUGCAUAUGAGCCGGCGAGGAAGAAGUUCUUCACUGGUGUCAUUGGAUCACGUCUGAAGGGGUCUUUACCAGGUCCCUCACCACACAAAGAUUGCCCGAUUUUGACGAAAGAUGACCAAAUAACUUCUAAACCUUGGGAUGAUGGAAAUGGAGCUAAAACCUAAUAAAAGGAACCGUGAAUGGAUAGUAUGGACUCAUGUAUAUUAUCCAGAAAGUUGCAUGACCUUUUGUGGUACUCAGGUCACUAAAAAACGUGAGAUAAACAUCUAGGAUAAGAAAAGCAAAAAAGCAUAACCUAAUACGUAUUAUAUGAAUUGAAGGUGUCACUGAACGCUACCAACCUGCUUUGCCACUCUCCUUAUGAUUUCAUCAUUUGGUAAGGGCAUAUAAGGAUCUCCAGGCGUCAAAACGCAUCUGAAAGAUAAUAUGGUUAUAGUUAACAAAAUGGAAUACAAAGACACUUGGCAAAAGGAAGUCAAUCAGAUUCCAUGCACAAAAAAUAACUAAUAAUGACGAGGAUAAGAAAUUUUGCACACUGGUGCCUUCUCUAUAGUAGUCUUCUGGCGAAGUAAGUGCUAGAUCUGCAAAGCAAGAGAAAUCUGCAUCUGGAGUAUAUAAAAGGUUAUCUAACUCCACAGCUUGCCUCAAUUGCCUACAUGUUCAAAACAAGGAUCUAUUAAAAAAUGGAAAUUUCUUCAAUGAAUUAGUGAAGGUAAGUGAAGUGAAACCGGAUUUCUUAAGCCUUCACAGAGCAUCUUGUGUUUGAAUUCCGGUAACCUCAGAAAAGAUUAGAGCAUCACCUUGACCGUUCUAGGUCUUGCAACUCAGUAACCCAACCAUUGUAUCUAAGCUGCACUGUGACAACAUGAACUCCAACGAGCUCAUAAAUAUUGUUGAAAAAUUUCAUUUCCCUCCAGCCUCCACAAUGAUGAAAGCAAUCUUUUAAUUCCAGGGACAUCACAUGCUGCCAUUAAAUAAGAAGUUGAAUAAAGAAAAAUCGUUCAACUAAAUGAUUCAGGAGUUAAAACAAAAUGUAGAAGUAGAAAUAAAUAACGAAGAUUUAACCAUAAACCUGCAACAUUUGCAUCAGCUUGCACAACCUUCUUGUCAGUGGCCUGAAAUAGAAUGAGAACUUGAAAGACAGUAAGCAUAAAAGAAUAAACUCAAAGAAGCUGCUUCUUACAGAUGAUAUAAACAACAAAUUUACAAAUGUCAGGUCAUUGCAUUAGCUCCAUGCCUCCAUCAGAGGGAAUAUUAAUAGAUGCAUAAAAAAAUAAUUAGAGCCACAUGUGAAACAAUUUACCUUAGACAUGGCAAGUGCUUUAACAAAUGUUUCCCCGUUAGCAGAUUUAUCAUAAAGUAUCUCUCUGCAUCCCCACCUAAGAUGGAACCUGUUCUCACAAGAACAGAUCCCAAGGUUGGGAAAAUCAGUUCAUCAUAGGAGAAAACAAAUAUGAUUAACAAAUCGCUACAAUGGUGUGAACCCGUAAAUACAAACGUACCUGCCCCCUUUAUCUGUGAUAUAUUUUCUUAUGGGCCCACUCAAAUAUACAUCCGGAGAACCCUUGAGCAUCAGCAAUAGGGAAGCCUCGGUCUUAGUCGCAAAUAGUGCAAGUAUAGUAAGCAUACAAUGAGCACUGAUGUUAUCACAAUCAAUAAACCCAAGGGCAUACGCAACAGGAUCCCACAUUCUUUGGAUACUUGUCCGUGUACCACCCUUGGACAAAAACCAAUCAGAGAAGCUUAUGUGUAAGAAGAAAUGAAGUUUUAGGUAAAAUAACAAUUUGUAGGAACAGGGAUUGAAAUUCAACAAACAAGAAAAUAUGAUGUCAUUCUUACACUAUCCAAAUCUCAUAUGUCCUUCAAGGCUCCAUCAGGAUCAACAAGUGCCUUUACAACAGGACUCAGAGCAAGAGCAAGAGCAUUUCUUGCUUUAUCAUAAGUCUGCACUUGAGCAAUAUACCAGGCAAAGUACAUCAAAAGAGAAUCCAAAAGAGGCAAGAAGCUUCAACAUGAAAAAAGGAGUACUGCCUCAUCAUACUGCUUUGCAAUCACAGUGCAAAAGAUAACAUCAACAAAUCAAAAUCAAGCAAAAAUCCAUAUGCACUACCUUAAGCUGAUUUGUAGACAAAAGUGUGCGAAUCCCAUGUAACGGAGCUUCAAUCGGAAACCGGAAAUCAAGUUCUGGAGUUGAAAAUCAAAAUCAUGAACCAAAUCAGAGUUAUUAUUGAAUUUGACAAUCCAUAAACCAAUAGAAGGUGAUGUCAAACCAUCAAGCAUAACUACCCACCAAGCAUAACUAUUAGUAGUUUUAAGUGAUCAAGAAAUAACCAUACCACCAAUUUCACUACCCUUAUUUACAAAUGUAUGAGUAUGAUCCUUCAUGAGUAAGUUUUUGUCCGCACCUACCUGUCGAAAUGCUUGAAAAACUAUCAGAUCAUAAACACAGGCUCCAGUUAAAGAGGAUCUAUGACUCUGAUCCAUCAUGUUAUUUGAACAACAUUUUCGAAUUUUGGUACAACCCUAAGCUAUAAUCAGUUAUCAUCACUACAAAUGAUAUGGUCAAGAGGAAUGAUAGUUCUUGUUUCAAGUAUCUCAAAUCGUAAUUCUUUUGCAUGGCUUGUGUGCUUUUAUAAUCAUUCAAACACGCAUAUCCACAACUAAGCAAGCUUUACCAUUUUCAUCAAUCGGAAGAGAUUAUUGUAGCAUCCAAAGAAAAUGUGCAGACCCAUUUCAAUAUGGUUUUCAAGUUUAUCGACAAAUGAACCCACUUUACCACCAAUAAAAGACCUCGACUCAUAUAUAUCCACCUGGAAGAAAGGAAAAGUUAAAAAAAAAAAGUGUUGAGAAUUAUGUUUGAUUAAACUUAAUUCUUUCCCCAAGAAAUCUCCACACACUGAUCUUAUUGAAACAAGAAUGAAUACCCAAGAUAGUAAUCAGAAAUAAAGCAAGAGUGUUUAGACAGAAAUAGAGAUUAAAAGCAUAGAAUAAACUGGACACAAGGAGAAUUCUAGAGGUUCGGCUGGGUAGCCUACAUCCUCUUGAGAAACAGAAGCCGUAGCUUUUCUUUGAUGCUUAACAGAUUACAAGACUUAGAGAGUUUGUUACAAAGAACGUUGGUUAUCUAAACUUGGCCUUGGGGCCCUUAUAUACAGCUCUCGAAGGAUCCAGAUAAGUGUGCUGCUUGCCAGCUCUUGUUCUGGGUUUGUUGAAACAAACCCAGAAAGUUCCCGCCAAGGCUAACCAUUGAUAACAGCCUUUUAAUUAGAAACGACACUUGCUGCUGCCGUUUAACUAAAGCUUGAAUCCGUAGAUGCUCGAGCAAUUCACGUGCAUUACUUAAGCUAUUCGUGUGACAGGAUAUGGUUGUCAUAUGCGCAGCAUUAUCUGUCUGAUUGCUUUGUCGUUUCUUGAUUAAUACUAGACACGACAAAGUCAUCUUCUCCGUAAGCUCUUAAUUCAGGCUCACAAUUAACAAAAAGGAAAAAAAAUUCUUCUAAUUUCUUUCACCAUCAACAAAAUCAGAAAAACACAUACUAGUUCAAAAUAAAAUAAAGUUUGUGAAUUGAAAUAAUGCCAACUCCUAAGAAAAAUUAUGACUGCUGAUAUUUUUUCCGAAAUGCUGAUAAAAGCCUCUGCUAUUUACUUUGAAAAAAUUGAGGUUAGAAGCCAAUUUACUUGAAAUUUUGAGUUUAGGCAAGAGGAUGAAUGGUAAAAGUGAAACAUAUUAGGGAAAAAUGUACUUCAGAGGCCAAUGAAAGCAUUCAGAAGAUUGAAAACUAAAUGAGCAAAACCUCGUGGCCAUGAUCCAACAAUUCCACUGCUGUUGACAUGCCUGCAAGCCCAGCUCCAAUAAUAGCCACUUUCAGCUUUGGUCCUCUAUAAUGUUCCAGUUCUGGUGGAAACAAACCCUUGGGAGCUGCCAAGUAUACCAUCCAAUUAUCCACAGCGAUAAUGGAAAUAUAUAUGUGUUUGAAAGUACUAAAUUCCUAAACAGGAAAUGUAUCCAAAAAGAGACACAAAGCAGAAUUUCGUAAGCAUUUCAAUUCCCAAUAAAUUUCGAGAAUACAAAAUACUCGGUCUGUUCUUCAAUUCCUUUAAUAAAAUUUCCACUAGAGGCUACGCAAGCCACUCAAUAACACGCCAAAGCCAGAUUUUAAACGUUAUCUUUAUCUUUAACUCCAAUCCACAAACAAUUCUGCCAGAAAUUCAAUCCAAAAUUGUUCAAGUGCACCGCCAAUUCUCCAUCAAUUCCCUCAAAAAUUCAUAAUUGGCAAACAAUACAAACCAAAAAGAGCUUCCGGCAAUAAACGCAUAAAAAUCCACCAAGCAACAUAAAACAAAAUACCCAGAAACCAGAAAAGCCAAAAGAUCAAUGCUUGUGCAAACAAGCAAAUCAAAUAAAACAAAAAAAAGAGGAAUUUACCCUUAACGCUCAUAUCAGAAAUAUUAGUAUCCAAAGAAGCCCGUACACGGAAUCUUGGACCCUUCACUUGAACCCGAGACCAUGUAACGCCAGUAACUGAAGUUGCAGGAAACAGAACUGAAGAACCCAUAUUGCAAAUCCUGAGCUGAAAUCAAGAAUUUCAAUUGGAACUCAAUUCAGCUCAACCCAGCUGAGCUCUCUUUUGCUUCAAUAACAAAGUGUUUUUCUUUUAUAUCAACAAAGAUUUGUCAACAUCAACAAAAUUUAACUAAGAAACUAGAAUAAUAAAAGAGGGCACCUUUGAGUUUAAGAAUCUAACAGGAUGCUAAGGAAGAGAGUUUUGUCAGGGAACUGUUUCGGAGAGGUUGGCCAAGUGCUUUUUUGUUUUUUAUUUUUAUUUUUUUCUCAUUUUGGCCUUUUUCAUUAAUACACAACAUCAGUACUCGCGAAGAGCACAAAAUGUUGGUGACUUUGUCACUAACGAUAGUGGAUGGAGCGACCAAAGCAACCAACUAAAUUUUAAAGAGAGGGAAUGACAAGCAAUAUUUUAAUUGGGUGAUUAAUUAAUGUAUUAUCAAGCAAUUGCAUUUAUUUAUUUAAACGAUGUCCUUAUCUUUGGACAAGGUUGAGGAAAGACCGCGAUGUUGUGUUGUCACGUAUUUUUGGGCCGACCGUUUCCAGUUUCGGCUUAAAUGAGGCUUUUGUAUUUUUGUGCCGUUUUUUUACUGAGUAUUUUGUCCUAAAUUACACAAAGAAAAUGUGUAUUUGUUAAAAAAUCUGUUGAAACUCAGAACCUCUUAUGUGGACUUUAGAAUGCGACAGUAUUGAUAUCUAAGUUCGUAAUAUCAAGAGUGAUAAAACGGAUAAAUGAAUAGAAAUGUAAAUAAAUUUGGUUAAAAUUUAAUGGAUUCGAAUUCGGUAUGUUAUCAAACAAAUCAUAAUCUUAGGAUUUGGAUUCAAUUCAUUUAUUAAUUGGAUACCUAUUUAAUUUGUUUAUUAUACAAAAUUAAAUGAAUUGAAUUGAAUUGAAUUUAGAUUCAUUUACAAUUUGUUUAAUUUAUUUAUGUAAAAUUAAUAAAAAAUCAAUCAAAUGUGGAUUUGUUUAAAAAAUAAUAAUAAUUAAUAGCAAAAAUCAAGCAAAGUAAAAUAGAAAAAAAAUCAUAAAAUUAACAACCUACAAAAUAAAAACGAAUUAGUGACCGCAAACUUGAAUUCAAUUCAUUUAUUUAACGAAUUGAAUUGAAUUCACUUAUUUGUUAAUGAAUCAAUUUUUUUUAAAAUUCAGACCUAUUUAACUUGAAUCAAAUAAACACAUCCUAAUCUAAAUUGUCACCUCUAAAUAUGAUGGACCUAUUUAAAAUAUAUGAAUACCAAAAUGUGUGGGCUAAAAAGUGGUUUACCAUGCAACAAUACGAAGUUUAAGCUCUCUUUUCUUAUGUCAUCCAAGGCAUUGCCUGGAUCGCCAAACACUAGAGUUCAAGUCUACAAUAAAGAAUCGAAAUUUUUCUUUGUAAAUGUUCGUAAGUAUUUAGCAUAGAUUUUUAAGUUAUACUUGAUAGAUCCCCUACCAUAUUUGCUAUAAUAUUUCUCUUCUUUUAAUUUAAAAGUAAAUCAUAAUAACGGAUUUGUAAAGAAAUUAAAUUUCCAGUAAUUAACUGAAAAAAUAAAAAAGAUGGAUUAAGCGAAAGAAGUUAAUAUAGAGUAAAGUCGAGUACUUGACAAUUAAAGUAAUUUUACUCGAGGUUGAGUAAGGAUAGUAUGAUACUUUCCCAGGUUUUCCGAGGACAUUCAUGUAACAUUGGACUAUUGACUAUAGUUAGAGAGAAGUCCAAGGAUGUAAGUGAUGAUGAUAGAUUCACAAUUCUUUUGAAGAAAAUAUUUUAUAUAAACUUAAUUAUAUGGUAUAAAAUGAUUGGCCUUAAUAAAAUUAAAAAAUAAUAAAAAUAAUACACGCCUGGGUCAUGCAAUAUUUUCAACCAACUAAUUUACACGCAAAAUUAAACCUUAUGAGUGAGAACAUUAUGGUACAUUUAUAUGCUAGCAAAAACUCCGCAAAAAUUUUCCGAAAUGUGAAAAUGAACACUUUUAACAAUGACACAAAAUUCCCACCCCCCAUGAUUAAUUCUCUUAUCUGGAAUAUUAGGGGGAUUGGAAAAGCCCCUGCGGAAAUUAGUUCGAUUACAUCGAUUGUCUUUGAUUUGUGUGUUGGAGCCAUUUAUUUCCAUUGAUCGUUUAGAGGCUCUUCGGGUGCGGCUUGGGAUGGAUCAUGCUUUAUCUUCCCAAUCUGGGAAGAUUUGUGUUUCUGGUCCGCACCUUUCUCGGUGGAGCUUCUGCAUGACAUGGGCAAGGUGAUUCAUUGUCGGGUUAGUCACUCUUUUUUUCCUGAUCCUGUGUAAGUUUCAUAUGUGUACGCUAGUUGUUAUAUGGAUGUGCGAGAGAAUUUAUGGGAUGCUCUUAAGACCUUUGCGGAUAGUCAUGAUCUACCUUGGAUCGUGGGGGGAGAUUUUAAUAUGAUUCAGGCGGUCUCGGAGAUUUCUGGCGGGCAUCCACAUACUCGGGGAGCUAUUGAUGCCUUUAAUUUAGCGUUGCUUGAUUGUGGUUAGGAGGAUGCUGGCUUUGUUGGCAGUCCUUUUACUUGGACUAAUGGGCGCCCAUGGAGGCAGCUUGAUAGGGUGGUCUGCAACGCUCACUAGUAUGCUUUCUUCUCAGUAUUUCGGGUCUCUCAUCUGAAUCGUACUGCCUCAGAUCAUUCUCCUUUGCUUUUUCUUGGUGAUCGGGGCGCUGUUAGAGGACCUUCACGGUUUAAAUUUCUUCAUGUGUGGCUCAAGCAUCCAGGUUUUCUUGAUACUAUGCGGCAGUCUUGGGGUGCUCCGGUGGUUGGUUCUGGAAUGAGAGCCUUUCAACAGAAACUCACUCGGUUAAAGUUCUGCCUAAAAGCUUGGAACAAAGAUGUCUUUGGUAACGUUUUUUCUCAGGUCCAACAAGCAGAGGAGGACAUGGCUCAGAAGGAAAGAUUGUAUGAUAUUUCUGGCUCCGUCGAUUACAGAGCUAAUUUUUCCGAGGCCAGGGCCUGGUUGCAGCAUGCUUUGCUUCGUGAGGAGAUUUUUUUUACGUCAGCAGUCCAGUGUUCGAUGGGUUCGAGAGGGCGAUGCUAAUACCUGUUUUUUCCAUGCGAUGAUUCGGAAAAAGUGCCAGUUGUUUCAUAUUCACAGGAUUCGGGUUGAUUGUUUCUUAGAGUGGAUUUCUGAGCCCUCCGCCAUUGUAGAUUAUGAUGUCGAUUAUUUUCAAGAUUUAUUAACGGGAGAUGCCAGUCAGUUUCAGCAGACGGACUUCGAAGUUAUUCCAUCUCUUGUGUCUGUAGAGGAUGAUGUAGAGUUAUGUAGAGAGCCGGAUAUGGAUGAGAUUAGACAUGCGGUAUUUUCUAUUGAUCCAGAUAGUGCUCCUGGACCGGAUGGUUUUUGUAGCAGAUUCUAUCAGUCGUGUUGGGACAUCAUUUGCCGUGACUUGUUAAAUGUUGUCCUCGAUUAUUUUAGAGGUUCGGCAUGCCCAGAGGUUUCCAAAGUACUUUAUUGGUCUUUCUGCCUAAGAAGGCUUCUCCGGCUUCUUGGGCUGAUUUCCGUCCGAUUAGUCUUUGUAAUGUGAGCAACAAGGUCCUUACUAAGUUGCUUGUCCCAUCUCCUGCCUCACAUUAUUUCUCAUACUUAGAGUGGUUUUGUUCCUGGUCGAGUGAUUCAUGAUAACGUGCUCCUGGUUCAGGAGUUCGUUCACGAUCUCAAUCGCCAUAGUCGAGGGAACAAUGUGGUGCUGAAAUUAGAUAUGGCCAAGGCAUACGACGUAUGUCAUGGCCUUUUAUUAUUCAGAUGAUUCACUGUUUUGGGUUCUCGAAGCGUUGGAUUUCUUUGAUUCGGCGAGCGAUUUACGGUCCUUAGUUUUCAGUGCUUAUGAACGGGGUCAGUAACAUAUAUUUCUAGUCCCAGAGUGGUCUUUGGCAGGGUGAUCCCCUUUCCCCUUGCUUAUUUAUUAUUGCUGCAGAAUUUUUAUCUCGAGGCUUGGAUCAUUUGUAUUCUCAGUAUCCCUCUGUUCGGUAUUGUUAUACUGCACCUACUUCUAUCUCCCACUUGAGUUUUGCGGAUGGUAUUGUUAUUUUUGCAAAUGAGAGCCGAUCUAGCUUACAGUGGCUUGUGGAUUUCUUACACCAUUAUAAGGUGAUCUCAGGGCAGUUGAUUAGCGAGGACAAGAGUAACUUCUACAUUAGGAAGUCAGCUUCGACCUCCCGCUAGGCCAUUGUUCACUCUGUGACUAGCUUUCAGUGACGUCAGCUUCCGUUUACUAAUCUUGGGUGCCUGAUCUUUACAGGGUACCUCAAGAUCUCCUAUUUUGAUGACAUGGUCCGGAAGGUCAAGGAUAAGAUUUCUGGCUGGGCUAACCGUCUGCUUUCCUUUGGUGGGAACCUCGUCCUCAUUCGCCAUGUGUUAUCCUCUAUGGCCCUGCACUUAUUUCACGUCCUCCGCCCUUUUAUAACGGUAGUUUAACGCCUAGAGCGAUUGUUCACCCGAUUCCUAUGGGGUGAUUUUGAGGGAAGACACCAGAUCCACUAGUGUAGAUGGCCAAAGGUUUAUUAUCCAGUUGACGAGGGUGGCCUCGAUAUACGAUCUUUUGAUGAUAUGGCGGAGGCUUUUGAGAUUAAACUUUGGUGGCGGUUUUGUCAGCAGAGUUCCUAUAUGAAGUCUAAGUAUUGCAGAUCUACGCAACCAAGCCUUAUCCAGUUUCGCUAUCUUGCCUCUCCUUUAUGGAGACACCUUUAUAAGAUUCGUUGCACGGCUAAACCUCAUGUGCGUUGGCUCGUUGGGAGUGGAGAUUGUAGCUUCUGAUAUGAUUGUUGGCUGAGUUCUUGCCCUUUAUUUUUUUAUAACCCUACAGCGGCUUUGUCGGUGCCGGUCUAGUUCUUUGGCAGGGUACAAUCUGGGACAGAGGCAAACUAAGGGACGUCUUGCCUUCAUCUAUUGUUGAGCAGAUCCUAUUAGUGCCUAUUUCUAGUGGGAAUCCAGACCUGAUUCGUUAGGACCUUGCCCCCGACGACACGUUUAACUUGCGGACUGCUUGGGAGCUUGUACAGUGCUCUAGGUCGAGGGAUGAGCUUUUCUCGAUGAUUUAGUAGAGGCAUAUCCUGUCACGAGUUUCCUUUUUUCUCUGGCAGCUACUUCACGGAUUCCUAGCUACUGAUGAUGCCUUAUACUUGAGGGGUUUCUAUAUGGUUUCUCGAUGUAUUUGUGGGCGGGUUGCUGAGACUUCUCGGCAACUUUUUAUGGAUUGCCCGCGGGCCCGUCAUAUUUGGGUUCAUUGCCAGCGGAUCAUGGGGAUGCGUGAGCUUUAUUUUCUGUCUCCCCGUGCUUUGCUUUUAUUUUGGAGACAUUGUGCCCCUUCUCGGAAUCAUCAUCGGGUCCUUCUGCCUUACUUCAUUUUGUGGCAAAUUUGGAAGGCCCUAAAUGCUUUCCAGUUUCAUUCACAGUCUUUCUCCACUGAUGCGGUUAUCUUUCAGGUCGACUCUGAUCUCAGGCUCGCUAGUUCUGCUUUUGGAUUCAAGCCUCCCCAACUGAGGGGAGUCUUGGGUUCUCGUAUUGCGGAGGGCUUGCGAGUUAUGGCUCCCCCUAGGAGGUCGAUUCGUCUAGUUGCUUGGAUGAGGCCAACUUCAGGGGUGGCUAAGCUGACUGUGGAUGGUUGCUCUGGGGUCAACCUUGGGAUGGCUGCUUCCAGGGGUAUUCUUCGGGAUCACCGGGGCAUGGUUUUAGCGGCUUUUGGAUCCUUUUUGGGUUACAAGCCGAUCUUAUAUGCUGAGCUCAUGGCGGUGUGCGAGGGUUUGGAGCUUGCCAUUCAGCUUGGGUACUCAGUGCUCGAGGUUGAGUCAGACUCGGCUAUGGUGAUGUCAUGGAUUCACACCUCAGGGUCCUGUUCGAUGGGAAUGUUCUUAUUCUCUACGCCGGGUGUGCCGUCUGGUAACGUCAUUCCCCAUUCAGGUGAGACAUGUUCUUCGCGAGGCUACUUAUGCUGCUGAUUUUCUAGCCAACUGGGCGCGCACUCAUCGGACUAGCCGGUGUUUCUUAUCUCCUCGAGAGCUUCCCAAAGGCUUAUCUGGUAUUCUUUACUUAGAUCCCCACGCAAUCCCCCAUGUCAGAUGUUAGGAUUUUAUCUUUUUCUUAUAUCUCAUUUUCUCUAGGAGGUUUUGGCUUAUAUCCCCCUCCUUUAUAUCUAAUUCAUUUUCAGAUUUAUAUUAUAGGUAAGGGUUCCGCCUAGCUCCCACCACUCUGGUGGUUUUAAAAAAAAAAAAAAACAAUGGCAUAAAAUGCCUGUGAUAAUGAAACAAUGUGCCAUCCUUAAACUAAUAUCAUUACAAACUACAAGUGAAAGUUUUUGGAAAACAUUGAGAAGUUUUUCUCGGAAUUUGUUUUCUUCUUUGCUUUGAUUUAAGCGUAAAUUUUUAAAAUCCGUAACAAAACAAAAAUUUACAUGGGUUGGGCGCACCUUGUGGUUCGUGCAUGCUUUCGUCUAAUAGUAUUUGAUACAUACAAAUUCAUUUUAAAAUUGACGAAUCGUAAUAAAAAAAUUUAUAUAUAAUAAUUGAGUGAGAUCCAUGGUUCACAAUUGCAAAUUAAUGGUUGGUUUUAUAAUAAAAAUCUUUAUGUACAUACCAAAUUAGAAAAGGUUAUAAGUGAAUUAAGAUUUUCAAAAUUUGACUCGUAUUAUAUUAUGUACGUCAAUAUAAUAUAAAUUUGUUAUAUAUAUAUAUAUAUAUAUCCAAUGCUUUCAAAAACUUUAUACUUGUUUGAACAGAUUUUUUGCUUUCUAUUUGUAUACACAAACACUUUUUUAGGACACAUGUAUAAUUAAUCUUAAUAAUUCUUAUACAAUCCUCUAUUUAAGACCAGCAACGUCACCCAUUAUAAUUUAUCACUAAAUAUUGUAAAACUAUUGGUUUUCACGAAUAACUAAUAAAAAUUAUUUUUUUUGUAAGAAAAAUACUGCGAUUCCUUUCACUGUUGUAGUAGUAUAGUUAUCGUGGACGAUGAAUUUCUAGUAUUGUACAAUGAUAUUUAUGUUGAAUGUUUAGGGAAUGAAAUAGGGUGACCAAGAUAAAGGGGUUUGCUCAUACAUUAUCGUGCUCUCCUCAAAGCAAAAGUGAGCAAAUGGUUGAGCAGAUCAUCUCGACCAGAAUAAUAUGUGGUGACCUCGAGUACAGCACCUCGACCAGGAUGUUAUUGGUCACCUCGACCAGGAUGUUAUUGGUCACCUCGACUAGGAUGUUAUUGGUCACCUCGACCAGGAAGUCACCAGGAAGCACGUCAUCCGCGAGGCCAAUUUCCUGUAAGAAGCAUAAAGCCAUUCCUGCUGCAUUCUUGCUAAGGGUUGAUUCGAGGAGACCCGGUCAACGACAGUUGGCGAGGCAUGCUCUCCAGCCCGAGAAUCUAGGCACGAAGGCCACGCAACCACCCAUGACUACGGAAAUGGGGAAUCCACAUUCGAGAGGUGGGAGGACAACGGACAUAGACUGCGGAAAACUGGGAUUCAGAGGAAGCCUAUAAAAAGGUAGCCAACGAAGGUAAAAGGGUUAGCAAUUUUGAGAUUAGAAGAGAGCUAAAGAAAUUCUAAAGAAGAGAAAACUAUGAAAAAGCCAUAAGAUCUGUGGCAAGCGUUCCCCGAACCUUCAUAUCUGACUUGAGCGUCGGAGGGUUUGCGCCGGGAAAACAACCGGCGUACUCUGACUUGUCUGUGUGCGCAGGAACCUCUGGAGAAGAAGCCUUACGAGGAGACCUUCUGGUCGUGGUGAAGUUGAUCGAGCAGAGAUCCUGGUCGUAUAACGAGGAGAACCAGAAUCUCGCAUCAACAUUUUGGCGCUGUCUGUGGGGAAUGGUACAAAAAGCCAGCUUGUUAUCUUUAUCAAUCUUCAUCUGGCCGAAGUGAAGGCAGAAUAUUGCGGUGCAUAAAUGGAUGAGCUUGCUUAAACAAGGAAGCAAAAACCUUAAAGGAGAGCACAUUGAAAGCACACGUUUGUAAAAAUCAGAACAGGUCAGAAGUUAAAUUCUUAUUUACAAGCAAUUUUUUCAUGAAAAUUUAAUUAUUUCUCUAAAUCCUGCUAUGUGAGAUGAGGAGCCCUUAUAUUCAUUAAAUUGAUUGUGCUCAUAUUAAGGCUGACUGUAUAACUUAGUUAACUUGAUUUCUUGAAAGCUAUUCAAUAUGAGAAUGAUUUAAGAAAAUAGAGCUAGGCUAGCGUUGAGAAACCAAUCAAAGCUUACUAAUAAGGCAUGCAAAGGCUCCAAAGUCUCAAAGCCUGUCUUAUGGCGAGACAGAAGCCAAGCGUGCCAGGAUCUGCUCGACCACGAGAAGGCGAGUAGAAUCCCAAUCCUUGAAGAAUUUGAAGGCAUGCAAAGGCUCACCAAGUCUCAAAGCAUGUCUUAUGGCGAGACAGAAGCCAAGCGUGCCAGGAUCUGCUCGACCACGAGAAGGCGAGCAGAAUCUCAAUCCUUGAAGAAUUAAAGGCACGCAAAGGCUCAUCAAAGUCUCAAAGCCUGUCUUAUGGCGAGACCAGAAGCCAAGCGUGCUAGGAUCUGCUCAACCAAGCGAAGGCAAGCAGACUCCCAAAUGUUGUAAAAAUUCCUAAGGCAUGCAAAGGCUCACCAAAGUCUCAAAGUCUGUUUAUGGCGAGACCAGAAGCCAAGCGUGCCAGGAUCUGCUCAACUAAGCGAAGACGAGCAGACCACCAAACUUUCAAAAAAUUCCUAGGGCGUGCAAAGGCUCCAAAGUCUCAAAGCCUGUUUUAUGGCGAGACAGAAAGCCAAGCAUACCAGGAUCUGCUCAACCAAGCGAAGACGAGCAGACCACUAAAGUUUCCAGUCUUGAUUCGUUUCACUCUCAAUACUAGAAACUGGGGGACUGGUGUUUAGGGAAUGAAAUAGGGUGACCAAGAUAAAUGGGUUUGCUCAUACAUUAUCGUGCUCUCCUCAAAGUAAAAGUGAGCAAAUGGUUGAGCAGAUCAUCUCGACCAGAAUAAUAUGUGGUGACCUCGAGUACAGCACCUCGACCAGGAUGUUAUUGGUCACCUCGACCAGGAAGUCACCAGGAAGCACGUCAUCCGCGAGGCCAAUUUCCUGUAAGAAGCAUAAAGCCAUUCCUGCUGCAUUCUUGCUAAGGGUUGAUUCGAGGAGACCCGGUCAACGACAGUUGGCGAGGCAUGCUCUCCAGCCCGAGAAUCUAGGCACGAAGGCCACGCAACCACCCACGACUACGGAAAUGGGGAAUCCACGUUCGAGAGGUGGGAGGACAACGGACAUAGACUGCGGAAAACUGGGAUUCAGAGGAAGCCUAUAAAAAGGUAGCCAACGAAGGUAAAAGGGUUAGCAAUUUUGAGAUUAGAAGAGAGCUAAAGAAAUUCUAAAGAAGAGAAAACUACGAAAAAGCCAUAAGAUCUGUGGCAAGCGUUCCCCGAACCUUCAUAUCUGACUUGAGCGUCGGAGGGUUUGCGCCGGGAAAACAACCGGCGUACUCUGACUUGUCUGUGUGCGCAAGAACCUCUGGAGAAGAAGCCUUACGAGGAGACCUUCUGGUCGUGGUGAAGUUGAUCGAGCAGAGAUACUGGUCGUAUAACGAGGAGAACCAGAAUCUCGCAUCAACAUUGAAUAUAACGCUUCAAUGAAUUUUAUUACUAUAUACUAAAAUACUCAACGAUCUUCAUUAAAAAAAAAAAAAUUGCAUGAUUAGAAUGAUUAAAGUUCAUCUAAUGACUAGUUUCAUCAUUGACUCUGUCGAAACACAGCAGCAAUCCAGAAUACAUUUAACACGAGAGGCGCAGACAAACAUGCAUGAUGAAUCUUCCACCAUUAAACCUGAAAUCAUAAAAUGAAAGAAACCAGAUGAGUGUUGUUUGUCUGAAAGCCGAUUCGAGAAAAAUAAUAAUAAUAAUAGACCUUUGUUAAUAAUUAAUACUAGUUGUCACUACCUUGUGCAUCUUCCUCCUCUGUAUCAUCGUCCUCUUCCAAUCACACCGCAAGACCAGUAUAUCUCGAGAAUCUUUACUGCCUUCUCACAGAUCCCAUUGCUGUCAUGUCUUUUUAGAUCUUCAAUCAUUUUGAAUCCCUCAGCCGCCUCCACCAACCGUGCAUAAUGAUUAAAAUAUCUAUUGGCGGUACCCGUAUUCAUUUCAGCUUCCCCGACCUUCAAAAUGUUCUCUAAUCCUUUUAAGCAAAUAGUGACGAUCUCUGGAUCAGCGUAUAGAAGGAGAUCACACAAUGGUUUUAUACACCCCUUUCUCACGAGGUACUUGAUUUGCUCAUGAGUACCACCUGAGAUGGCAUUUGAAAUUGCCCGAGCGGCCUCCUUCUUUGUAAAAAAUUCAGCAUUUUGAAGCAGAUCGACAAGGGGACCAAUUACGCCAGCAUCAAUUACCACCUGAAUCUGUUCCCUGUUACCAGCUGUAAUAUUUGAAAUAGUCCUGCAUGCCUCUUUCGCAAUGCCUGUACACUGAGUCAGGAAACCAUCUCCCUUCACAAUAUAUCUGACAGUCCACAGGGGAGGAGUGAGCCCGAAGGGGAAGGGUAAUGGAUGAAGAAGGAGCUUAACAAGUCGUGGACAGACAUCUGCCUCGAUCACAGCUUGAAUUUUGUCAUUCGUACCAUCAGAUAGACAGGAUAGUGCCUCGCAGGCAUAUCUCAAGACAUCGUUGUCAUUUGAAUGAACAAGUUGUGCAAGCGCAGGAAGAGCUGGCCUCACCUGAUCAAAUGGUGGCUCUGGCUUGCCCUGGCAAAAACGAGACAAUGUCUUUGUGGCAUUUCUUAGCAUUGAAGGCUUAGCAUGCUUAUUUAACUGUGCCAGCAACGGAAUCAAAGCUUUUUCACUGAGCACAAGAUCACGGUCUCUAGGUGAGCUACGAGCAAUAUUUCCCAGUGCCCAAACAGCCUUCUCUCGGACAUCAUCACUUGGAGAAGAAAGUAGCUUCACAAAUAUUGGAACAGCACCGCCGUCGAUCACCACAUUAGUAUUCUCAGAAGCAAUGUUUGUAAGAGCCCGAGCAGCUUCCAACUGAAGCUGCGGAUUGUCUUCCCUAGUAAGAAACUCAACAAAGCGCGCGACAACGCCAGAUUGUAUGACUUUCUCACUUGGUGGUAGGAGCAGUUUUCGGAACCAAGUAGUUGCUUCCAGCUGCAAGCCACUGUCAUCUGACCAAACCCCAGCAAGCAUCCCGGGUAAACUCACCAACUUAUUUUAGGAGCAGGAGCAGGAGGAGGAAAUUAAGUUAGGGAUUUAGAGUGAGAGUGAAGGUGGAGAAAAAGCAAGAGAGGGAAAAAGCUUAUUGUUGAGAAAUAUGUACCUUUUGUAUGGUUGUGUUAAGGUCGUCCUUCCAAGCCCAACAUGCUUCACCAUGCCGCUCCACUUUGUGUAAUUUGGGUGUACUUAAUUUUCCUUCAGAGAAAAUCUUCAUAUCGGGGCAAUCAUCCACCACUAAUCUUUCUAAAGAUGGGAACUUGAAAGCACAAUUGCCAGAGCAGAAGCUUGUCAGGCUUUCUAAGUCUACAAGCUUCAACUCCUUCAAUUCUCUGAAAGUAAUAACCUCAUCUUUUGCUACAACAUCAUCCCCCAGUACUAUUUCUGUUAUCCUAUCGCAUGAUUUUAUCUUCAUAUAUCUAAGUUGCACCAGAGUCUUUGCAAUUAAGGAUGUUAAUACGAUUUUCAAGUUGUUGCAACGCGAUACCACCAUAUUUGUAAGAUUCUGAAAGGAUGUCGACGGUGGCACUAGAUUGACUAAAUGGUCACACCCCUUUACACGUAGAAUAACCAAGUUGUUCGUAACAGAGGACUCCCUUAUCAAAAUGUGCUCCAGAUGAAAUGCUUCUCUUAUUUCUACCCACAUCCCAUUUUCAACCUUCUCAUACGGCAACGAGGCACUAUAUCCUCCUAUUUGGAGGACUUUCAUUGUGUGAAGUCUCUGGAGGAAGUCACCAAGUGAUAAAAUAGUCCGCUCAUCACCCAACGCCACAAAAAGAUAUUUUAGUUUGCAAAGCAAGCCUUCAGAAAAUAGAUAUUUAUUUGUUACUGUGUACUUUGCACGAACUAUCAACUUUUCCAAAUUAGGGAAUACCUGGGAGAACGAUCAGAACCCCAAAAAAAAGAAAAAAAAGAAAUACAAGAUGAAUCAAUUGAUAAGAAAUAUAAGUUGCCACUAAUUUAUACAAUAUAUUUUAUUCAAUAAAUCUUAACCUUUAAAAAAAAAUAGUAAUAAUAGUAUGCCUAACAUCUAGAAUAAUUAUGAAUGAAUACUAUACACUAAUCUGUAAGAGAGUUACGUUGCUGACAAUUUGAGUUUUAGUAAGAAACCAAGCGAUGAAGGCAAAGGCAAUAUAACUCUAAACUCUAUGAUAUAAACUCUCACAGUACAUACAUAAGAAUUGAAAAAUUGAUUAUAAAAUUCUUGUACGUACCCUUUCCGUGAAGAUACUAGUAGUUCUCACCAUGAAUUCAGGACAUUUAGAUAUCCGUAAUUCUUUCAAGGAUGGAAAUUCAAGAAUAUCAAGAUCUCCAGUGCAGAAGCUUGUGAACUUUUCAAGAUCAGACAUCUUCAGAUAUUGCAACUGAGGAAACAUUACAAUAUUUUUCUUCCUUUCUUCUUGGUUGUCCAUAACUAUUAACUCUUCCAAGACAGGACAUCCGACUAUCUCAAUGCAUUGGAGUUGAACAAAGCUACUAACGGUAGAAGAUGAAAAUAGACAUCUUAAAUUCAUACAGCAGGACAGGGUCAAGCGCGUUAAAUUCUGAAUACCACAAGACAUGACUGCAACUUGGUUUUGCCAAAUCCUUUCAACAUUUAUUGAAAGCAAAUGCAACUUCUCUAACUCUGGUAACCGAACCUGCUCGAUCAAAAAAUUAACUCGUUAAUUACAAGCAACAAUGAUUUCUGUUGAUGGACAAAUCAAUAAAAUUACUCUUUCUCUGGUUAUAGUUCUUUUCAGUUUUUCAUACAAACAACCGUUAAUCAAGUUUUCCAAAUUAUUCCUUACUAAAUGUAUAGAUUUAGACGGCGGCUAAUAUAAUUCAUAUUGCAAAUAUUCUUUGAUUGUAACGAAUUUUGUAAUAUUAAAUUUUGGCUGAUUCGCAAUAGGACCUACUAUCCAGCGCGAGCAGUUCUCGUGGAUUUAACUACUGGCACCUCGAUUAUAUAAAAAUUUGGAAUAUUUUCAAAGGAAAUCACAUAAUUUCCCCUUGCAAAUAGUAAUUAUCAUUAAUUGCCGCGGGUUGACAUAUAAUUCUAAGAAAUUAGGCGAGAAGAGUCUCAUCAACAAUCAAUCAGCAGAUAUCACGUUUGGCAGAUCAUCAUGAUUUCCUCAUAUGCUAGAGAAUCAACGUGAUUUCCGCUCAUGCAGGAGCAGGAGUGGACACAUUAUCUUAGAGCAUCCCUCACUGAGAUCUUUUAAAAAAUUUAUAUUAUAAAGUGAACAACAUAUUAAGUAUAGAUUUAGACGGCGGCUAAUAUAAGUUAUAUGUAUUCUAAUGACGUAUAUUAAAGAAAAUGACUAACCAUAAUUUCAAUCAACUUAUUAGUCUAUAUAUAUAUAUAUAUAUAUAUAUAUAUAUAUAAUAUAAUAUAUUCAGUGAUUACAACAUAUUUAGUAUUCCAUAACAUGAAGUUUAUAAUAAUAAUUAUUAUUAAUUCACUUAUUGUGUCAAGAACAUUUUCUUUCUCUAAGAAUGAAUUUGUUACACCCUACUAUACUACGGAUGAAAAAUUUAGAAUCAUUAUGAAAUAUAAUUAUUAAUCACUCUUUGCCAUAUUUGCGACCAAAGAAGAAUAUAACAAAGAAAAGAAACAAAAAUUAUAGAGAAUUAAUGAGACCAUUGACGUAUUAAUAACUGACCUUCCCAGUGAAACGCGUAUUAGAAAUUUGGAUAUUGUCCUCCAAAAUGAUUUGAUGUGACUGCAAAUCAUUAGCUGAUUCCUGUUGUCUCUGUUGACAUUGAGUGUAAACUUAAUUGUGAGCACAAUCUUAAUGCAUAGAUACAAGAUCUUUAAAAAUUAGUAUAAUAAACUUAGCACAAAAUCCAAAUUUGAUAUUUCGGAUUCCAUGAUUAAGAUUUUUUAAAUAAAAAUUUAAUAGAGUUAAUUUAAAAAUAAAAAUUAAAUAUGAAAAAUUAGAUUUGCAAUUAUGGAUUUAAUUUUGAUAAAUAAUGAAUGUUCUCUUUAUAUUUUUUUUUAAAGGUAAAACAGCGUACAAAGCCCAAAUUCAUUUUUUUAGUCCCUUACUCUCCCAUGAUUCAAACUUGGGUGGUUGUAGGGGGACUGAAAAUAUAUAAGACAGUUAACUUCACUUUUUUUUUUUUUUUUUUGAGAGAAAAGAGAAGAAGGAUAUUACAAAGCACGAAGCUCGUGCAAUAUAAGGGCAAUUAUGGUUUUUUCUUUAAAUUAAAAUGGUAAGAUUCUGAAGCUAAAAGAUUAAAAUAUUAAUUAAAUUGCAAACAUUAAAGAUUUUUUUUCCAAAAUUGGUUGCUUUGAAAAUGAGAAUAAUAUAAUGUUUGAAGACUUUUCAAAAUUAAUUACUGUGAUGCACUAGAAAUUUCUAGCUUUAGUCUAAUGUAUAAAUUGACAAAACGUAUUAGAAUCCCAGGUGAAAAGAACCCUCUCACACCAAUUAUUUAAAUUAGGAAUGAUCAUACCUGUGGCUCUGCCGAACUGAGGGCGAGGCCUGAACCCCUCAUCUCGAGACGCUUGAGAUGGGAAGAGCCCACUUUGACUAAUUCAUUACGAAAAUAAUCGACAUCUUGCUCUUGCAAUCCACAUAACUCUAGGUCUUCAAUUCUCUGCAGUUGCACGACUAGCGAAUCCUUCAAGCGAAUCUGGUCAUAUAGCUCGAGUCUGAAUUCACGACCCCAAAUGCCGGUGCUCCCCCAAAACCGACCUCCAAUGCUUAUUCUGUACCUUUCCAGCUUCUCCAAGAACAGGCCUCUGGGCAGAGUGCUGACGUCAUGGGUGUCUAAUUCCAAAGAGGUCAAGUUGGGCAAAUGCUUCAACUCCUCAAGGCUUGCAUUCUUAACCCCUUCCACCUCCACCUCCCAAUUAUGAAAGCUUUUAGGACCUAUAUAUAGUUCUUCUAAAUGGGAUAAUUUUGACAGUAUAUUUG
rnacentral:lncRNA from 1 species